UCUACUUUCCUCGAUCCCCCCUCGCUUACUUACUUCUGUUAUUGCGCUUACUUAUACUUCCUUAGACUUCUGUUAUUGAUUUGAUUACUUUGUUCGGACCCUCACCCUUGUUCUUCUCUAACUCUUAUUCUGACUCUUAUACUUAUACUCUGAACUCUGAUAUCUCCAUACUUCUAGGGCUCCCCCUUAUUCUUAUCUUUCUGACUCCCCCCGACUCUGAACUCUUAUAUCUCCAUACUUACUAUACUCCUUAAACAACAACAGGAGAUUGACUUACGGCGGAAGAGAACUCAAACAAGCAGAUACUUACCUCAGACAGACAGCUACAACCGACUCGGGAAGGAAUAGUUGAUUUGGCCUAGCAAGGGAGCGACCUUCCUUCCCUUGUAUACGAUAAGUGUCCAAGUCCUACUCGAAAGAUGGUGUUCAAGCCCUCUUUAUCGCCUACCCUGUGCUCUCACAAAUAAGUCAGAAUUUCUCAUUUCAUGAGCAACUACAGGAUCUGGUUGCACUUAUGACCGCUGCUUGUUCUGUCCGAUUCCUGCUUGCUUGCCCUUAUUGAAAAGCUUGCUCCUGGAUACAACACAGCUACACUAGUAAUUGAUUCUUCCCUUAACAACACAGCUAACCCAGUACUCUCUUCUUCCCUUAACAACUCUAAGGCUCCAAAAGAGAUUUUCGAGGAUCUUAAAGCUAGCUCAUCAGAGCAAUCUUAGGAUCUUAAAGUGGUCAAGGAUGUGGAAAUGGACUUACGGAGCAGAAUGGAGACUUAUUUAAAGGAAAAAGGCUGGCCUCAGGAAUAUACUAUCGAUGAUUUAGGGGAGAAAUACCUCUUGCUGGAUUGGUUGGGUUGUAACCUUUGAUAGGCCCCUAAGAACUAAGCAACUGUUCCUCUAUAGAGCCCCUAGUACGCAAAAAAGCUUCAUGUUUGAAAUGUUGAAGAGCGUGCUUAAUAUCUAUUUUGCAGAUGUCAAAAAGAACGGUUUAGCAGGUGCCCACGACUCUUACGAUUUAUGGGUUCUGGAUCCCAUUUUUGUUGCAAUAGAUGAUUUUGUAGAGCUUAAGUCUCCUUUCCUCGAACAGGCUAUUCUUCUCUCGUUGCCAAUGCUCAAUCCUCUUUGUUCAAGAAUGACAAUAUUUCUAUACUCAACACUGCAUCCCUUUUAUUUGUCUUGUAAGAGUGAAAUGAAUUGAUUAUCUUUUCUUGCUUCCGCCUCUGUUCUUAUAGUUCAUAAUAAAGGGAACAAGCUUAGGCGUUGCUUGUCUGAUUCUGCCCGAACAAGGCUGGAAUCUGGAACUACACUUUCUAUUGGACCUGGGCUUGUAUACCCAAGCUAUCUCUACCUUUCUUAAGGGUCUGUAAACCAACUCUUCUUAGAAUGCGCUAGCAAUUAUUAUAAGGGCCCUUCCUUCUAUUAUACUAUUUCUGAGAAUGCGCUAGCAAUUAUUGACUAUGGCCCAAUUCCAUAUCUUAUCUUUCAAAAAGGCUUACUCAUUUUAUUACUUUAUCCUAUCACUAUUUAUCCAAGGGAAAAAGGCUAGGGUGACUCUAUCAAGGGUUAGCUAGUAGCUUAUUCAUCAUCAGGGUUUCUAGGGUUCUCACUUUCUUACGGAUGCUGGGCAAAAGUCAACUUCACUUUUCUAUCUCGUGGGAGCUCUCUCUCUAUAACCAGCACGCUUACUUUGUCAUCUCAACUGAAACUUAAUCAACUAAACUUUCUACUUUACUUGGAGAAGAAUAAAGAGAAUCCGCAAUCAUAUCUUCUUGUUUCGGCUUUCUUGCUUGUUAAUGGGUGGGCUCAUAGCGUUAGCGAGAAAACUACCUAUUUCAAGGCCAGACCGAUAGAUUGGAUUCUAUAGCGAAGGAUCUUAAGGUCUGAAAUCGCAUAAAUAGCUUCUGAGUGAAUCCAGCUACUUAGGGUCUUCUCUUUAAUAAGUGUUUUACGUCUAUCAAUAACAAUAGGAAAGUGCUUGCCUGAUUAGAAUCGUUAGGAAAGUAGUGCACUUAUUUUCUUGUGUUAGGGCGGGGAAGUAUAUGCCGCGACACAACUCAAGCGGAAGAUCUCUGGUUGUAACGGAAGCGAAAAGAGGAAUUGGUUCGUCACGGGCUGCUAUAGUUCCCAGUCAUGUAGAAGUUAUUACAAUUUAUGAUUUAACGAGCGGCAGGAGUCCCCGGAAAUGCUAAAUGAAAAAAGAAUUCCAUAAGGAUCUACACUGGCUGGGGAUUAGAUGUGGCUCCCUAUCUCCUUAUGUUGCUCCCUAUAUCCUUUUUGGAACGGGGAAAAUAGAGAAUGCAUUUAAGGAUCUGAUCCUAAUCCUAGUUCGGGACUGACGGGGCUCGAACCCGCAGCUUCCGCCUUGACAGGGCGGUGCUCUGACCAAUUGAACUACAAUCCCAGCGAGGUGUAUGGUAUACAUAUAAUAUUAUGAAUGGUUUCAGAAGAACAUUUGAUUCGUCGCCUUGUAACAGAGACACGAAUGAUAUACUCACUGAUAUAUAAGAGAGAUAGAAAUAUGGAUAUGGACUAUAGUGAAAGUGACACGGAUUACUAGUAACCUGUGUUUCUUGGAUUUGAUUGCCAAAAAAGGCAAUGAUCAAAACCGCUCCGCUCCUUGCUUUGUUUGAAUAUUCUUUAUGAAGAUAGAUAGUGGAAAGAAAAGAUCAGAACGAAUGAGAAAUACAUGGAUAGAGAACAAAAACGGGACUCUUUCUCUUUUACGGAUCAGGCAUUCUAGUUUAUGGAGGACUAUAUCAUUGGCUAUAUUAGAUUCAUGGAGCGACGAAGCUUCUUCAACUGCUUCCCAGAACUGCUUAGGAUUUGAACCAGCGUAGACAUAUCGCCAACGAAUUACAGUCCGUCCCCAUUAACCGCUCGGGCAUCGACCUAGAUCUAAACACUCUUUUGGACUUUGAGAGGGCAAUUGAUUGCGGGGGUAAAUGAAAUUGAUUGCUCCUAAAUAAACCCUACUCAGCAUCUAGUUCAAUUGAUUGCUCCUAAAUAAACCCUACUCAGCAUCUAGCUUCAUAUUACUAAAGAAACCCCUACUCAGAGCUAGCUUCAUAUUAUUAGCAUACUAAGGUAUAUAUCAUGUACAUCUAUUAUGCAGUAGACUCAUAAUGGAAAGGCUAUUUGGAAUGACAGUAGACUCAUAAUGGAAAGGCUAUUUGGAAUGAAUCUAAUAAGGACCCUUUGAACUCAGUGGUAUAGUAACGCCAUGGUAAGGCGUAAGUCAUCGGUUCAAAUCCGAUAAGGGGCUUUUUCCACAACUAUCAGGGUUCAAAUACUUAUUUCUUAGGAGUCAUAAGACAGGUUCAAAUACUUAUUUCUUCCUAUUAUAUAGUAUAAGUUAUAAGUAUCAGAAAAGGAAGUCUAAGCCGGUCCAUUGCUCUUUCCUUGUGCUUAUUUCGCUUUAGGAGGUUGGUUUACAGGUACAACUUUUGUAACUUCAUGGUAUACCCUUUGACUGGCGAUUGAAUGAGUUGGUUUGCUAACACUCCACUCCUUUGAAUAGUUGAGCACAUUCUUAGUUGGGUCCGCACAAGAACGCAGGAAGAAAGUGAUACUAUUUCAAAGAAACCAUAUAUUGAUUGAUUUCGAAAUCAUUCUACAUCUUUGACUCGUUGGUGUCAAUUAGGCGUGGACUUGUGUUGCUCUCCAUGGUGCUUUCCGCAUAGGUUUCAUAUUACUUCACUUACCUUACGUAAAAGAUGGAUAGGACUAGGUCUUGCUCGAUCAGUUCAAUUGCUACCUUCUAAUGCGCAUUCUUUGCUUGCUAACAAUUGCAGUUUUCGUUUCGUUUCCGUAUUUCUCUCUUUAUCUACAGGGUCAAUCUGGUUUCACAUAGUUUUGGUGUAGCAGCUAUAUUUCGAUGAAUCCUCUGAUUCCAACGGUGGAAUAAUUGGACGUUGAACCCUUUGAAUAUGAUGGGAGUUUAGGAGUAUUAGGCGCUGCUCUGCUAUGCGCUAUUCAUGGUCUGUAUAAAACACUUUAUUCGAAGAUGGUAACGGUGCAAAUACAUACUGUUCGUGCUUUUAACCCAACUCAAGCCGAAGAGACUUAUUCAAUGGUCACUGCUAACCGUUUUUGGUCCCAAAUCCAUCUUUAGGGGUUGCUUUUUCCAAUAACCGUUGGCCUUAUGUUUUUUGUAUCCGUAACAGGUUUAUGGAUGAGUGCUAUUGGGGUAGUAAGUCGGUCUGGCUCUGAAUCUACGUGCCUAUGACUUCGUUUCCCGUUAGGAAGAUCCGGAAUUGGAUACUUUAUACCUACACCAAGAAUAUGACAUUUCCAAAAGAGAAAUCCGUUAGGAAGAUCCGGAAUUGGAUACUUUAUACCUACACAACCAAUAAUAUUCCAUUAUACAAAGGUAUUCGUGCUUGACAAAGGUAUUCGUGCUUGGAUGGCGGCUCAGGAUCAGCCUCAUGAGAAAACAAACACCUUAUAUUCCCUGUAAGGAGGUUAUACCACGUGGAAACACUCUUUAAUGGAACUGCCGCUUUAGCUGGUCCAAGAAACUACCUCGCUUGGUGGGCCGGGAAUGCCAGACUUAUAAAUUUGUCCGGUAAACUACUUGGAGCUCACGUAGCCCAUGCCGGAUUAAUCGUAUUCUGGGCCGGGGCAAUGAACCUAUUUGAAGUGGAUCUACCAGAGAAAAAACCUAUGUAUGAACAAGGAUUGAUUUGACUGUUGCAUCUAGCUACUCUAGGUUGGAGGGUAGGUCUAGGGGGGAAACCUUAGCAUACUUAGUCUCUUGAGUACUUAACGGAAUUUCCUCUGCUGUCUUAGGACGGAAUUUCCUUUAUGUCUUAGGCUUGGGUGGUAUUUCUCAUGCUUUGACCUUGAAUCAUCUUUUCCAUUCUGCAGAUAGAAAGAUAAUAACUACCAUGUUGGGUAUUAACUUCAUUUUGUUAGGUCUAAGUGCUUGCUUUUCUUCUAGUACUCAAGGCAGUUAGUUUAGGGGCAUAUAUUCAACCUGGGCCCCUGGCGGGGAGAUGUCAGAAAAAUGACACCAACUUGACCCGAUGCCCAAGUGUCAUAUUUUGGAUUGACUCAAAUCUCCUUGCUUUUUAGGGGAAUAUCCGGAUUUCUUGUUUGUGUAGACACGAUUUCUAUAAUAUUGAUCUUGUUGUGAGGGGUUCUAUUUGUAUACUUUGUGGAAUUCCAUUUGUAUACUUUGUGGAAUUUUGCUUAACCGCAUAGGCUUGCUUGCUGGUUUUAGCAUCGAGUGGUUUACUGUCUUAUAGUUUAGAUGCUUUAUCUGUCUUUCGUUUUCUCGCUUGUUGUUUUGUCUGGGUUAAUAAUACCGCUUAUCCUAGUGAGGCCGGGCCAGAAGCUUCUAAAGCAAAAGCAUUACCUUUAUAGUAAGAGACCAACUGGAGCUAACGUGGGAUCCGCUCAAUACAGGUUUAGGGAAAUAUAUCUAAUGCAAAACCAGAGAUAUGAUUUUCGGAGGAUAAACUAUGCGGGGAUCUUCGUAUUCGACCCCUCUUAGUUGUCAUUUGAUUCUUUUCACCAUUCUAUCUAUUCGAUUUGGUUACUCUUACUUAUGGUGAGGCUAGUCUAAGCAGACAGUGUAAUGUAAAAUGACUUACUUCAUAUGUUAACUCAAAAAGCAGAAAAACUCACGUUAGCCGAAAACAAGAACUCACUGGACUAACGCUGAUGAUAUAACUUGCGUUAGCGAGCGGAAUCUAUGCGCUAAUGGAGUUCCCGGGGGACACUCACUUGCUUGUUGAAUGUGAGUGCCAAAUAUCAUAUUUGAUAGCUAAUCGUAACUAAUGAAUCUAGUAACAACCCAUAGCCCUGCGAAACUCACUGUUUACAUUAAGAGGAAUUCAUAUAGGCAUACUAACCUCUGCCCUUACUUUAAGCUUUCCGGACUCAAUUGCUAGAAAGGGGGCGAUCUUAAUCGUUCAAUAUUCUAUGAGAAAGUGUUUUCAAGAAGAUAUCUAAAUUGCUAGCUAUAUUCAAAUAAGGGUGUUUCCUUUACUGAAUUCCAGAAUAUGGUUUCUUAGAUAAAUAUUACAAACUUAUAUAUAUGGUGUCGCUCGAAGCUUUUGUUUUGUGUAUUUUCAUAUUAGGAGUUCUGGCAGAGUUCUUUCCACUUCGAGACUCAAACCCAUACCUAGAAAAAAGGAUGCUACAAUAAGGUUCGAAAUUAGCAACUUGACACCCGAAGGCAUAGAGAGUAAGGAACAAAUGAAUAUAGAUUUAUGAGCUAUGAGCUAGUCCUGUAUUCUGUAGCCCUCCCUGACUUCUAGACCUUCCACUACGGAAUCUACCGAAAUGACUGGGCAGAUCUAAUGUAUGAUAGCUCGCUCAUAAUCCUUAGGCUAUACAGCAUGGAGCAGGCUUGGUCGUUAGUAUACGCUUGGCCGGGCAUCAAAGGCAUGAAUUUCUUGUAGGAGUGAUUUUCCAAGAGGGAAGAGGGGCAAGCUGGUCCCGGUCUCAGGCAAGUCUUAUUUAGAUUGGAGAAAGAGGUCGGGUUAGGACAGGAAGGCGAAAGCAGCCGUGCCGUUGAAGCAGUAACGAUAUGAAUCGGCUUUGUGAUCGAUAUUAGUCGUUUUUAUACCCUUUAUCUAUAUGGAGCCGGAAUAGUUGUCAAUCAAAGAACAGAAAUGACUCAGAUCUUUCCCAGGGACGAAAACGGGAAAUACCAUAACAAGGAAAAUAGCUUUAAGUAGUUUACGAAGCGACCCACAUUUCCACAGUGUUUCUUGAGAAGAAAGACCAGAUUUAGCAACAUAAGUGGUAUUACCUAUGGAAGAUGCCUCCGCGAAGAAGUUAUAGCAUCCAAAGCAGGCGGUUAAGUGACAUAAACCGGUGCAGCUCAUAGACGGUGGGAAAUGAAGUAAGGAAUUCUCGGUCUUAUAAUGCCUAAAGUAAGGAAUUCUCGGUCUUAUAAUGCCUAGUUUAAGUGAUGGGUACUCCCCGACUCCAGGUCUUCGUUCAUAACGAGGCACUCGACUCUCUAAUGUAGCAUAAGGCGCUUCAGUAAGCUUACAGAACAUAAACACUUUUUUCGGCCACGUCGGAGACAUCAAUCCGAAGUAAAGGAAGCUUUCUUUUUGAUAAGGAACUGUAGGCUUAGUCUCCUCUCUUUCUUGCUACUAUACCUCUUGCCACAAAUCAUUCUUAAACAGAAACUGACCUCGAGUUUUUCAUGUUUCAACGGAAGAAACUGUAGCUGUAGAAAAGAAAGGAGUUGGCGAAGGUCGUGGAGAGUUGGUAUCAGUUCAAUCAAUAAGGGAUGCAGAUGCUCAGGUACUAUUGACCACGGAGCUGUGUGUGACGCAUCUCUAUCUCUACUCUAAUGGGAUCUUCCGCUUAAGCUUCAGUAUCGGGUGCUUGUGUGAAACAAUGAAAGACAGUUAAGUUCUUGCGGAAUCAUAUGAUGGAUCGGAAGCUCUGCUCUAUCAAAUGAAGCAGUUGGCGCAGCAGCAAUUCAAGUCGAGUCGACGAGCAAAAAUCAAGAAGAAGGUCAAGAAUAAGGAUCCAAAGCAUAAGAAAGGGCUUCCCCUGGAGCAGGGUAUCAUGCAGACGAAGCGGGAGUUGGUGAGUUUACAGUUCAAUUGAAUUCCGCUUUCAAAUAAGAUUAUUACAUGUACAUAUUAUGCAAGAAAGUAACCUAACCCCGUUACUAUAAAGAGACUAACUCAUAUUAUCAUUCAUAUAUUACCUACCGAUUGAUUAAAAGAAGCAAUGCUGGUUGUUUACCAGGGUGGUUUACCAGAAUGAUAUGUUAGGCGCUCGAGAUAUGAAAUUCAUGAUUCUGCGUUAAGUAUUGCUGAAGUAUUGCCCGAAACAAGUGUAUCAGUGGCUAAAGCGUAAGUGAAAGGAGAAGGAUACGCAUCUUCAGCAACAGAAGAAGAAGUGUCAGAAGAAUUGCCAGUUCUAGUUUCAUACUUAAAAGAGGAGGAGCCCUUUGAGAAUGAAUGCCCACCUCGCGCUUAAGGCUAAAGUCAAGUAAGCGGGAAAGAAAGAAAGAAAACUGUGCGGGUCAGGUGCGAGUACCGUUUAUAGUGUUGGUGACAAGAUAAGAAGAGGUUAAGGCGCUUGUCAGAGGAACUUCAAGUUUACGAGAAUGGCCUGUGUAGUUCAGGGAAAUCAAAUGAUACUGGUUCUUUUGUCCUUUACUAAUCGGAUGUUGUACGUCAGUGGCUAAAGGUAUAGUUUACAGUGUUGGUAACGGGAGAGAUGGACUAAGCUGGAUGUAGAUGAAGCAGAAACUAGGUUCGGGUUUGGUAAGAAUAGAGUGCAAGGCUUGGUAUUAACUUCGUUUCUAUACCCAGUGCUCAGUAAGAGCUAUAUUCCAUUUCCAUUCUUUUCUUUUAAGAGCUAUAUUCCAUUUCCAUUCCAUUCUUUUUAGUAUAGGGAGCGCGUUAGUAUUAGUGGUGAUUUGGAGUUGAGUAGUGUUGUGACUUGAAUUAUAUGACAUAUGCCAGAUAGGCGGCUCAAAAGAGGUUUGCCCUAGUGACUUUGAUAGCUCCUAGUUACAGAAUAGCUCAAUUCUAUUAAAGCAAGGUGCUGAAAGCCCUAAAGAUGAGAGGCUGGAGACGACGCUAAUAAAGUGGAAUGUUGCAAAGCGAGAGAAAAGUAUACAAGAGAAAUCCGCAGGAGACACAUCUUAAGCUGCAAGGAAAGAAAGUGGAAGUGACGUUUAUGUUGAAGUUGAAUAGCUAGAGGACUCUGUUGCUGUUAGUUAAUUGCCAGAUUGUCUGUAAGUCGAAUUAGGACGCUGGAGAAUCAUCCUAAGGAUCUGAAUCCAUGUUGGCGCCUAGAGAAUCCGCAGUUAAGUAUCCCGUCCCGACCCUAUGUUGGUGCAAACGGUUCCAGUUGACUCCUUUGUUACUUCCGCCCUUGAAAGGAAAGGCUUUGCUAGCGAAAAAACAAGGGGAGAAAUCGAUUAAGGAAGAAUAUCACUACUGAGAACAAGGCUACUCACUACUAUUAUGAGAAUGAAAUUACCUGCUAUAAGAAUCGGCUACCUCACUAAGAGUUGUGCUCGGGUAGUUUAUUCCCUAGUUAGUAAGAUAAGUCUUGUUGGGCACUAUUUGCAGUUUGAGAAGCACUAGGACAAGCAAGCCGGAUAUUAGUAGUCAAAGUCUAAGUUCCGAGUUGAUUUCUUUUGAGGCAUAGUUUCAUUCCUUUCCCCUCUUUGAAUUCGAAUAAGUAGAGUAAGUAGUAAGGUUAUGGUAGUAAUAGAGUAGCUUGACGAGUGAAAUUCACUAACGAGUAAGCUUUUGAGGUCAGUAGCGAUAGAAUGAAAGUCAGGGGGCCAAGCUACAUAGUCAGUAGCGCGGUAGCGAGCUAAAAGAGCGGCAGCCAAUUCCAUUCGAUGUUACUAAUUUGCUUGAAUUCUAUCUUAGAGCAAGAACAGGUCAUUCUCUACUCCCCGCUUCUUAUCUUUAUUCCCGGGGUUACCAUCUGAGUGAAGCAAAGAAGCAAAGCAGUGUCAAAAAGAACUCGCUAACCCUUAACUAGAGUAAGCACUUGACUUUAUACCCUAGACUUGUUGAGUCAGCAUCAGGAGUAAUAUGUUUUGUUACCGAAGAAGCAACAGCACCAACUGAAGAAGAAGGAGGCAGAAUAUGGAGCAAGAUCCAAAUAAGUGUCUCUUUCCCUGCUCCGCCUUUCUAUAAACCAAUGUUGUUAAUAGAUUCAUUCCUUUUUCCUAUCACAUCUAAAGCCUCUAUAUCAUGUGUUACUUAUCUAAAAUCUGACUUUCUUGUUUAAGUAGCAAGUCUACAGAAGCUCCCCGCUCAAGAAGGAAAGUAGAGUUCUGGGAAAUCAAAUAGUACAGGUGUUUGAAGCUCCAUUUCAUUAAGGGAUGCUGUGUAAAAGUAGAUAGAAGCUUAAUGCGCGGGUAAGAAAAGAGUAAGCCAAAAAAAGGUCAAAAGAUGAAAUGGACAAAGUAACUACUAGAAAAGUAGAAGAAGCGACAGAGAACUAAGACUUCUAUAAGAAGCGAAGCGGUCUAAUACUCGGAUAUUCCCACUAAUCCUAUACUUAUACUUAUACUAAUCAGAAUAAGCGAUAAGAAGCAGCAAGCGAGUCAACAGGGUUAGGAGCAAACGACUGGGUAAGGAGCAAACGAUAAGGAUGUUGGGCAUAGAAACAGGUAAUAUUCCUCUACCCUAUCUAUAUACUAUUAUAGGUUUAGCAAAGGUCAAGCCUACCACAAAAGAGCUUCGUGUUGGGUCAAUUUCUGGUGUUUCUGCAGGAGCAGGAUAUAAAGCAAAAUAAGGAUAAGGAUCUCAAGCAUAAGAAUUGCUAGUUCCAGGUUACUCGGCUGCAGGGACGGGAGUUGUUGACCGAACAAGAUACACCCAAACUAGACUUUCAUUUAAUAAUCCUCAUAUGAAAUGAAUCUUUAUGGAGAAUUACCCGCUUCCACUCAAUACUACACUCGAUCUGUGCCCUUGCCCAAUACGGAAUAUCAAAAUCAUCUAUCUCUGCGCUUGAGACUUGACUUGAUACCGCACUGCUUACUGCUGUCUCUGCUCUACCAACUUACUGCUUCCUUGCUCUACCAACUUACUGCUUCCUUGCUGUCUCUUAUCCACCUAAUCCUGUUUCCACCUAAUACAACUUAUUUCGUAAAACUCAACACUCGCGUUAGUGCAAGGGCGAAAUCAUUGAAUAUCACUUGCAUAAAGGAAUAGCACUCUCCAAUAAUAUAUAGUAUUUUCACUAAACACAGAGAUAGUAUCUUACUUAACUAAACACAGGUUGCUUUUCUUGCGAUCUACCCGUUGUGCGCGCUUACGCUUAUUGGCUUUAAGGAGGGAAGGGGGGCCGUAGCUUAUCACGGUAUCCUCGAGGACGUAUGGAAAAUCGUGUUCAAAUACCGACCAUGCUUUCCAAAGACUCGUGGUCACACUCUGAGUGGUCCUUCGGCAUAGCUGUCUUAGGCUUUAUUAUCUUUCUUUAGGCUUAUAGCUCUUAUCUACUCAACCAGAGCUGUCUUAGGCUUUAUUAUCUUUCUUUAGGCUUAUAGCUCUUAUCCACUCAACGAGCAAAACGAAAUAACGUAUAUAAUAGCAGUACGAUUACCAUUGAUAAGUGCUAUGCUUUCUCUCAAGCAUGAUUCAAAGACAGAUAGUGAAGCAAAGCGCUUCCUCGAAGGCGAAGUAGAGUGACAAACGUAUCCGGGUAACGCAUCCACAAUUGGGGUUAACAAAGCUGCCCCCCCUUCUACGAAAUCCCAUUUCCAAUUGACUUCAAAUAACCGCUUGAUACUUGUUUACUAGAUUGACUUCAAAUAACCGCUUGAUACUUGUUCACUGGAAUUUCUUCCAAGAAAGUUUGCUCUGCUACUUGCCCGUUAGUUUCAUUUACUUCCGCUCCCUCUCAUCGAGAAAGCUAUUACACAUACUGACUAAGGAGGCACAGGCAAAUAGGUUCGUACGAAGAGGCAAGCGUUCACACAUCUGUCUCCAUCAUAUGUGUUGGGUGAAGAGCGUUUGACUAUGCCUGGGCCGGGGUAAAGAAGACAGGCAGAAGGAGUCAGCAGCUUCAGCGAGAGACUUUAUAUAGUAUAGGCUUUAUAUAUAGUAUAGGCUUUAUAGGCUUAUUUCUGAUUCUAAAGUCAAGGAAGCUUUUCUUAUUUCUUAUUAGAAAGUAUAAGGAAGUAAGUUCGCUAGCUGUACAAGGGGCAAAGAGUAGCAUUCCGGUCGAUAUUGAAUGCAAUCAAGCACAAGCAUGAGAAGCGGGAUCCUUUUCUCCUAUAGGCUUUUAUGAGAAGCGAGAUACCUUAUAUAGUAUAGUAGAUCUUAUAAGCGAGAUAUCUUAUAUAGUAUAGUAUAUUAUUAUAAGCGAGAUACCUUAUGCCCUUUCCCUUAAGAAGUUUCUCCUUCUCUCCUUAUUCUCGUAUAAAGAAGCAAUUACCUAAAAGAAAAGGUGACAGGCAGUUGGACUUAGCUUUCCCUAGUUAGGGGAAAACCAAUGAUAGAUUGGAAAGUAGCUGAAUUUCACCGAUGCUUCGAUCACUGUCUUUAACAAUUUGAUGGCUGUUAAAAAGCCUAGCUUACCUCUAAAGCUUUUGAUUAUAACUAUAGGGGGAUUUCGUUUCUGGUUUUCGUUCCAUCCGAGUCUGUCUUUAUUGACCCGCAAGUUUCGAAGUGAGAGUUGGAUUGAUUCUGCCAACCCCUAUGGGGGAUCAGAUUUCGCGAAAGCACUUUUGUAGGGCCUGGUGGAUUCCCUUUGCUCGCUCUUUCGACUCUAGUUAGUUAUCGCUCCAAGUAUGUAGCUCUCAAACUCUAUCGCUCCGUAAACUCUUUCCUUGGUGGCCUCCUUAGCUCCUACUUAAUAACGAAUUUCCAUUCAAGUCAUAUUCUCUAAAAGAAGACGAUUACAAUCAACGAGUCUAAGUAUUAUCUUGCAAAAGAAUUCUUAGCUAUUCGCAAUGUGAGACUGUAAAUGCCUUUUCAAAACACUGUACUACCUUAUACCCUUUUCAAGUGGAAAAUCUUCAGGCAAGAGUAUCGGCUAAUCACUAAAACACUCACACUCUAGGAGAAUAAUUCGAUUCCAGAAGCUCUUCAACCAAAUCAAACUGGCUUACAGUAUCGGGCAUACAACAAUAAAGAUCGGAGAGAAACUACCGCUAACAAGGCCAUGGGAUUUUCCUUGUGGGGUAUCAGUAAGGAAUUGGAAUGGAAUAAUAUUCUCCAAUUCGAAAUGCAAUAUCAUAAGAGAAGAAGUGUACGUUCGAAAUCACUUGAUUCUUGUUUCUUCUGGCGAACUUCAUUAUCGGUUUCUAGUUGAUCGAGAAAGCUCCGCCCAAUAGAGCCUAGCCAAGAGUUUACCGAAAUGGUCCCUAGAAGCCGGUCCCCGGUAGCAUAAGAUCCUUUCAACCUAUUUGAUUUAAGAAAGAUAGAAUAGAACCAUUUGUUUAUUGAAUCACAAUUUGAGGAGCUUUUCAACUAGCAUUACUGGGAGAAGCAAUGCCGAGCUUUUCAACUAGCAUUACUGGGAGAAGCAAUGCCCAGGGGUGUCAAAAGCGUACAUCGAAAAGGAAUGGAACAGAACUCUCACUCGAUUAAGAGAGCUCCCCUAAAAAGGAGUUUCAAAUAGUCAGGCUUUCUCACAGGUUUGCUAAUUGUAUGGAUUGUUUGAACUUACUUAUUGCGCUAGCUCUAUCAUGGAUUGUUUGAACUUACUUAUUGCGCUAGCUCUAUCAUCCUUAUAUAUCCAAAACUCUAUUCCUUUCCUGCGGUUGUAGAUAUUCAAAGGCAAGCUAACCUUCAAUGCUAGCCAAAAGGCAUAUGAGGGAGGGGGUUUGCUCGGCUCCGCUCGGAUAGGGAAGGAAUCUAUUCAUUCUCUUUCCAAAACCCAAGUACAACGGGCCUAUAGCAAAAAAGUCUAUACCAGAUGGUUCGACUACUGAUGGACGACCGGCCGACAUACUAGUACAAAACUUCUCAUUUCAGCAAGAUAGGAUGGAUUUUAGAACAUCUGAUUCUCAAGUUUAUGAUUCACCAACUGAUAUCCUGAGAAAAGAUCUGAUAUGGGGUAUAUGCUACAGUAUAGUAAGCAAUAGCUCUCUACACCGCAACUUUGGCAUGAGAACUGAGAGUCGAUUCGGCUUACUUAUACGAUUCAACUUCAACUAGUUAUGCAGCAGCGAGAUCAGUGAUUGGCUUUCUCUUUGUUGUCUGUAAUGAAUACAUGUAGUAGCGAUAUCUUCUAGCAAAUUGACAGUGCCAGCUACUGCUUUCGAUCUACCACUUGUUAGCGCUGUUCCCGCAACUUAAAGAGGAGAAUUUGGUGCCAAAGAAAUAGAAGCAUAGCAUAAGAUAAUCUCGGUAGCCGAAACGAACCCUAUACACUUUUUUAGAGGACAGAGGCAUACGUUGCACUAGCUUAGGGUGAAGCGAAAGAAGACGAGCGGAAAUGCAAGUUGAGUUCUUGGCUUGACUUGACGCUUGACGUCGGUGCGAGUGUAAUCGAAGUUCUUGUGUUGGUGCUGUCAAAGUAGUAGAAGUUAGUGUUGUUUGUUGACGAGAAUCGAAUGGAUCAACGGUGAAAAGGCGCCGUUCUUCAAGCAACUGAAUAAGCUGGUCUAAGCAGAAUCUUAAGUUCGAGGAAAGGAAACUUAAGCUCGACUAAAGGAGAGGAAAGGAAACUUAAGCUCGACUAAAGGAGAGGAAAGGAAACUUAAGCUCGACUAAAGGAGAGGAAAGGAAACUUAAGCUCGACUAAAGGAGAGGAAAGGAAACUUAAGCUCGACUAAAGGAGAGGAAAGGAAACUUAAGCUCGACUAAAGGAGAGGAAAGGAAAUCAAAGGCAGACCCAACGGAGGAUGGCUUAAUUAAGAGAACGAUAAUGGCAGUGAUAGGCUUGGCUGCCAGCAGUGGUUAAAGAAUUUCCCUUCAUCCCGCCCCGUCAUCAGCAUUGAAAGAAAGAAAAGUAGACUUGUAAAUGUUGACCAGCCAAAGAGUAAUCUUUCCCCUAUUAUUAGUAUAGGUUCAGGAAGAUGGAAAAUGUGCUAGGGUAACUGUCCAACUGUCCGUUGCUUCUUUCUGGAGUGCUUGAACUUCCUCUUUACCUGUUUCGGCUCGCUAACUCGCAACAAAUAAUCAAUUUCAACAAUCUAUUCCCUAAGCACCGAGUCCACCAGUCAUUUCUUAUCGAGACAGCGUUUGUAAGCUAACCUCAAUGCUUGUCUUUUGCUUGAAAACGAACUUAUUGCUUUAAUCAUUUAAGAAAAUAAGAUGGAUGGAAGAUUACCUUAUUAUAUACAUUACUAAACACCUUUCUUUCAACCUAUAGGAGCUUGUCUUUGGAAUGGAACUGACAAAGGAGUGAUCAUCGAAUUGCACCGCAACACCUCUACUUUGGCAUGAGAUUCGAGCUAUAUUCUCUUAGGCUUAUGAUUACUUUGACACUGAUUCACUUACCUACACUAGCACUUCUAUUUCUUAACCAACAUAAUCUGAACCCUAACCUCUCUCGUAAACGACUUUAGUACCCAAAGUGAAUUAACUUAAAGAAUCUCUUGCCGCUGACUUCCGAACAAUACUGGAAAUUGCAGCUUCCUUACUUUAUCCUAUUCUUUAUGAUUCUCUAGCUUCUGCGCAAGGAAAGUCGUAUGUCUCUUUUCUUUUGGUGCGAAAGUCCAGUUCCGUUCGAGUGUUGUAUCUCAGUGUUGGCGCAAGCAAGUGAAAGUCCUGGUUUCCUCUUUAGUGCUAAUGCUUACUUGAGCUAGUGCGUAGAAGCCGUUGCGCCUUAUAGUAUUUGAGUUCUGAAUCAUACAUAUGUAAAUGAGUUAUUCUACUCGUAUCUGAGGUUUCCCGCAGCUUUCAGAAUAGAAUAUAAGCAGCUUUCUGAAGCCUUAACCAAGUUCAGUGGUGAGCUUGUGUCUAAGUAUGGUUCUGGAAGUAUAGUUCCUUCGAAUGUUUAAGUAGAGCGGCUUGCUUUACCUUAGAGUGCUUUUCUUUCCCGAGUCGUGGUAGGCUUUCCCUUUGCUUAAAGAGUAAUAGAAUAGAGUUCGGCAAAAGAACAUGUGGAGUCUCGUACAGAAGAUAGAUCAUCAGCUGGAUAUGAAGCCGUAUAAAGAAGCGGUGCAGUAGAAAGUUGUCUGAAGUCAGCAGCAAGCGCAAGCAAGUAAACUGCAAGCGGUUCUACAAGUCGUUCUGUUCUAGUGAAAAUCGUAUGAAGGAACAGGCGAAAGUAAGUCAAGCGGAACUUCAAGUCGACGAGAGAGAUAGAUUCAAUUCAAAUGAAAAACAAGGCGAUCUAUAGAUGAAGCUAACGUUGGGGCAAUAAAAUAUUAAUGACUAACGCUUCCGCCCAAGAAAGACCAAAUUAUGGUAGCUUCCCCUGCCCUCAAAGUGAAAUGGAGAGUUUGACUCGGUGCUAAAAGGAAGUCCGUUUCUUUUCCUGCGGGGCGCUUACUGAUAGUUUGAAAUUGAAAUGAAUUAAUUGAAUUCUGUUUCUCUUGUCUAGUAGUUCCUUGUCUGCGAGUCGGUCACUAGCUUGGGAGUUGACAGAGUGGAAGUUAGAAUGCAACUCGAUGUAGUAAAAGUAGGAGUGAAGCCAAGUAGUAGUCCUGUGUAAGGGAGUUGACAGUUACAGUAAGAGUGAAGUCGUAGAGAUCCGUAGAAGAAACAAAAUAAGCAAACUCAGUAUCAGACGAAGCAGAUGCAGUUGUUAUUAACUCCCCCCGCCUCCUCUUCUUCCACCGUCCAAUAAGACUAAGCCAGCGCAGGAGCCAACUUGAAACCGUGUACUCCACGCAAAGGUAAAGCACCGAAACAGUAGCUUAGCUUAGAAACCAACCCGUAGUACUGUCCCCAAACCCCGGGAGCAGAUAUAUAAGUGGCACAGGACUCGGAGGAGAGACUUGGUAACAGCUGCUACUAAUACAUUAUUAUGUUUCUUUCUUUCUCUCUUUGCCUUUAGGCUUUGUAUGGAAGGUAAUAGAGAUGCCCUUGUUUAACGCUUCAAUUCAGAAUGCAUCAUGUGUUGUAGAAUUCAUAUUUCAAGAAUAUGGGACAGAAUGCAUAAUCAACAUAGUUAUCUCUUUCUUCUUUUUACUACUUAUGUGGGAUACUGAUCCAUUCUUUUGUUUCUGAUGGAAACGAUCUGGGACGGAAGGAUUCGAACCUCCGAAUGUAGGGACCCCGCUGCCUUACCGCUUGGCCCUUUCUGGUUCCCUUGCUGGUUCAGCUAACUAUCCCUUUGGUUACCCUGUUUCUAUAUGAAGUGCCCGAGCAGGUGAAGUUGAGGUUAAAGAAUGAUGUGUAGCCAUAGGAGAGGUACGCAAGGGAGAAAGCGAGUUCAAUAACCACUUAAGUAGAGGUAGAGGAAGCAAGGGGAGUGAUUGUUUCAAGUCAUAAUUCAGUUAUGGGAGCGUAGGUACAAGAGUUGGACUUACUGUUGGAAUUCUGUGUUUCCAAUUGAUUUCCCCACUCUUCAAAAGUCAGUAAAGUGGAUUUAUGUUCUUGUGUCGGUUGCCAGUACUUUUCUUGUUUAGUGUUGUAGUGGAUAAUUGCCUGUUCCAGGGUGAGUGUGAGUUAACACCAAGUGCUUUCCUUUGCCCUUAAGUAAUUGGCUUAAGGAGCCCCGGCAAAUAGUCCUUCUUUUUGAACAUUCAUCUUAAAGCUAUGAUCCAAACCAAUUGACUUAGAUUGAAUAGGAAGGGUUCUUUUAGGAAGAACUAAGGAAUAACUAUCAAACUCAAAGAAAACAACGAGGCUCCCCGCAUGGGGUUUAUUGUUUAGCAGAGCGAAAGGAGAGGGAGGUCUUUCUCUUUGUGAAGAAUUAGCCAUAGGAUCAUUGAUCCAGACGACAAAAGGCACAUGUCCUUCAUAGUUCGAGCGAGGUGGGUAUGAGGCUUAUUUUGAAGAUCCCAUUUUGUUCAUUUGAAUAGAAGUGACAUAAUAUAGAAUUGCAUUUCAGAUUCAUAUAAGUUCUUAAUAAGAUUCUAUUACAUUUAGUAACAAUACACUGUUGCGCUAUAAGAUUCUAUUACAUUUAGUAACAAUACACAAUACACUGGUUACAUAUUGAUUUAUGAAUGAAUGAAAGGGAAAGGAAAGGAAAGGUCAACUUAAGAGCCGAGCAGAGCGGCUAUCUUUCUAUUUUGGAAUAAAUGAAAGGAAAGGAAAGGCAGCCAAACCCCAUACGAAAAUAAAGCUGUAGUGUUUUUGUUACUUUCAUCUAUGAGUGGUGCACGUCAUAUUCCAUACCUUUGAUCUACUUAAUGUACUUCGACUUGAUACGUUACGAUAGACUUUCUACUUAUCUUGGAUUAACCACAAGGCAGAGUUGGGCCUGUGAACAAACAAGACUCAGUGCUAAAAGGAAGGACUCCCGUUAGCGCUAAACUCCAUUCAGAAUUGUUGAACAGAAGCUCGCACCUGACCUAUAUACCCUGACCUUUAAGCUAAAGCUGUCCUUACUUUGACUCCAAGGUAUGGUGAAUACAGAGUUCGAUUAAGUAGUAACAGAGUUAGCCUCGUUAAGGAAACUGACGCUCGAACACAACAAACAGUAGUUAGGUCUUUGCUUUGAGUUCAAUUAUUUAUUAGUUGACUCCGGUUGCAUCAGUAGUUUUGAGUUUCAUCCCGAUUCCUUACCUGGUGUAGUAUAGUUGUCAAGAGCAAUAACUGUAUUAGUAGCUAGAGGUAUUAAUGAAGCAAUAGGUAUAAAAGAUUCAAUCGGAAUCAAGUACUGGUUUAGAACUAGAGAAUUGAGUUGACUAAGGAGAGGCCAGGCGCACACAGGACAAUUCCGUUAGAUUCGAUGGAAGGGUAUAGUAUAAAGGCGGAGGCAUAGGUAUCGGAUAACCAGUAUCUUUAGCUAAGCAAUAAGGAGUUCAGUCUAGAGUUGAGUACCCGAGUAGCCAGAGUUAGAUGAGCCUCAUUCAGUUAUAAGAGAGGAGUUCGGGGAAGACUUACUUACUUGCCUUUAAGCGCUAAGUCAGAGGAUAGAGUCAAAGGCUAAGGCAACCUUAUAUACGAGUUCCAAUUCCAAUUAUGAAAUAAGAAAAGAUAGGCCAAUGAACAAGUGUGUUAGUUUACUUUCCGGAAUGUCGCCCACUAGACGCUUAAGCUGUUCGAGUUAAGUCGACUCAAGAAUCACCAGUAGGAAUCAAAUAAGUUGUUUCAAGAUCCGUCGUAGUUGCUAAGGUUAGCUUGGUUGUUAGCGAUCCGAGUUUAGCUUACAUAAAGGGUGUUGAAAUGGAAUGUUUGAUUAUUCCAUUAUUAAGUGUUAUAAGAUGUGCUCGAGAGAGAUUCAAUGAAUGUUUUCGCGGAACAAGUUCAAUUACAGCGCAGAAGCUUUAUUUGGUGAGUAAGCUGUUAUAGAAUAAGGAGAAGACUCAGUUGAAAGAGAAUCAGAUGUAUAUGUAUCUGAGGCUGGAGCAGGAUAUAGAGCAGUGCCAAAGUAAGCUGCAAUGAGAGUCUUCAUCCCUUGGUGGAAUACUGUACUUGUUGAAUACCGGGUAAGUAGUCCUGUUUCAUCAGUAGUGGAGUUGUUUCCAGGGCUUGUACGAACUCCGUACUAUGUAUGGGGGCUGCCGCGCAACAAGGCACCUACUGACGCGACACGGGUUUACUUUACUAACUUAUAAGAACUUUGUUAUAACUGUCUUGAUUGUUCUUUACAGAAUAGUCAUGAGAUCUGCCUUUCGGGUAAGGUAAGAAAGAAUAGCUUUCAUUAUUGUUGAAAUUGGUACCAAAACCAUCAAAUUGGAUUUCUGGGAAGUAGUUAUCAAAGUGUUUGAGUCUACCUUUUUUGGGACGGAAACCAUAUGGUGAGAGCCUUUUGGCAUAUGUUCCUAAUUGCUUUGGAAUCUAAACCAGAAAGGGUGGACAGGGUCGGGUAAUAAGGAUUGAUAAGGCCCUUUGUUCGGAUAGAUAUUGGAACCUAUAAAUAAAGGAAUUCGAUCUUGCCUGGACCCAGCUAUACAGAUUUGCAACAUGAUUUUAUGGACAUGUCAGGCCGCUUCGCUUUUAUUGUUUUAGAAUGGAUAACCGGGGGGGCAAGUAGGGAACCUGGCAAAGUGGCUUCCUGAUCGUAGACCACCCUUAGUUUCGGAUAUUAGGUGAGAGGGCGCCUAUAUCAUAGCUCUUACUGUGCUUUCUGGAUACACCUUUCCAUGCUUGAACAAGUCCGCACCCGGAUCUUCUCUUAUAAGCAAGUCGCUUUUAUUUGGCAAUAGGCAUGGUAUGCAUUUGAAGCGAAGGGCGCUAGCGCGUCGUAAUCAAAUAAUAAGUGGAGCGGAACACAGUUGGCUGAACAAAAGACGUAUGACUUUCGAAAGUAAGGAAAGACGUUGUCGGGAAAAGGAGCUCUAAUGGUACUAUUUGGGAAUAAUAAUCAUAAUAAUAGGGCUUCAUAUAGACAAAUCCAUUAUUUGAAAGAGCUAGGCAGCGACUCUCUAGCUUACUGCUAUUCUUACUUAUCUUAUGGGACUUGAAGCAAAGUAAAGGCAGCGCGUUAUAGUCAGUAAAGAUAUAGAACUUUGCCGGGGAAAGGAAAUAUUCCAUAAGUGUGUUUGCCAGACCCGAGAACCUUUGCUUGGAAGCACCUUCCUUUGGUUUGAAAGGAAAGAAGUGUGUUUGCCGGAGCACUCCCCAGCGAGGCGAGCUACAGCGGCACGACACCCUAAACCGACUUACUUGCAUAAAGCGACCUGCACUCUCUUAAACCUAGGUCAGUGAGAAUGAGAGGAGGGAGUGUACAGCCUUCAACCAGUACCACCGAGCCAAGCAACUAUCAAUCUGGUCUGAAACUCUCACUCGACAAACAAGAACAGACAGAUACUUUACUUCCGUUCGCACCCUAGUUCCUCUUGACUUCCGCUCGCACCCUAGUUCCAGUUCAAGUGUCAGCUUCAGUGAUAGUUUCGGUUGUAAAUGGAGAAAGUACUUGCUUUGAGGCUAGGCGAUAGUAGCAACAGUAGGAGUGAGUCACAGUAGGAAAAGAAUCAAGAGAAAGUACUCGCGAUGCCCUAGCCGGUGCUCUAGCUCUAAAUAGAGGCCCUUAUUGGUUGUUUCGGAUGCUUGUGUUAAUCAAUGAGGAAAAGAUAUAAUUGUGUGGCUAUGAUCUAUGUUAAUUAACUACUUCAUUCUAUCUAUUAUUAUUAAGGAUUGAGUUUCGAAAGAUAGAAGUGCUGUGUUCGUCUGUCUGUUUUCGUUUCUUUCUUCGUCUAUCUAUUUUCCCUUACAGGCAGCCUUAUUAGUCGCAGCUCAAUUACAUCGACCCUUGUUCUCGGUGGUGGAAUUUCUACUUAUGGGGUUCAGGUGAAGCGGGAUAAUCCAUUCUGAUUUUCUAGUGAAACGCCCAGUUCCUGGGUUCGAGUCUGGCUUCCUGCCUUAGUCUUAUGAGUUACAGUCUGGUAGUAGUAGCAGUUGUAUUAUAUUAGUAGUUGAUUUCCUAGUUUCUAGUUCCAUUAUUGUUAUCGGUGGAUCAAUUCUAUAAUGGAGUAGGGGUGUAGCCAGUUCCGAGGUUGCUUCCCUAAGUCAGGAGUCUAAGGGUUCAAAGUAGCUACUUGUCUGUUGGCAGUGGUUUUGGUCUUAUAUCAUAGUAGUGAACAAUCAAAGACAGGAAAGUAAGCCUCUCAGCCGACAGUUAAAGGAUCCGCAGUGCACUACUGGAUUCUAAUAUCUAAUAGUAUAAGCCUAAUUCUAAUAAUAUGGGUGAGCGGGCUUAGAAACAGUAAAGUCCAUACUGAUCUUAAAAGUAGUAGCCCAAAGUGAAUAAAUCAGAAUACAAAUAAGUCAUCAAAGAAUGAGGGAGAAUCACCACAAGUAAGUAAAAGAAUCAAACACUGCAAUAAAGAACGCAAGUGUUGAUGUAUAGGCUGGAUUUGUCCAUUAGAGAGAGGGGCGGUAGUCGGAUUCCAGCUUUUUAGUGCAUUUCUUAGUUCCGAGUUGUUCUCUUCCCUUUUAGUUCGAUUCACUGACACAAUAAGUAAGUCUGAUAUUUACAAUAAGUAAUGAAAGAAUAUGUGACGCGCUUCAGAACCCCUACCCUAUUUCUCCAAGUUUCACCUAUGUUCAACGUAGCCCAUGUAGCGGUAAAGAAGUAACCUGAACUCGUAGACAACACUCGAACAACUCUCAGAUCUUUAUUCUGAAUUUCGAGUGGAGCGCUGAGGCAUAAAUCAAUUGGAACUUACCCUUAAGCGGAAGUCAAAGAAGAAUUAAUGGAAUCUUUCGUUCACCUAUCGUAUUAUGUUAUGUAAUGGCAGAUAUGAUCUUAACGAUGAAACUCGAACGUAGCUUGCAGGAUACCCUGACUUGCUAUACGAUUCAACAAUCAAGGGAACUAUGUAAGCCUUAACACCGUGGUUAGUGCGCAAGAACUUCCUUAAGCCUUAACACCGUUUAGUGGGCCCGCUGAUUCAUUACUUUCAGAAUCAAUUACAGCUUCAAGUUAUUCAUUAGAAUAUCUCUCUUAUCGAGCACACUUCUUUCACUUGGUAUAGAAUAUAUGGUUGGUAAAGAAAAGACUCACUGCUUACUCUCGGGCUCUCGGGAGCAUACUUUCCUUACUUACUUACUCUUUAUCUACUAUUUGCUUGGCUCUAACUGCGGACCUCUGACUUGUGCCAAGAACAACCCCACUGGAUUUCUGAACCGACCCCAAGAGUAGGAGCAACCCCAAGAGAUUAUCGACUUGCAGAACAGACAACAAUACAAGUUUACUGCCCGAGCAUCCAAACCAGAUUGGAAGAAAUCAAACUGUCAUUGCUGCUUACAAGCGUAACUCUGACUUUAGCCUUAAGCGCUCCGGGUUUGGUAUUCAUUCUUCAACUUCCAGAGAUGAGCUUCGGCUUUGGUUUCGGUUUUGAUAGUUGUUCUUUCGUUUUUGCCUCUUCUUGCGUCUGUAGAACGCAGGAAUAACACACAGGAAUGGCAAGUACGAGAAUCCCUAAGAGCUAAGACUAACACAGAGGAAUAGAAGUAUUGAGUCUAAGACUUACACUGGGACAUGGGAAUGUAGGGCAGCGGGGGAAGUUUGAAAGUAAGCAUAUAGCCUAGUGCUCUGACUUUCUCAUUGAAUUCUGGAUUGACUAUACUUGCAAGAAAGAUCCAGUACCCGUUUUCAUAAUCUAUAUCUGUGUUUAAAGAUUCCAGUACUGUUUUCAGAAUCUGUACCUGUGUUGUUGUCGACGACCUUCUUUCUUUGCCUUCACCUUGAUUAUAGCCUUCUUUUCUUCCAGCACUAAGUGAAUGAGUGUAAUGUAAUCCUAUCCAGCCUGGGGCGAGUAGAAAGGAAGCAGCAAGUAGUUCUUUAAAUGGAGUUACGUUGGGGGGGAUAGGGAUGCUGCGCGAGUAGAAAGGAAGUCAGCUGCGAGUGCAGUAAGUGGUUCUUCACUGAAGGUUUAGGUCGGUUCAACAAACAAGUUCAUGAGUUAUUGUUUCAUAAUAUAUAGAGAAGAAACUGUAUCAGGAGUGGGAACAACAGAGGAUGUCCGCUACUACCACAGAAGGGUUAAUCCAAUACUUAAAUAGGUCAAGCCAAACACUACCUUUAACUACGCUGACCCGGGUAAACUCCCGGUUAUAGAAAUGCAUUGUCAUCAACACAGCAAACAGGUCCUUAAGUUGAAGCGGGAAGUAAAGGCUUUGAGGCUAGGUCUACUUCCAUAUCGCACCCUUGAGUUUCAUGAAAUACCUUAUCCGGAGUUGAGAGUUGAAAAGGAAGCUCCCUUUUAUCCCGUAGAGAGAAUCUGAUUGUCGCGUAUCCACUUAAGUAAGUAUCUCGCUCCCCUUUUCUAGAGAACACAUGGAUAGAAGCCUAAGUUGGAGUUUUCGGAUAAGCGAAGCGGGAUUCCCUUUCCAUGGUAAGAAUUGAAACCAGCGCAAACAAGAACGCAACAAGGACACUAUAGAUUGAGUCACUGCCUGGGGAAUACGUCUAAUAAGUAGGAGAAUGAAACGGAGUUAGGUUAUACUUAGAGUUAGUAGUGGUAAGCCAAUAGACUGUAUAGUAAGGCGGAGUAACAAACAUAGGAAAUGUGGGCAAUGGUGCUAGUUGGCAAUUCAGAUCUGAGGUCGGUAACGCAACACCCAAUGAAGAAGAAAAGCGAUGAGCCCAAGAGUUCAGGUCGGAGAGACAGGCUUGCAGGUGAUAAAGUGAGACUUAAGUCUCGGGGGGCUUGUGAAUGAGAAACAGGAGCUCCGGGCUGAUAUAGAGUAGUUGCAUACUUGGAGUUAGGAGCUACAGACCUAGAUAAAGCAGUGGAAUAGACAAACUCGCUCGGCAUUGAGAAAGAGUGUAGCGGCUGCCUUAGACAUAUGUAGUUUCUAUAUUACAAAGGAGCCAAGAGCAAGAAUGGAAUACUUCGUUACCACUUAAGCAUACGUGGUCAAUUAAGAAUAAGCGUAUUAGAUAAAAGGUAGGAAUGAGUCAAAGUUUGAAAACAAGCAAAGGAAACAGUUAAUUGAACUUUAGCCAAUACCCAGAUACUUUACCGCAUCAGAUCCAACAAGCAACGAAUACUAUAUAGUGUUCUAAAGGGGAUUCAUAUCCUGCAUAUUUCCGUGAGCAGUUUCUUCUCUUUCUUCUGUUAACUCGCACAGUGGAUUCUGUUGUCGAACUAGACUUUACCUCCGCUUUGUAUCCGUAUAGAAAAGGGAGGUCAUUGUGGAAUAAGAGGCUUAGCCGUGAAGAAGAGGUGUCUCAGUGAGGAAGGGGUGUCGCGGGUAAUCAACAAUUCCAUUCAUAACUUCAAGUGCUGUUUCCGAGAGGUCGGAUAGCCCACAUGUAAAGGUUCGCUAAAGAAAGUGUAUAAAGUAAGUAGCGCUCGGUAGCUGCUAUUCAAGUUCGAGUCGACAACUUCAUAUUGUUCUCAUCCCCAAGUAGCGGUGGUUCAGAGAAGCUUUGUACUCACUAACAUCUAUACUAUAUGCUCGAUAAGACAGAUAAGAUAUUCCAUUCCAGUUUUCGGGAGCGAAACUGUUAUAGUGCAGUGCAUUUAUUCCCAACAUCUUGAUGGUUCACUUCUUUAUGAGAAAGUCCUGGCAAAUUCUUCUUAUUCUGUUUCUUUACUUAAAGACUUAAAGUGGAAUUCUGUAAAGACUCUUAAAGUGGAAUUCUGACUUCCGGAGUUGGAGAGAAGAUCUGAAUAGUAGGAGUUAUGUCAAUGCUGAAUAGUUAGAGUUAUGUCAAUGCUGAAUAGUAAGAGUUAUGUGUCUAAGCGUUAGCCCAGUUAGUAAGAGUUUCUCAUCUGUGUUUCUUGGCGACAAUAGAAUAAAGAAGCAGUUCCGUUUCUCGGACAGGCUCAUAUUGGUUGGGUAUGCUCUUUUCAUAGGCAACUUUCCAGAGGGUCUUCAAGCCUAUAACUAGAAAUCCAGUCUUAUACUAAUGCGCUAGAUCUCUCCCUCUGCCUUCUACUACUAGUACUAAAUGCUGAGUUUCAGACCGCUCCCUUAGUUCAAGUAUUUAGCUAGUUGCCAGAGUUCGAUAAGCCUAAUUCAGGUAUCAAACUAAAGAUAUCAAGUCUAGUACCUUAGUAACAAUGAGUCACUACUAAAUCAUUAGCCAGGAAUUGCUUCCCUUGCUGACCUAUACUGUUACUACUUAGUUCCAUUCUUUAAGGAGUUAGUUCAAUUCUGACCCAUGGAGUUCCAUUCUUCCUUUUCUUCUCCUACUCCGACUCUUGCUUUUGGAGUAGUAACUUGGCCCCUACUAAAUGAGAUCUUAUCCGUAUAUAUGAAACAGGAACCUGAGUUUAAUCCGAAAAAGGAUCAUAACCAGAAACAGGAUUUGAAACUGGCCUUAGAAUGAAUUUAUUGCCUAUAAAACAGGGCUCCGUUGCUUAUGUGUAGCAAUGAAAUACGAGUUCCAGUGCCCUUAAGUAAUUGGUUUGAAACUAGAGACCUUUACUACUUGCCCACCUCUGCUCUGUCAACUAAUCCUGUUAUGGCUCUGUACUCUGGACUACUCUAAUCUACCGGAGUCAACCACUAUACUACUAGGAACCGCUCCUUAGCGCAACUAAAAACAAAGCUUGGCCCCGCUUCACUUCAGAUCGAGUCGACUUAACGGAUUACUUUAGAACAGAGCUUUCUGGUUCCCUUGCUUGAAGAUCUUUGUCCUGUGCCACUUAUAUAUCAGCAGCCUAUCCUCUUGCAACAAAUCAUUCUUCUGUGCCUUUCUACCACGCUAGCUGAGGCUUCAGAUCUUAAAACUCCCUAUACAGCGGAUUCUCUUUCUUCUGCAGCCGUAUCAAGUCAAUCAACAGAUUUCAUCUCUGCUGACCCGACCCCUGACUCUGGGCCCUGUCUCUUUUAGUCUUAUACUUACUCGUUGCAUUCUGACUUGAAUACUGAGACGCUAGAACUCAACACUAAACAAGAGCUCCCGAAACUAGUACUUUACCUCGGAGCAGACUGAAAAACAUCCCCCAAAAUACAGGGUAGUAAAAAAGCCCUACCCUGACUUUAGGAUUCGGAUAAUUUAUACCUUUUCCACUACUCUACUACUACAAAUACAGAUGCUACAGGACCAACCCACUCACUAAAACCCGGCAAAAAAGGCAGCACAUGGAUUUCCCCUCCUGGAAGGCCUGAUUUCAAUGAUCUUUUUUAAGAAACCCGGGAAAAAACAACGCAUGGGUGAGAGCUCCCAAAAACAGGACUUGGUAAUGCGAAGAAAGGAAUUGUUAUAACAAGCGGAGAAAGGAAUUGUUAUGACUAGUUAUAAUAUAUCUAUGCUGUUGCUGCCGCGCAGCUUUAAACUCGCUGCCGCUCUGAACUCCUGACGCCGAAAGCAUCUAUUGUUAUAAUUCGAGGGAAUUAUAGUAAGCGGCCCUGCCGCGCAACGUUAGUAGUUGCUUGCCUGUUGCUACCGCCCAACGUCUUGCGCCGCCUAAAACUCACUGCCGCGCCACGUUAGUAGUGUCUUGGCGGUCGUUAGUAGUUGUUUGUCUAGUAGUUACUUGGCGCGCCGUUGCUUGGUCGGAACGUUAGUAGUUCCUUGGCCCCAGCUAGAGCACCCAUUGGGAAUCCAAAGUGGGCGUUUUCCCGUGUUUUUUCAUAGCGACCCCGAUUUCCCUGCUAACGAGGUCCAAAAGAAUCUGAUCUUUGCGUUUUCCCGGGAUUUUGGAUAGCCAAGGUAAUUUCCCUCCUGGAUCACCCAUUUGGAAUUCUCUUUUUCCGUUUUCCCGGGAAACAGCGCUGGCGCGUAACAUUAGUAGUUACUUGCCUGAUAGCAAAUAGAAUUUCCCUCCUAAAGGGUUCGAUGUAUCUUCUUUUUUUCAUCAACCCCGUGUUUUUUGGUAGCCAAUAUAGACUUUCUUUACUUAUAGCUUAGCUUCAAAGCCUCCAACUAAGUCCUGUGUGAGCCUGAUGUACUAGAUGCUUACUACUAGAUGAAUUCUAUGACUACUUUGUUUCUUUCUUAUAUGUACACUUGUUUGAUUCUGAUCUAGUACCUAACAUAGGAUAAUGGAUACCCUGACCUACUAGUUGACAGCUGAGUUCCAUUCCUUUACUUACUUAUUUCAUUGGUUGACUCCCUUGGUUCAUUCUGAUGCCCGAUGUGAAGAAAUAAGACUUGUUGGCAACUGAGUGAAGACUGGUUGUUAGUAGUUAGAUACCUUAGCUACAGGCUUACUAGCUACAUACUAAUACCUAGCAGACACCGCUUCAGUCUAGUAAUUAGUGGUAUCAGGCUUGGAUGCACAGGUGAAAGUCUCAGUGGUACCGGGUGAAGCCUGUAACUACGGGAGUGAAUUCUGAAGCUACAUGCCCAGCAGCACGGGUUAUAGCCUCAGCAGCUGCGGUCGGAGCCUGUAACUCACUUGUUUGGUUCUUUCAAUACCGAGCUCCAUUCUUCUACUUACAAGUUUCGUUCUUUAAUGACUUAGCCCGAGUCCCAAGUGUAGCUAUAGCACUGGCAAACACAGCACUUGCACUAGACGAACUCUUUCAUUUCACUCCAGUACUAUACUCAGAAAUACCUCUUUCUAUUACACUAAGAAAUACCUCAGCUACAUACCCUUACCAAUAGUGGAAUUCGAACUUCCUGCCUUACUGGCUCCUUCCCUUACUAGCUCUUUCCCUUACUAGCCCCGAACACAGGACCACUGACUUAAGGCUUACUACUAACUAGUUCCACUCUUUCUUCUCUGGUCAACAGUUGCAUUCUAUAAGUUAGCUAACAAGGCUUAUACCUAAUAGUUGUACUCUGUAACUGCCUACUUGCCCACUAGCUCCACUCUUUAACUCCUGGGUUCGAUUCUUAGUCUCUGCUUGGUUUCAUUCUUGUUAGGAGUGGUUUCAGUCUGUUAGUGCAGUGAUGCAUUCUCACUACCUUGACUCUAAGUCUCGCUACCCCUACUUUAAGCCUGCCCAGCAUCGGUAUCAGUCUUAAGCACUAGCAUCGGUCUUACUACCCUUGCUUUCAGACUUGGAUUCACCAGCUUCAAUCAGAGCGGACACCGUAUCAGCCUUGGAAGCACUGAUUUCAAUCUUAGUCCUGUAGUAGCUAGUAGCUAGGUCAACUCUUACUUAUGGGUUUGAUUCUUUAGCCUUCUACUCAGCUACCUGGUUUGAUCCUGAUACUGCUUAGGGACAUUCUGAUUGGUAGCAGCUUCAGUCUGGUUAGCCCUGGCUCUAUUCUCUAACACCUACAGAUCGGUCCGAGCAACACUUGUUUUAGUCUGUAACUACCCAGUUGAAGCCUUGGAAGCGGUGUUUUAAGGCUUGCGCUCACUCCUCUCACUCUUAGAAGCACGGGUUGAAGUCUUGUUGUUGGCUUAGAGGCGCUAGUGGAAUACCGAGUUGACGAGUUGAGGCAAUCAGAUCUCUGCAGCAGUCUCAGUGGCAUUGGUACUAGACCUUAGCUACCCGGUUUCAGGCACCAAGCAACUACUAAUGACCAAGCCGAUCUAGGCGGCCAAGUAACUACUAAUGUUACGCGGCAGCCAAUAAACAGUCAUAACGAAGUUAGUACAAUAGAUGCUUUCGGGAGUUGAGCUAAACGGUAGCGAGCCUUUUCCCUCGGUGAAGUCUUGUUUCAUAUAUAAGGAGAUUCUAAAUGAACCGCCAAGACACGACUACACCUCUGGCUCAUCCAACUCAGGUAUUUUAUUGAACUCCUAACUCAGGUACGAGCAAUUGGCCGAGUACUUUUCUAUAUUAUUUGUGAUUUGAGAAAUUGAUUCAUCCCACAUUUCUUCCAAAUCGAUUCAUCCAUUGGAUUCUUAAGCCCAGUCCACACUAUUCUUUAGUUCACUACCGGUAAGUCAACUCAAUCUAGACUACUCUACUGGUUGGGCAAGCUCACUCUAGACUACUCUACUGGUUGGGCAAUCAUCUUGCGUUUUCCCGUGUUUUUUCGUAGCGACUAAGUUUUCCCUCCUGAGUGACAAGAUGGAAAUGAGAUUUGUGCGGGGACUCCUGCCGCAUCACCGAACACAUAGGGAGUAAGAGAGCAACCAAAACGGUUUAUUUGCUUUUUAUUAUUCCAGUUGAGUUUGAGGCCUUGGCCCCGGGAUUUUUCAUAGCAUUGUCAUUUCCCUUCCUGGACCGAUACAAAGUCAUUCCCGGACACAGGACUUGCUCAUAACUCCCUAACGUCCGUUAUUCGUUGCUGCCGCGCAACUUACGUAGUUGCUUGGCCGUUUUCCCGGGAUUUUUCAUAGCAAUAUGUACUAGUCUCUUACCGAUGAGUUUACCUCGGCUACUGGACCUCUCCUCUGUCUCCACAAACACAUAGCAAGUAGGCAAACUAGGUAAGCGGAGGCUGGCUCUUGAAACUCUCCUCUCAUCCUAUAUACCUCUGCUCUGGCUCCGGCUACUAAUCUAACUCGACUCUGGCUCACUUGCAUUCUUAUACUUACUGGUUGCAUUCUGACUGCUGUUACUAAUUCUAUGCAUCUCUACUUUCUUUCCUUCCCGCAACAGAACAAGUAGACUACUUUCACAAUAGUCAGAGGAUCGGUAGGCAAGAACUGGGCAACUGUUUGACUCGGUGCUCGACUCAGUGUGUUAGUUAGCCUUAUAAGGAAGUCCUCAUUUUGCCUGGAGUGGAGACUUUACUGCUCUGUAAGUAAGCAUUCGAUUCGGCUUCGGCUGAUGAUCCUUUUUAUGCUCCUGCUUAUGGUUAUCUACCACUUGCCUCUCCUUACUUACCUAGCUCGAGCUCUAGACCUAUCCUUUGUUUUAGAGUUAUGAGCAAGUCUUCCUCAGUCUAUGUUUUCGGGAACUAACGCCAACAAGAAUCAAAUCGAAAAUGCAGAGGUAAACCAGCGCUUAUGAGAAUCAAAUACAGAAGUCAGAAGUCAACUCAGCGGUAUUACCAUCUGAACCAGGACCUAAACUCUGAAUGGCAUACUUUAACUCGUUGGGUGGGAACUAAGACGGAAAACCCUAAUUAUUAUAUUGAAACUAUCAACUAGGGCUUUCAUUACCGAUACUAAGCUAAGAUUAACCACUACUCAUAAGAAUAGGGCUGUGUCGUCGGGUAACUAGGUUCACUAUCUUCACUCGGAUUCUUUAACAUUGACAUAGGAUCCUUGCUUGCUCUCAACCUUACACACCACUGGGAGCAAGAACUAAACAACUUAUUAUCAUAUUGAUACAAGAUAAAGGAAAUACGAGAAUGCAUCUACUACUGAUAAGGCUGAUAUAUCGCACAAAACCUCGGAUAACAAGAUCUUAACUAGCAACAGGGAACGCCCCUGCCGCUACUCUAUCCAAGUAUUUCUUUAUUACUUCAACAAUACUCUAAGUAUUUCUUUAUUACUUCAAUACUUUACGGGGUCCCCAACAAGAAAUCAAUCUCUAAAGAUAUUUCAUUCUUUUAAUCAAUAGUAGGAAAUCAACUCAGAACUAGGGCUUAACUAAACCAGCAAUACCUUAAACCAAUACAACUAAGUAUAAUAGGAUAGGAACACCUCGGCUUUCGUUUCGCUAUUGAUAUCAAACCUUAGCUUCUAUUGCUUACUUACAUGCUUUAAAUACACUGAUUCGGAUCCUUUAACUAGUGCUUUUUGAGUUCUCCAACUAACUACUAUCAUUACUACUAUCAGAAUUGAGCACGUAACUAACAGACCUAAACUAAGAAGUGAGCCUGAAACUCAAGACCUUCAAGCUUCCAAUACCGCGGGCCUUGCAAACUACCAACCACCUCUCACUCUGAAACUUCCCCUCUUUGGCGCUGUGCCAACCUGACUUUUAUUUGUCCCCUUCUUAUACUCCUGUCCUAAUUCCUAUAGUUGUCCAGAUAGAUUCCAUCCAUGCCUUGAACCCUGCCACUCAUGCCUACUAGGCUUACUAUCCGACUCAAAAGUCAUAAAUAAACUCAUGACUAGGAAAUCGACAUAGGGAAUUUCUGUAGGAGAUUUCAGAAUGGAACGAGUGUGCUCCCACAAAUAUGGAGCUCUAAGACCGCUAAUCCAUAUUAGAUAAGUCACCGUUUAAACGCAGAAUGCCUAUAAGGAAUAAUAGACUAGAUGCAAGGGGAGAGGUAGCCUUGGAGUCAGUAAAGUAAGCAAGUCAAGUAAUCCUGACAGGCAGUAAAGGCAUACUCCAAAAUCUUAAUGAGAAAACGUAGUAAUGGGAGAGCGUAGUGUCAAACUUUCGCUAACAAACAGGACUUCAAGUUAGUAUAUCAAUACUUAGAGUUAGGGGCGACAGGGCUAUGUAAGGUAUAGUCCGUUUUCACUACUGUGCUAAUAAACUCAGCUAGAGCAUAGGCAUCUCAGUCACAAGUAUCAGUUUUGUGGUAGAAAGGAAUACUUUGAAACUAAUAAGUCAGGAUCCGAGUCGGGAGUUACAGAAAGCAAAUACUAAGUAUUAAUACAAAAUCAAUAGUCUAGUGGGGUAGCUUCGUUACAUCAAUAUAGUCAGGGUGGUUUUACUGUCAAUAGUCGGUUUUUCUAUUAAUACAAUAAUACAAGCAAUAAAAUAAGAAUCUAAUAGAAUAUAUAGUUGGUAUGGUUUUUCUUCUAUUGAUACAAUUGAUACAAGCAAUAGUGGAGUGAGUGGGUUCGUUCCAUCACCGCUUCCUUGCAUUAUGUAUUGCUGCUUUCAACCUACUACUAUGUUAUUAACACUAUUAGAAUCGAACCAAUGUCAAUGAUACUUUAACUGGAAACUAGGGAUUAGAUCAGAUCAGUACGAGCGGGAAUCCAACUCAUAAGGAAUAGGAUGCACAAGAAUAUAAAGAAGCAUUAGCAAUAAGAUCAGUAUUAAUGGAAUACGGGGUAAUUCUGGCUUAUGAGCUUUCAACUGGGAACUGCUACGAGAGAGGCGGACCCCCACUUCCAAAUACAGAAUGAGGAGGAGGUGUCCGGAAACAGAAUCUUUAUUGUUAAUACAAUUACAACGCUGUAAGAAUGGAGUGGUUCAAUAAAGAAUGGAAGGUAGGAGAGGCAGCCUUAGCUAUGGGAGGGCACAGUAGGAGUUAUUGUCGGGUGAGGUAGCCUUUGAUAAGGUAGAGCAAGGUUGUAGUGUCGUGUCGUUAUCCGGGUUCAUAGGCUCGAAGGCAGCAGGGGAGGGUUUCAAAAGGAAAAUAGGUCAUUAGAUAGGAAGGACAGGCUAUUACUACUGAGGUCAAUACCUAUUUUAGAUAAGUAGCCUAAGAGCGGCAGAAGCCAGUAGGGGACUCACAAGUCUAUAAGCAAGGAUACAAGACAAGGUAAUUAGAAUAGGAAAAUGUUAGCUUAGUCAGCCUCAUGGUAAGAUAUAUUAGAUUUGAAGCAAGGCAGGACAGGAUAGGAGAAAGUAGGGGCAGACUACUAAGUUCAAUACGAAUAUGAGGUCGGGAAAAGGCGGGAUAACAGUUCGGAUUGGCGUACCAAUAAUAGAGUAGUGGAUAUCCGGGUAUCAAGUGGAGUUCUUCUUGGCAUUGGUUGACUUGUCUUACUUAUUAGUGGAAUUGCUUAUAUCAAGGUGAAGUCAAUCUUACACGAUAAGGAAUCAAAGCUAGUAGAUCCAUUCUCAUCGGCGCGAGUUGGAUUCCGCCCUACCUAAGGAAAGCAUUCUGAUAAUUGCUAUUGGAAUUCUUUAUUACCCCCCCGCCGCUCCUCCUUCUCCUUUAGUAUAGGAUCUAAGUUGGUCCUUCUUUCACUAAUGAUCUCAUAGGAUCUAAGUUGGUCCUUCUUUCACUAAUGAUCUAACCAUUAAUCUAGUAGUUCGCGCGAGGGACUAUCCUUUCUAUCGCUUGCGCUUGCUUUGAACUCUCAAGGCAAUCUUAGAGAAAGCGAAGCAAAGCGUAUUCCGCGAGAGAAACACACACGAACACGAUGCAGGGCAUAGCAUAAAUGAGACCAGACCGCUCAUAAAACAUAUAUUAUAUGCUUUACCUUUAUCGAUGCUUUUUGGGGGGUGACUCACCAACCGGAGUGAUCGAUUACAGAAUGGUACGAACAAAUAAAAGUCAUUGCUGUUAUCCAUUGACUUCUCUCUUAACCCCUUUGCAUAUGUUUCUAAAUUGGUUUGCACCUCAAUAAAUACGGGCUUUUGGCUACUCCCACUCUCUUAUGCUGCAUUUAUUAGCUUAGCUGAGUUAGGUACUCUCUUAUGCUGCAUUUAUUAGCUUAGCUGAGUUAGGUGGAUCGUGCAAUAGGCCUCUCUCGACCCUCCCUUUAUCAUACGUCUUUAUGAAAGCCUCUUGCUCAUCAACUACUCAGUAAGAUCUUCUUGUUUGUGAUUUUGCUUCCCUUAACGGAUUGGAUUGGCAUUUCGUGCCUGCUGCCCUGCGGAAUUCUACCUUUUAUCCGCUGGUUGGUUGGGUGGAUCGUCUAGAUCGUCCUGACGAGGAUUAGCAAAUCUUUCUCUUUUUUCUCAAUUUAUCCGAAGUGCGUCUUGAUCGAUGGUCCCCAUUAGCUUUAGUGCCAAUUAGCAGCCGAUCUUUGGGGGAGGUUCUGUGUGAUCUAGGAUUUUGGGGGAGGUUCUGUGUGAUCUAGGAGAAAACCCCUCUGCCCUGAAUUCCUUCAAUGUCGCACCUACUAUCAAAGACUGAAUGAUCCAAAGGGAUAGACAUCGCCAUCGAUCCCUCACCCCGCUGCUAAAACUCUGCAUCCUGAUCCAGCUGACUUCCCCGAGCUACGCAGAAGGAAUAAACCUAAAACACUUUCUGAAUCUUCCGGCAGUAGCAGAAGACAUGAAAGUCACUCGCGCUGGGCAUCGAAUUCGGGUAUCAUGAUCCCGUAGGCCCUGAAAGAACUGCCCGAGGACCCACCUAUUUACGCUUCAUUCCGAUCCCGCACUGGUUUGGAGAGCUAUUGAGACGAAUCCGGGCUCAUGUUUGGCCCUAUAUAGGUGUUUGCUGGGGGGUUACAAAAUCCGCUGAAACGAAAAGAAAACGAGUCCCUAGUAAUCCGAAUGGAGCUUCGUAUAGUGCGCAACAAGGUGAAAAGUAGACUUUCGCAUGCAGAAUCUCAGGAAUCCUACACUCUAUGGCUACGAUGAUAAAAACAUCUGCUUGUUACUAGAAGUAAUCAUUAGGAAUCAUCAACCAUCAUACAAAGGGCUUUUUGAUUUCGUAUGUUAGAUCCGUCCUCGUACUAUGGAUUGGGGAGAACAUAAAUUGCUCGAUACGUGAUCUUCCUUUCAGUGCCUUUUCGGGUCUUGUCUUCUUGGUCAAGCUUACUGCCCGGCGUGCUAAUGAGCGAAUACUUUCUUACUGGGGCAAAUCUUCUUAUUGAUGGUUCCGAUGGACAGGAACAGGAAUUGUCAUAACGGCCAAGCAACGUGACAAACGGUAAGCCGUCAGGUCAAAGUAAGUAUUUUCGGAUUGCCUUCUCCAUGACAGCCUUCUCAUUUGACAAUAACAAAUGCAAAUAGACUUGACCUUCUGCUUGGGUAAUUAGUUACUGCUGGACCCUUUGCAUAAUCAUUUAUUAUUGACUUCUCCGUAAUCGAACCUGCCAUCCACACCGCCUCUUCCCCUGUUUUGUUUAGGACCUGGCAAUGGAACUGACUUAUGUAUGGUAUUGUCUCUCCAUGAUCUACGCGCACUAGCUUUCUCGGCGACUAAUGCCCUUCCGCUCAUCCAUUGCCUAUGGUCUCUGGUAAGUAGUCUAUAGUGCACUUUCGUCUCUUGCCUGCCCUCUUAUACUUAGUUCUUAUUUAUUACUUCUUUCGUGGUGCGGACUCUCCGGCUUGCUUGGCUAUUGAAUGAAUCUUAUGCUUGUCAGGUCCACUCCUGGGUCUUAUCUUGACUAUCGUCUACUUCGGUUACUCCAACCCCGGAAACAUUAUCUCUUCCACAAACCUCUUCACCUGAACUUCCGGAGUCCCUAUCUAAUAGUACCUAGUCUUCGUCUUUACGGUUGGCCACGCUUAAAGAUGGGUGCCCCCCACUGGCUAAUAGUGAUGACAGAAACAGUCAAUAGCAACAGUGCCCGCUUAGGCCUUCUGAAGCAUAUCCACGAAGUGGUAUUCCCGAUGUAGUAGGCUUAGCCCCAAAGAAAGAGGCAAGAUGACUUAUGUAUGACUGUUUGUUGUUAUGUUUCGUACUUUGAAACUCUCGCUCGAGGAAACAGAGUUUAGUAUAUGCGUAAUGUACUAGCUUGGCUUUGUUAUGUUCCAAAAUAGGGCGGUAAGGAAUCAAUAAAAGUGGUUGGGAAGUGCCCGGCCAUCUACUAUGAGCUACUAGUAAUGCUCUAACCCGUAGAAUCACAACAGUUCUCCUUUCAAAGCAGUCGAGCGGACAACCAGAGAUCGUAAAAACCUCCCCAAUCAAUAAAGACUUCCGUAUGCAGAGAAGUGGAGUGGUAAUUAUGGAAGCAACAAGGCUAGGUUACGGUCGAAAUGGGGAUAUAUGCGUUCUCUCAAGCUGUUAAGAACAAGACCAUACUAUAAGCUAUCGAUCUUGAGAUAUAAGGGGAGUGCACCACCGCCAAACAAUCUAUCAUCCAGCGGUGAACAACCAAUUCGACGUUGCGUUGAUUAGGAGAUGGGGUUCCGAACUUAGUUGAAAAGCUAAUGGGCUAAUAGAAGGGGAAGGUCAAGUUAGGGACAGAUGGAAGUGGCUAACGCCCUUUUCAAUAGGAGAGGUAGGGGCGCUUAGUUUAUACCCACCCCUAUGAAAUAAAGAUGUUCAAACAAAUGCAUGACUUAUAGAAAUUCUCCUCAACAUUGAUUAUUGCGAGAAAGCCAUACCUCACAUUCCAAGUCAGUAAAGCCCAUACCCACAUAUGGCAAUAGAACCCUAACCUUGCGUGUGGAAGUAAGCCCAUAUUGUAUGGUCAAACUCACUCUUUUCAUGUGGGGAACGGUAAGCUAAUCAGUAUACUAGAAAAAUCCACAUCGCUUGGCUGCCUUAGGUUUGAAGGGUCCAUGAAACACACACCACCCCAUGAUCAGUUGCUUCGUAGCAAGCACCAAACAUGGUCUUUCCCAAUGCAUACAAAAAUAGCUCGAGACACAGCGCCUGCCAUGCAAAACGGGAUAUCUCUUACGAAACUCAUAAUGUCAAAACGAGGUAAGCCUUUGCCUGUGCUUUUCACAAAGUAUGAAAUGAAGAUGACAUUUACUUCAGCUUAGUAAAAGCAUUUUGGACAUAAGGAUUCAAUCGCCCAAAAGUCAUAUUCUACCCGCUAUACAUCAUAUCUUUCGGGAAUAGGACAUAAGGCUGAUGUAAGUAGGGAUUAUUCCUCCUUAACUCUUUAAUGGCGCUCUCGAAUUAAGGCGAUCGCAGACUCCAUUGAUGGGCUGAAAUUCCAAAGGGUAGCGCGGUGCAUCUCUUGCAUCAUCUGUCGGCCCGGCCCCGAUUCCAUUGUGGAUGGGAUAAAUAAUCCCCGCAAAGGCAUUUUUCCAAUCUUAGGGUGUUGAUACGGACCUACAUAUGGAACAACAAUUAUAUAAAGACAACAUUGUUUGUUAUAUAAAGACAACAUAGUUUGUCCAGCGAAAACUCAUUCUGUUGUCGCCUGCUCGCUACGAUACAGGCCCUGACAGUUCCAACUUAUUUAUCUAGCCUCUGUUACAAAUAACAAAGCAAAGUAAGUAACAACGGCUCUGUAAUAUGCACAAACAGAACAAGACUGUGAACUUAACAAUACUAACCUUAUGCUGCGAGGUGGCCUCUGCUUCUACAGCAGCAACCCUCUUCACCAUCGCCUCUGUAGACUCUCCGCAACAGCCAAGGCCCUUUUUGACUCUUCGCCCUGUCGUAUCUCGCCCUAUUGAAUAACUAACGUGUUCUUCCACAUCAGAAACAUGAUCUUUGGGCUUCAAUGUAAUAUGGGCAGUUUCAGAUCCUUCCUCAAUAGCCUCGGUUAGCAUUUUCUCAGAAACCACCUUUUGGAUCCAGCUCAUAAUGUAAUGUGAUUCCGACUCUGUGGCCGGGACAACUAGAAUUUGAGGUUCGACGGUCGAUUAGACCUCUAGCUCAGAAGCCUUCUCCAAUGAAACUUAUUCCACAAAGAAUGGAAUCUAUCUUCGACUCUUAGUACUUACUCACCUGCUCUUGCAACUUGAACCACCUCGAUUCCUUCAUGCCCGGAUGUGUUUCCCCCGAACUGGUUCCGCCUUGACGCAGCUAGGACCAGACUCCCUGUACCACAGUAGUUGCUACCGAGCCUCAUCACUCAUUUCAUAUUUCUAUCUUUGCAGCCGCUUAUCGGAGCCCGCUCCCACUUCGGAAAUUCUCCUCUUUUGGAGUCCCGAGUAACAGCCUGUUUUCCAGAUGGGUCAGCUAUUCGAAUGAUGGGCCCAUGUUUUCCCUUGCUCCUCUGCUAUGUUCGUCGUAUCCUUUAGCUCUAACAGCCAGAUCAGAAAUCAGAGUUUUUCUCAGUUGCAACAGCGCCUCUGAUAGCGCUUUUACAUGGGGGCCUCUUAUAACCGUCUCUCUCUUGAGCGCAUUACACCAAAAAGGAGAUUCAUGUCCUGUAGUAUCAUUUUGGGUCAUUCCCCAUACCUAACAGCAAGUCUCUCUCGCUCUCUCAAAUCAUCCCAUUUGAACUCUCUUGCUUUUCCUCCUGAAUCGAAUAGUCAAAGCGAGUGUCUCCAUGGCGUUUUCGUGUUCUUUCUUUCAUGUGCAAUAAAGUCAGAAUUGGGGAUCAAAGAAAGUGGGAUUUGAGCGAUGCAAGUGCAUUAAUUCUAUUGUACUUUACUUUUCGUCAAAUUGACCUCAAACAAGAAAAACCACUCCAAAUGUUUGUUGCGGUUUAGAGCAUUUUCACCUGAAGAGCUGGUUGACAGCGGUCUAGUCAGUCCCUCUCGCUCUUUGAUAGAAAGAUUUCGGGUUUCAUCCGAAAAACUGCUUUAUGUCCUUCCUAUCCUUCCUUGCUUAAGUAAGGUUUAUGAAGGAGUAGCGGCCUGUGUCUCCAGCUCUGGGAUAACUUUACCUCUAGCUAACCUAGAGAGCUUUACUCGGGCAGGCACUCUUCUUCGGAAAGAGGAGUCGCUUUCCUUACCAGCGCAGGAAGUUAUAGCAAUGGGCAGCUAGGCAAACGAAGAUUAUAUAAGAGAUUUCAGGAUCUGUUUUUAGUAAGGACAACCGGAUUGGGACGAUUAGGUCGGUAAGCCCAAUAGCUUCAAAGUCUUGCUCCAUUUGCCACAAAGAAGAAGUUGUCGAUCUCCCGAGCAUCCCGUGAACACCCACUUAAGGCCUUUGGGUCCUGACCCUUGGAGCCAAUUACUAUAAGUAACCCCAUCGUGUAUCAAUCAGUUCGACCACGAUCUCGAUUCCUCCAUACGAUCGAUCUAUUCCAGCCCAUGAAACAGCCCUAAAUUCCUUAUUCAAAUGCACAUUAGGAAAGCGGAUGGCACUACUCUUCCUACUUACUACUAUCAGCAGCAGCAGUAAGUAAUAGGCUUGCUCAGUCUCGUAUGGGGUUCUGUUGAGUAAGAGUGGAGUUCGGAAUGCGUAUGAGGCCAGAGCAUAACAAGCCUUCGAGCUGAUACAGCCUUGACUCCGAUGUAACCUACAUGUACUACUUUGACUUUUCAUCAUCUAAAAAAGCCUACUAUUCUAUUAAGUAGCAUUCCGUUCUCUGUUUGCUAGCACCGUUCCCCACCACCCUUUUGUAGGACACCAGCCAGGUCACUAAAGUCUCAUUGCGUACCGUCUUCAUCUGAUUGCCCAGUUUGAGUGUUGUCUCUGAGAUCAGUAGAGGAAACAGAAUCAUUAGCUAUGUAAGAUAGAAUUCAGGAAUAAUUAGCUAUGCCGGAUAUAGAAGAGAAUAGAGUCACAACUACCACUCAGUAAGACGAAAACUUGACUAGUUUGAAACUGCCCUUAAUGCGUUUAUUAGCUUGUGCGUUGCUUGUUUCAUUCCAUAAUGGAGUUCUAGUUUGCAUUUCCUCCUUUCCUUUACUUACAGCAAAACAGUUUGUUAACGGUACAGCACAGCAGUAUGUUCAAUCAUACCGAAAUAGGGUUUCCAUUUCUGAUAUUAUUUCUCGAAGAAAAGAAGCAAACCCUUCUUUAUAGAUUUGCAAUGGCCAGGCAGAAGAAACGGUUUUUCGGUUUCCUUUCAUUUCAUCCCACUCCUCUCCGCUCUUACUGGGAUUCCACCACUGUUUGGAAUUACCCCCAUCUUUUUCCUCACUAAUGAUCCGAGAAUGGUUUCCAGGUAUUUAUGAAAAGGCUCAUCUUAGUCCAUAUGAGACUAGAGUGGAGAAGUGUUUGGCUAUCAUGACUAUCAAGGGGCACAUAAGCAAACUAGAGGGCAGAUAAUCAAACCCAUUGUAGUUAUCAUCCAUUGGAAGGAGGCUUUGGAUGCAUGUGUGCUAUAAACAGGCUCUUAGCACCUCGCUUGUCUUUGCUAUUCUUUUCUGCUACAUAUAGUAGAGCGGAAUUCUCUUUACUACUUUGGAAGGCCCCUCGAUCUCCGACGCCUAAUCCAAUCUCGAGGUUACUUUCGUCGGGCCGGGCUUGCUGGGAUUAGUUAGUUUCCCGCUGUCAACAGUCAACAUCACCUGUAUGCUCUCCUCAUUAUAUUUCAUUGGGUAUGUGUUUAGACCAUUCCAAAGUGGUUUGCUUCUGCUUUAGUCUCCUGAGCAUACACCCGUAUAAGGUAGCAACGACUCUUUCUUCGCAUAGGUUGUGUAUCCUGCGCUAACCUAAGAAAUAUUUGAUGAAAAUCACCCCUCCUCCUAAUCCUCUAAUCAGGUACAUUGGUGAUGGCAACAACAGGGAAAUUGAGAUUCUUUUCAUAGAUUCUGCCAUGCUCGGCAUACAAUCUGAACUCCCACCCCCCUAAUGAAUUUGGAGUAUAGUGUUGUUAGCAGCAGCGAGAGAACCUUGCAUGUAAGUUUCCCCCUGCGAAAGCCUCAUUAUUAGCAAUGUUCAAUUGAUCAAAAAGCCAUAAAUCGUAGUGGUCGUGUGCCUCCGUGAAAUCAUGCAUUUUUCCACUAGCGAAAUAGAUGUUCAGUACGCUAUUAAGCAUUUCUAAGAUGUUGCUCUUUUGCGUACUUGGUUCGCCAUAAAGCAAUAGCAGCUUUGUAUUUAUGGGCCUAUGAAAGAGAAGAUGACAGGCAACCCCAUCUAAUAUCCAAUACAUCUCCUUUCACUCAUCAAUUGUAUAUUCCAUCGGCCACCCCUUUUUGUUAAGUACUUUUGGAUUCUCAUCUGUAAAUUGCUCUCUCUGUCUUUAAUUACUCUUAGAUCUUCAAAGAUGGCUUUAAGAGUAUUAUAGCAGGAUAAGAUUCUGUUCCGCAACUCAGGAUCCUCAUAUACUUUAUACCUGUCCUCUAGGCAAUUUCGCUUUUUCAGAAUUCUUUCGUUUAUUUCUGGGCUCCCCCUAUAUAGCUUUUGAAUAAUGAUAUCCUUCCUUUUAGGGCUCUUCCUAUGUUGCUUUUUAACAUAAUCAAGUAUUUCCUCUGAAGCAAGGUAAGAAACAAGAUCUGGAGAGGAAGCAAUUACUGGUUUUGCUGAUCGAAUAUGUGCUGAGAGGCGUCUAUGUGCUUAGAGGGGUGCUUCUCCAAAACAAUAGGAUCCUUAGAAUCUGUCUGCUUCUCCAAAACAAUAGGAUCCUUAGAAUCUGUCUGCUUCUCCCAAACGCCCAGCCCUGUUUUUCACGUUACUGAGCGGGCAGCUCCUUACUCUCCACUUUAAGAAGACGAAUCGACAACACUUGAUCGAACUCCACUUACAUAACCGGAAGAUCCAGCUCUUUCCCCAGCAUCUGAUCUGGUCGACUUAGCGCUUGCUGGUUCCGUUGUUUGUGGAAUAGAACUCCUAACAUAACGUCUUGCUGCUUCCUUUCGAACCGCUGAUUCUCUUUCUUCCCUUGCCGACCUGUCCUCUUAAAUUCAAUGAAACUAUAAGGAUAAGGAGUGAAUGAAACUAUAAGGAGUGGCGAGCGGGACCCUACAUCCACUGUUUUCUUUUGACUCUGUCAAGCACAACAGCUGCUACUGACUUUUGACUGCCCGGAAAGGCUUUCUCGCACCCGUGAGUAGUUAGUUAUUAAGUAAAUAGCUGAGUUGCGGUAAGUCAUACUCUGAUCCUCUGUUUUCUAGCUUUCCUUCCGUAGUUACUUGGCCCGGACUCCUAUACUGGAUGCGCUAGAUCUACCCCUUACUUACUUGUCUUAUGAAUGCCUCCGCAAAAGCAGCAUUCCCUGAUAUCCAUACUAGAGCAAGAGGCAACUACAAGACCAGUGCCCUUAAUUCAUGCGUCCUCUCUGGCUCUUUCUCCUAACUCAGGAUGUAGUAACUCCUAUAACUCGUAUAACCUAUGCUUCAAAACUCACUCCUAACACCGAAGACAGGACUCGAUUUCUCUUCUCCAGCUUCUGUAUCAAAGCCAGUACUUUGACUGUUCGAGGUAAAGUGACAAGUGUAGUUACUAUUCCAUAGGUACUAUAAAUAGAAUACAAGGGCUCUUUCCACUCAAACUAUACUCGCUUGCAGAUGACAUGACUCCCACUUUGCUUCAAAACAGCUUACUGCUGGCUCCUUAGUGACAACACUAGUGAAACGUCUUGCAACUUACUUGCGCUACUCAGCCUUUACCGACUCAGUUGAAAACAUUCCCCCUACUAAUAAUAAUUCAUAGGACAAGGAAUAAUACCAGAGCCAAGCAGUAGAGUAGUUCAGUUUCACCUGUAGAGUAGUUCAGUUUCACCAGUAGAGUAGUCCUGUGUAAUUACUCCUACUUAUACUAUAAUACUAAUAAUAUGAUAAGGAUCAGUUCUCAAGUCAUCAGCGGGAGAAUCAGAAUCAUGAACUAUAGGGGUCUUCUAGAAGAAACAGAAUCAUUUGCUUGGUAUUCUAUAAGAGGGUAACUCACCCAAUAAGAUAGGAGCAGGUAACUCAUAGUAAUUGCUUGUCACGCUCUGCUUGUUUGGUACUCAAUAGACUCAAUUGCAUUCUGAAAUUUCAAUAGAAACUCUAUACUUGGUUGGCGAUGGAGAGGAAGUACUGUUUUUGCUUCCCUUAUUGGACUGGGUAUGGUACUAGAGCCGGUAUUCACCUCUGAUUCUUAGUAGGAUCAAACUCUCCUUUCAGAAGCACCCAAAGAUACUGGGAGUCAUGUUCACUUGUAUAUAAGGGGCCUCAACUCUGGUAUUUCACUGUCGCCUCUCCCUACUAUAUGAAAUGAAACUACUUUCCUUGAAGCCGACACCACUGAGUCUGGGCCUGGACCUUAAGAAAGGGAAGAUUACACCAAAUAACCACUCCUGUUAUGCGUGUCUGCAACCACAUCUAUUAUUAUUAUAUAUGAAGUAAUGAAGUAGCUUAUCUCUUUGUCUAGCAAAAUGAAGUAAUGAAGUAGCUUAUCUCUUUGUCUAGCAGUUACUUGGCGGGUGCUUCCGUGUUUGUUGGUAACGAGUAUCUUUCUUUUCUUGUGGAAUACCGAGUGGAAUCUGGAAAGCGGGGCUCAUCAGUUCAGUUCAGAAUUCACCGAAGUAGUAGUUCUCAUAUGAACAAUUCCAUUUCCAUUCAAUUAAGUACUAUUGGUAGGCAAGAGAACCAGUUAGAGCAGAGCCUGUAGCAAGUGGUAUAUUAGAGUAUAGUUCCAGUGAGUAAGGGAAGCUACGGAGUGGAAAUUCAUAAUUGUAGCCUGUUGCCUGAGGUAUAGAAGCAAGAUCUGGCUUUGAUGCGAGGUGUCCGGAACCACUUCAAUUCUAUCUUAUAUAGUAGGAUAAUUGAUUAAACAGCCCCGUAGUAAACAAAUACAGAUUCUACUGCUCUUGUGAAACUUUAGGAACAGAUUGCACUCUUUCUCUCUCUUGCACCGAGUCAAACAGUUGCCCAGUUAUUGCCUUUGUAUACGUAGCUUGGCCACUAGAUCAUACCUUAGUUCCAUUCAUCCUUCCUUUUAGCUCGCUUAGACCUAAGAAGUUGUCUGCUUAGACCCAUGUGCUAUGCUAAAGGAGUAGUAGAACCUCUUCACUAAAAGAAUGAUUUACUCCGGUGCAAUACAAUAAUAUAGGACUUUCAAGCAGAAGAAUUAGCUCUGUAUCAAGGAAUUGGGUAACCCUUACUGAUGCUUACACUCGAACUUGAACUGGGGAUUCCACUCCUAAUGAAGGGUAAGAUGCUGCCGCUACACAUUCUUAGUGACUUGGCCGGUCUUCCACUCUGAAAGGGGAGUUUAGUUUGGUGCUUACGCUCUAGGUCUUGGUCUUGCUCGGGUGCGAGUAAAGAAUCGGUGUCGGUGCUAUAGUUGCUAAGGCGGCGCGGAGUCAAAGAAAUACUUGUUUCUAAGGUACCUUUGAUGCGAGGCGAGGCAGAAUCCAUUCUAAGGUGUUGAGUCAGGAUCAGUGGAAUCAGUAGACCCUAAUUUCUCUAGCUCUAAGGCUAGUUCGGGAAGUUUAGUUAUUGUACUGCACUUGAGGCUAGUAAGAGAAGAGAUAUAAGAGUCGGAAUAAGAUAUAAGAGUCGGAAUAAGAAUGGAAAGCGGGAGACUAAGGGAAAACUGGAGACUAAGGGAAAACUGGAGGCAAGAAGAGAACAGCACAGAUAGAGGUAUUUUUUCCAUAGGUAUAGUAGCAAGAGAGGAGCCCGAGAGAAGAAUAGCCUGUUGGAGGAAAGUUCACUCUAGGAGAAGUUGUUCGAAGAAAGUAUCUAGUUGCGUGUCCCCUUUCCAACCUUACCUCUCCUGGAAAUGCGGAGAAUAAUAUAUAUGUAAGAUGACCAGAUCUAUACACGACACCCCGCUAUGCCAGGCCAGUACUUGAUUCUGCAUAACCAAUGAGAACUGCCAAGCUAACCGCUGCAACUCGGGAUAGUAAUGAAUUCUUAUAAGGGAACCCUCAACUCAAGAUUAGGGUGUAAAAUGAACUAAAACAUAACGGAUUGAGUUUUCUGGCAAAUGACCUAGGAAGUGAGCUUCAAAUGGCAUUUUGUAGGCUUAUGGUAUCUGUGAAAACCCCUGUUUCUGGUUGUUUAGGGUAUAACUCAUCAGUGGUGGCUUGGCUCAUGUGUUUGUAGUCGUUACUUGGGGCGGUGUUAAAGCCUUAACUCACCUUCUUUCUCAAGCACACUGAAUACAAGUAGAAGUCCGUUCUGGUUAAGUAAACAAAAGAAGAAUCAUCAUCGGGAAAGCAAUCUGGGGCCAACAUCGAUGAGUACUAAAAAGAAGGUGUUAAAGCCUAAACUAAAAGAUCCGCAUUAGCUGUAGGAUCCGAAGCCGAAGAUGGAACAGUGUUGUUACGAGAAUCAGAAUCCGCUGUUACUGUUUCAUCCGUUAAGUCGUCAGCUGCCAGGUGUGAUGUUCUUGAAACUCCAUUCUUAAAGGAAGGAGCAACCAAGCAAAAACCUUAGCAACGUAGCCGAGAGGACAAGCUGUCAUAAUUGAACUCCGUUUCAACAAGGGUCGAUGUAAUUGAGCUCGAACAGAAAGAGACUUGACUUACCUUUGGAAUCUCUAACACCCAGCUACCCGGUCUGAAACUAAGGAAGUCAGAAUUCCACUUCAAGUCAAGAAACAGAAUAACCUGACCGUCACCUUAAUGCUUGGACUACUACUUAAAAGGGCUGUCAACCCUGCACGCCUGAUAGUAUUAGGCUUUCACACCUGAUUGAGAACUGGCUUCUUUACUUGUCGACUUCCCUUAAACCCAAUUAGGAUAUUAUGUAUUGAGAGAAAGAGCACUACGGCGCACUACUAGGAGUUAACCUGAUUCCUUUCCUACAGGUAGUUAGUAAGUUGGGGAGCUCAAUUCUCAUUCCCAGGAGUGCGCUAUUACUUAAGGAACAUAACUUCCCGCUUCCCUUUCUGGUUCCCUUGCCUACCUUUCUUUUUGUCUAGUAGUAGCUUGGCUGGCUUUCCGUCAAGUGCGCCAUAGACAUUCAAUUCUAUCUUGUAGAUAGUCAAAAUGCCCUUCCCUUGUCCGUGCUAAAUGAAAGGAAUGAGAUAGGCCGCUUACACACGCGGAAAGUAUGCGUAUGAAAAUGAGAAAGAACUUUGUGUGGUAAAGCCGGGGCCCGGGUCAUAAUAUCUUCUAUCUCCGGAGAUCAGGCAGAGCCUAUACUAUUCCUUUGCCCGGGUAUUCCUUCCUAAAUCAUGCAUUUACCUUUCCUUUCUACCCAGGCGAUCUCAAGCAAGAACCAGUCAUUACCAGGUAGGAGAACUGGAAUCUAGCUAGGGUGGGUGUCCUCGUAAAGUAAGGAAAUCCAGUUUCCGUCUUAAAAGACCGAGUGCCAGAAAGCAGAUGAGCUAACCGUAGCCCUCGUCUCGUAAGGCCAAGAGUUCAGACAUUCCUCUCUGGUAAACUCUAAGUCUAAGGCUAUGAACUUGCCAUUUCAAAUAGGCUCUUCAAUAUGGGAUGGAGAGCAAAUCUUCUGUAAAUGAAAAAGAGUUCCCACCGUAUACUACUCAAAAGAUACUCAAAGCGGCAAGAGAGCAAGUAUCUUCCAUGCUUUAUUAACUCAUAGUGAUAGCUUUCUUCAUAAGUGAGAUCGGUCCUUUUCCCCUAAAUAUUGAAACUUUGUAUUAAAACGCCUCCCCUCCCUUCUAGUUAUAGUUGCCCUUCUUCCUCCAACCCUGCAAAAGUUCCAGUGAGACCAGCCGAGCCAAGGAAAGCGAGUCCAAUAACAGCUUCGUCAAUCGCAGGGAAUACCCCUACCCUAGCUCAAUUGGAGGAUGGCACUUGCACUUGGAUUGGGAGCUUUCCCUUCUCUAUGGGAAAUUCCUCGCGAGGCACAGACCGACAGCUCAGAGGAAUUAUAGGAACGAUCCAUCUUAUGUUAAAGAAAGGAAUAAGUGAAUCUUAGACUGGGUUAAAGAAAGGAAUUGUUAAAGAAAGGAAUAAGUGCAUCUUAGACUGGUCUCUUUUAAGAAAUUCAUAAAGAAACAAUAGGUUGAACUUUAGUGCUUACCAUAAUCUAAGGUCUGGUCCGGUCCCGUAAUAUGGAGGUAGAUUAGCAGCUUGAAUAUCUUAUACGCUAUAGGCUUAUUCAGUGCUGAGACGAUAUAAACCUCCAUAGGCGAGUCGUUAUCGUACCAAGUUUUCACGAAGAAAUGCCACGUUUAGAUCGAGCUACUUCGAUAGAAGAAAACCAUCCGUAUGCCUUUAUCCUCACAAGUCUCUUUCACUUCCAAAAUACACUCUAAUAAUCAAUUCCUUCGGUCCUUCGUUUGAUAGUUAUAGUAUUGAACCCAAUAGAAAGAAACCAUAACCCUGCGAAAUCUCUAAUCGAAAGAAAGGCUCUGUAAGAAUGAAUGUUUGAUACCUGCCUUCUUUACCUUUACACAAUGUUUGAUACCUGCCUUCUUUACCUUUACACGUCAAUCCAUGAAUAUGAAUCCAGGUUGAAGAUCCUAUAUAGGUGGUCCUCUUUCUUUCAAAAAAGCAUUUUGGACAUCCAGAUAGAGCUAAUACAUACCCUCUUGUGAUAUCCGACAACCUCGAAAGGUUCAAGGCUCGAUAAUAAGGUCUAAGUCUUAAGCCGUUUGUGAUUGGUCCAUACCUCGGGGAAGGCUGCGAAGCUCUGAGCAUGUGAUAUACAAAAACACUUUGAGAGUAUUGGCCAUGUUCCCGGAGAAACCCCAUUUUUUCCUGCUUGGUGCGGUCUUUUAAGAUCGUCGUAAAUCAACACGUAUCGACAUCUAUCUCGAGAGGAUAUUUGUGGAAGGAGGAAAGUAAGAAAGAAAUCCAGCAAGGGAAGAAGGUCAUCCUAAUGCUACUAAGACUACUCUGUCUUAGGGCUAGAAAGCACAAGGCUAGUUCCGAAAACGGUGGCAGACUCAUGACAAACAGAGCUAUUGACCUGAGUCGUUUUCUAUUUGACAAGCAAAGUUCUAUUAUAAAACAAACGGUAAAGGAUAGGAUUUCCCUAAUACUGGGCGGGACCCGCGCUCCCAGACUGGUGCUCUGAAGCGAACUCUGCCUUUCAAGCAUGGGUUGGUUUUUUCCUCGUAUGAAAGGCUUGAACCGAACCAUAACUAACGGCUCACUUCUAGCUCUUUCGAGUCAUUUCUUGUAUAGUACGAUAUAGGAAGCGCCCUUCUUUUUUAUAGAUGAGAAAGUCCGUUCACUGUCGCUACGGUUUAUUUGGAUCUUAUGAAUUAUUACAUGAGGAGCUCCCCUGUGUCGGCUAUAGCGACUAAGCCGCACUUGAAGGAAGUUUGGGAAGGCAUUCUUUCUUAGUCGAAUAAUAAGCAAAGAGUCAAUGUUAUAGAAGAUCAGCUCCUGUGGCCUCUCCUCCCGUUACCUUGGCCUUUCUUCUUUCUGAUUGUAACUCCUUUCACAUAAAUAUAGGAUUAGGGGAAUCUCCUUUCACAUAAAUAUAGGAUUAGGUGAAUUAGCAGCAUUGGUCGAAAACAUGGAACCAAGCAUUCCCUUUGGAGUUUGGUAGCCCGGGUCGAAAUGAAAUGAGGUUCUAUAGACUACAAAUAAUGUAUUGAGACGCUCUACUACUUUAAGAAAGUCGAUUCGCACGGAAAGUCUAUUCUCGUGGGUUGCCUUUCAAUCCUACAUUCUUUCUGUCUUUGUGUUAUCAAAAAGAAUUGUGUGUUUUGAAACAUAGUCCGACUCACAUGUGUGAAACCCAUAGCUUAUGAGCGCUAUGCCUCGCUGUCUCCUGUCUCCUCUAGCAACCUUUCCCUUUCUGGAGUCCAUGACAUGCUCUCUACCGCCUUCUCCUUAAUGGAAUAGUCCAAGCCUUAGGGCAAUGAUAAGAUCCAAAAACCCCCUCCGCACCAAACCUAUGUGCAAUGGAAAUUCGUUCCUCUCCUUUCAGUCUUUCAUUCUUACAUAGUAGGAUUCUUUUUGAUUCAGUGACACUGAUCCUUGAGACGAAAAGGGGUUGUUCACGAAAAUCCUAUUUACAGUUGAUCGACUAAUCAUGCAAUUGGAGAUGAAAGAGAUAGAAUACCAACAAUUAAGGAGAUGAAAGAGAUGGAAUUAGAAGAAAGCAAUGCAAACCAACCACUGAAAGAGGAAACCAACUGAUAGACUUAAACACGCAGGAUAAUACAUAUCUCGUUGCUGACAAAGGUGCGCCUUAUAGAAAUAAAGGCUGAUGAGGAUCACUCUGAUGCUUUGCAGAGUCGGCCACGGAGGUCUGAAGAUAAGAUAUCCGGUGCUGUGCCUUAGAUCCAUAAAUAAGUAGUCUGUCCAUUUGGAUGGGUACAGGAAUUGUGAAUUGUUGUAAGCCAGCAUUGCUUUAAGGAAGCACCGCAACUUCAUCUCUGAAAUAUGGAGGAGGGCAGCGACCACCCAGAAAGCCUUUAGACCAGCUAGUUGCAUUCAGAGAGUAGAACUUCCUUCUGUAGCAGUAAACUAGAGUAGGAAGCGUUAAGUAUUACCUAGUCUAGAGUGGUGGAAGGCAUAACAUUUGUAAGAAACUCUGCCGUUCCUCUCGGUCUCGGAACCAGAGAUCCAAAGGGUAGUCUUUGAUAGCAAAAGCGAGCAAGCUUCAGGGGGGUUCCAAGUCAAACAUAUUAAAAAACACAGAUUGGGUCAAACACACGAUAUCUUCAAAAAGACAGACUGGGUGGGAGCUAUUCAAACACGAUCUGGUGUUUCAUGUAGAGUAUGUUAGGAAUAAUAGGCGGUUAACUCGAGACCUUCUGAAAGCCUUAACCUUGAAAACCUUCUUUUCUGCGGCAUCCCCUGCUAUCUAUAGUUUCGGGGUCUUAAGAGAGAAAUCAGACUCGCUAAUGCGCUUAUUUGCCGUUAUCCUUGCUUGUUUACUUGUUUGCUUAAUCAUAAAUAAUAAUGCUUGUUUCUUCCGUAUAUAUAUUGAAGUUUGUAAAAACACUCCUGACUGCGAAACUCAGAUGGGCAUACGAACCCUAUAGACUUUAGUACUCGCUUAGCUAACUUGCUUCUUGAAUAUCGGCACUCCGAAGCUCAGAUAAAGAAUCCUUCUUCCCUUGCUUGUUCGCACAUGAUAUAAAUUGUACUCUCAAUAGAAACCUUCCUUGUUUGUUCGUAUAUGAUAUUUGUUCGUAUAUGAGAUAAAUAUGGGUGGGUAACCUUCACUCUCCAUAAACGUUACGAGCAUCUUUCUCUCAUUCUCAUUGCUUCCUGAAAGCAGAACUUUUGCUUGAAAACGGACUUGUUUACUUUCGUCUUCUCAGUAGGCGUCAGGCCGGCGGAAGGAUGCUAACUCACUUAUGGAAUGGAAUCCGGCGUUCCACUUAUAGAAGAUAGUCACAACCACUCUGGAAACUCUCUUAUUGCCGUUGCCUAUUUACUUGUUCGCACAAUAUGGGCAGUUUUGAAUCUCAUCUGCUUGUUUAAACCUGACUGCUUACUAUCUUUACGGAAUAUAGUCUAAACUCACUUUGGAUUCGAACUCCACAAGCACCUAUAAACUAACAAGCAACUCAACAAGGGAACAAGAAAAUCAGAAAGGGCUUUCACAUACUAAUACACAGGGGAAUACGCAAGGUCAGAAAAGAUUCCGCGGAAUAUGCGCAAUUCUUUACUAAAGGAAGGUAGUUUCGUAGAGUUUAUGUAUCCUUCCGUUCAAGUGUAGCGGAGUGGAGUUAUUGGUUUGACCUAGUUGUGGUAGAGUAAGGUUUCAAGUUGGGUGCUGCUGACUAUGAUUAUAUCUGUGCCCUCGCGGGGAUACCUGUAGAGCUAUCUUUUGAAGUCCUAUUAGCAUCAUGCACCAUUUAUGGAAAAAAGGCAAGAACAAGCAAAAGAACCAGAAAAUAUGAUAGAUAGCCUUCUCCUAAACAAGAGAAUCUGAUAGUGUUCUCCUAAACAAGAGAUAGAAAUAGAAGGUGAUGAAAAACUCUGCGGAAAACUCACGUAAGCACAACGUAGCUCGCGUUAGCUAGAAUCCACUCCGUUAGCUAUAGGGUUGCCCUUACUCUAAACUCCUUGACUCGAUAACUUCACUGCUGACUCAAUCCGGUACUUGUUCUCGAAAGAAUGGAAUCUAUACGCUAUAAUCAAUCAUAUAGGAUAUUGUAACUCCUGACUGCUUAUAGCUGGAACAAGCUACUCAAUACUUAAGCUUAAGCGCUUAUGCGAGUUCUGACCUUUUCCAUUCUAUUUAUGGUUAUGGUUUUCUUGCUUCACACAUGUUGUUAGAAUUCCGAAGCUUGUUGAAUUGAGUGCACCACAGCUUAUAAUUGAGUAAUCUAACAUACCUCCCAUUACUAAUAGGAAUAGGCCCGAAAUGAAACUCACUCCUGAUUUGUUGAACGAAUAGAGUAGAGGCUGUAAGGCUUAGACUCAAGUACUUGACUUCUGCUUUUGUUAUCUGCUGAGACUUUUAUGGAAUUGUUAACUUACAAAGAAACGAAAUCUGUACUAUAGGAAUACAGCUCAUAAGGGAUGGAACUAGCUUUGAUAGGAGAAGACACACUUGAGCCCGAAGCUACUCCUCUGGCCGAAACAGUCUUGUUCCCGGAGAAAAGGUUCUGGCCGAGACACUCUUAUUUCCGGAUAAGGAGUUUCCUGAGCAACCAUUAGGAAGAGAGUGAGAACUCGUGAGCGUAACCUACUGCAAGUGGGAAGUUUUCGGAGGAGGGCAAAAGGCAGUGGGUCAGCAACGAGGGGAAAUGAGUAGCUACCCGCUCUAAUGGGUGGAAAGACAGUAGUAGGAGCACCAGCCGGGAAGUUUUAGAGAUAUAGGUGCCUUUGAAUAAAGAUAUCCAUGUCUCAGUCAAGAGGAAGAAUUUCAGAAAAUACAUUUGAUUAACUCAGUCGAGAGCCGAUCAAAAGCCGCAGAGGGAAGCCAUUACGAAAGAAGAAAUUGUCCUAAGGAUGACUACCGCCUUAAAAGCUUGCACCACCAUUGUUGUGGCAAAGUAGGAGCAUCACGAGAAGGGGCAUAACUUUCAUAUUGGUAUUUUAAGCGACGAAAAUGGUGUACUGCAGAGUGAGCAAGCGGUGAAGCCGAGGCAGUGCGAACGACUCCUCAAACUCGGCGACAGGGGUAUGCUCAAGACACAGAGGAAUCAGCUCUUUAAAAUAGUACUAGCAGAGAAAGCUCUGAAGCCAAAAUACUUGGAGUGUUAGUAUAUUCACUUUUAGGCUCAAAUGAGAACUGAGCAAUUGCUGACAAAGCGGGAAGAGCUCAACGGUGCCCUAGUGUAUAAGGAUUAGGUGUUUUCUCGCUCUUGGAAUUUGUAUACGUACCUCUGAAGCCGCAGCUGGAGAUUGAUGUACAGCUAAAGAAGUACAAGCCGGUUCUUUGGCAACAGUUCAAUACCUUUGAGAGUCAGCGAAGACCCUUUCAUGUUGGACUGCUGGGAAAUGCAAAAGAUGCCAAAGCGUACCCGUGAGAGGGCAUGCCUAGAAUUCAUUAACCUGCUAGCACAGUAUGUUCUGUUCUCUUCUUGCCCCGAAGCCUAGUCCGGUGUUCGUAGCCUUUGCCAACAACUAAGUCAGAAUGAAACUCGAAUGAAACAAGCUGCGGGCUCUCUGUUAAGAGUGGAACAGCUUUACUAAAGUAGACACAGUAUUGUUAGUUCAUUCUAUCUAUAAUAGGAGAUAACACUGGCAAUGCGAAGCUCUUUAUCGGGUAACUAGCAAGAGCCGAGAGCUGUAACGAACUCUAAGUUCUCGCCUUAUUCCCCUUUCUACUCUUGCAAGAAUUGGAAAGCUUACGAGAUCAUUUCCACUCCACAGCUGAAAACGAAACCUCUAUACUAGGGCUCGCGUAAUCAUAUCAACGGAACUGUGCUCCAAUUCCAUACUGGUCUAUAAACCUUCUUCUAUUACACCCCGUACACUAAUAGAUUGAUUCGAGAGAUGAAAAAGUCAGUAAAGUGUCUUUCCCUACCGGAGUAACAGAGCCAGAGGGUAAAGAUUAUAGGCGAAAAUGCAUUUAUAAAGCCGAGAAGUAGAUUGAAUAGGUAAAAACUCCCACUGGACUAAACUCGACCAUAACGCUCAGGAGGUUAAGAAACAUAGCACGCCUCUUCUCUUCUCUCAUGUCUCUGUCUUCUCUGGUCAGUACGGGGUUUCUCACAAUCAUCGAAUCAUGGCACCGGGAGUCGAGGUGUAGCGCAGUCUGGUUAGCACAUGAGUUUUGGGUAACAAAUGUCAUGCAUUCCAAUACUUUCAUUACUACCUAUUACUUUCAUUACUACCUAUUACUUCUCUUCUGGGCAGUAACGAGGGAUCCAUUGAGUGAUAACAUCCAAAAUCCUUUUCUUAGACCUUUUCUUUACUGUGAGAAGAUCUUGACAGUGAGAAGAAAUAUACCUCCUUUUCUUGACAGUGAUAAGAAAGUGUGACAGUGAUAAGAAAGCGCUCAGUUCGGUAGAACGUGGCGUUCGACAUCCUACAGAGCGUGAUUGCUUUAUUGUGAGGUCUAAUUACAAUGAAAUAACUUAACUAACUUGAACCCUGAAUUUCUUAAUAGUAAUCAAAAUAUACCUAUUCAAUAUGCUAGAUUCAUCGAUUCAAAAGGAAGAUAUAGGUUAGGUUUAGUUCAAAAGGAAGAUAUAGGUUAGGUUUAGUGCUUUCUUCCAUCGACCGGAGCUCUUGUUAUUUCUCACUUUUCUCCUAGGAAUUACUGCUGACUCGGGGCCAUAGACAGUAAGUCAUAUCAUCGGGCAACUCCAUCGACGACAAGGUCUCAUGGGUCUUGGUCGUGGGCUUCGACCCAUAGAUAACGUUGAAACACAUGUGGUAUGGUCUCUCUUUGUUUGAAUACCAACCCGAGUUGGAUCAAUGAGGAUGGUGUGAUCUUACCUCUCUCUCGUGGCUUUCCCCAUCCAUAUGAGGACUCCCUCGCCUUUUUCUUUCCUUUCGGCAUAGAGUUGAUAUUGAAUUUAGAAACUUCAAAGGAGUACGGGCAUGCUUUAUUAGUGGUUUUGAGUUUGGCAAGAAGAAAACCCUCCUUUUCGAAGACUACGAGCAAAAGUCCACCUUCAUUACCUAAAAUUCAUAAAAAUCACCCAUGCUACGACAAUCUGAGAUCCCUCUUCGAUAGACAUGAACCAGGUGCAUUAGCCUUUCUGUUUUGUCAGCUGAUCCUAUCCUACUUAAUUAAAGCAUAUAUUCUAGUUCUAUUAAAGCCUAUAUAUAUUCUAGUUCUAGUGCGUAUAAGGAGGGAAAGAUUGGAUUCUCUGUGCUCUUUGACCUACCAUAGAUCCUUAGUGGUGGACCGAUCGACCCUUCCAUUCAAAAGCCCUGACCCCUCUAUUCAAGCCCUAUCUAAAAGCCUUAUCUCUAACGGUUUUGGUGCAAUGAGAGAGAGACUUUCACAUCCGGUGGGUUCCAAACCUAAAGCUGUAGGGCGACAAUCCUGAGCUUCGUCAAUAGGCGUCCUGGGGGAAAAUCCAGUUAGGUUAGGUUUAUGGGGGCGGUGCCGCGCGCUUGGUGAUGUAGUACAUCGAGCCCCCGGUUGUGCAUGCAGUACUCCGUCACUCACCGAGCCGUAGAUCUACCCUCGUACCAUUCCCUUCUGCUGCUAUAGCCUCUAUAGAUAAGGUUGGCACAAUUCCUGCUACUAUGAAUAUAAAGAACCAAAAUAGAUGAAAUUCUAGAAAGAAAAUGGGCUACUAUAAAGAAAGAAAGUAGAUUAAGUGAACCAAGAACCUAUAAGGUGUGUUGGACUUAUUACUCUUUAACUAAGAAGGUGGGAUUGUACCGGUCGACUGAACGAUGGGAGGAGAAAUCCGGGCGCGUGCCUAUUGACUAUUGAUUGGAUUGGGCUUGCUUGGCUUUAUCGUAGCUUCCCUUCACUUGUCCCAUAUACUUGGAGCAAGAGUCAUCGGGUUCGGGUAAGCAAUGAAUCCACUCGCGCUUACUUACUUUCAUUUCAUUUGAGUUUGAGCUCGCUUCUUUCUAGUAACCUUACUGCUUGCUACUGCUUGAGUAAGCUCUCUUUCCCUUGCUAGCUUGGGAAAGGCACGAGAUGCUUGAAGCCGGCUCUUCUUAAGAUUCCAGUAUUUGCUUUUUGAUUCCUUUUUGGUUGACCCAUCCUUCCUCAACUGUCCUAUCGAACCAGCUAUUUCACCCUUGUACUGUCCCUGGGUAGGGGGGAAGGACCAACAAUCCAUGAUCUUGUUCAUUCAUAUCCACCCGUCCGCUAGCUACUAAGGAGGAGCGGAGCGGCAUCUUUUCCUCCCCGGGCAUCCGGAUAAUGCAUUAUUUUCUGUUUCGCAUGCAUUGGAUCGCCCUUUCUCGUACUGUACAUUGUGAAGAUCCCUAUAUGCAUUCUAAUACUACGGUCACACUUAAAGAAGUGAGCUACGGGCUAUUCCCUCUCGACAUCUGUUUUUCCUUUAAAGCAAAGCGGACUUAAAGUGCUUUUCUUGAGCUUAUAACUAAUACUUUCUUUCUUUGAGCUUCACCUUAUUACUAGUAUAUAUAUAUAUACGACCGUUCUGGAGUUCGAUCCUAGAGUUCGCUAUGAUGAGCUACUUCAUAUGAACUUCGGACAACUAACACAGCACCGUGACGUGCUACUUGAUCUUUCUACUAAUGAACCUGCUCACAACCUUACUUUCUUCGUGGACUUGAUUGUAGUUCUCUUUCCCCGCCUAUCGUUGACGCCUAAGCAUUCCUUUUCUCGAUUUUAGUGAGAAAUGUGUUUGACCUUGGCACCUUGCUUGAGCACUUGGCCCAGGAACUACCCGCCUAUGAAGAGAGAACUUGCAUUACCAGUGAGGAAGCUUGAACCUGUAUUUCAGACUCCCUGAGGCGCACUAUGGACUCUAGUUCUUGACUAGUUCAGUUCACCCUAAUCUAAGUUCCGUUUCACCCCUUAUUUCUAAUCGAAUAGAUUCUAGCUAUCUUUCUCCGAGCUCCUACGACUGCUGUCUUUCUCCAUUUCGCGUUCAAGCGGUCGACCGCCUCCAUAAUGAAAAUAUCCCUGUCGCUAGUCAGUCAAGUAGUUCGUCGAGUGGACUCUCUGGGAAAAAAUGUGAAUAAUUUCGCCUGCGCUCAGGAAGCGAGCAAGAAGUUCAAAGACAGCGCAAAGGGCACAUAAGAACGUUUUCUAUAAACUGGAUGAGCUAAGCAAAUCAAUCCCCUUCUUGGAUCACUUCCAAUGGAUAUCCAUCGGGCAAAGAUCAGACAUUCCCCUACGAUCUGGAACGAAAUGAGAAUCUACUUUUCCAUAGGGAUCGGUACUCUCCAAUCAAUGGUCCUAGUCCUAAGUCAAGAUUCAGCGACGGAGAAGUUCAGAUAAUCCAAUGGAACAAAACUCAUUUGAUCACGGGUAAGACGUGGGCUAUCCGAUAUGAGGGAAUGUAAAGGGCGGAUCGAUUCGAUUUUGGCUUGGCUUUGAUUCUCACUUUAGGGCAGUGUCCCUGGAGUCGUCUCCCACCUCAACUGAAUUUUCCAAUAGAACGCUUUCUCGAAGGCGAGGGUUGCUCAGUCGACCUUUAGAAGAUGAGGCUCAGGUGAAGGCAGAGGUUAAGGAGCAUGGCUAAAUGGAAUUUAUAAGUAAGCAGAGCUACAAGGGGAGGAAGGUCUAAGGAAGAUCGGUGGGCUCCGACCGGAUGAGGCUAUGGAAUUCAUAGGUUUUGUCCGUUUAGUAACUCUUUGGGAAUUCAUAGGUUUUGUCCGUUUAGUAACUCUUUGCCGGUUCCUUAAGUUUCCACCAUUGAACAUGUGAAUCCUCUAAGAUCAAGUCUCUAUCUGAACAUAUGAAUCCCCUCGAAGAUAAAGUCUCUAGCUCUGGGAGGUCUCCCGCAUCGCCAUAUGGUUGGCCAUGACUGGGCGAUGCUAAUAUGAAAGAAAGGGAAUCUAGCUUUCCUCCGGAGCUAAGUAUUCGCGGAAACCAAAGAAAAAGAAGGAGAUAAUCCCGCCUUGAGCGCUGAAAACAUAGAUUGUAAUAACUUCGUAAUAACUCGUACUUGCUGCCGCGUAACAUUAGUAGUUACUUGCCCGUCUCCCGCUCCUCCAUUAGUAGGAUCGUCAUCUCGAUGAAUAAGAGUAUUAAGUGUAUUGGCAGUCGCCUCCUUGUGUCCGUUGUCUUUCAGACCCUCACGCAUUCCCGCCAUAACCGUCCUUAACCUUUACCCUUCUCCCUUCUGUAGAUCGAAUUGUUGAACCCCAGAGAACCAAACCCGGGGCCCCUUAUACUACGCAGCAGCAACACAACAGCGUCUUUGAAGGCUGGCUUACUCACACAAGUAUCAACAGCUGUUACGGGAUCACUAGUCUAUUAUGGCAGUUCAUGUUCUGGGACAUUUUGGGGGAAUCCCCCUAAGUCCUACACGGGCAAAGACAUGUUUUUGUUUCUUCAACUUGAACUUUCACUCUUUACUCAAUAAGAGCCGACCAACUAUCCUGAUUGAAUGUUUGAGUACUCAGAGACUCUCGUGAGUCUGGAUCAAAAAAGUACCUUCCGUCCUUUCCACUACUUAUAAAGAAGAGAUUUCCCAUCAGCCUAUCCAAUCGAAUUCCAGACAGAGUCAGUAGACACAACGGUGGUAGUAUCAUAGAAUAUCUCAUUAUUGAUCAUCUGUCGUACAAUCUCUUCCUCAAUGCUAGUAGCAAAUAUGGAGUGUCUUUUAGAAACCAACCCUUGGAUACCAAUCUUUCUUUUCUUUGUUACUAUUGUCGUUUUGAAUCCCAGAAUGGACUUUCACCAUUAUCGUUAUGAAAUCAAUGUACGAACCAAUCAUAAUCAUAUCAAUUUGAGAGUCAGGCUUACUUAAUCCCUAUUUGUACCGGGCCACACCCCAAACCCUUCCUUAGUUAGAUAGAGAUAUGGACUUUAUUUAAGGCAUAAGAACUACGGAUUCUCAAAAGAGAGUAUUGAUAGAAAUGAACCCUUGAGAAACGAAAGAGAUGCUGUGGCUGAAUCACUCACAGUCCUUAUUCCAAUUCUGACAAAAGACAUUUUUCAACAAAGAUGUGAAUUAGGAAGGAUUGGUCUAGAGGAGCUAAUUCCAGACUUACUCGAACGAUUACUCCACCCUUGAAGAGAGCACACUGCCCCUGUAGUAGUAGGGAAUGGAAUAUAGCUCUAUCCACAUAUAUUGAAUUUAGUAAGAAACUCGAAACUUCACCUAUUCCUUUGACCCUUACUAUUCAAUAAGCAAGCAGUAGUUCCCGAACCCUUACUAUUCAAUAAGCAGUAGUAGCUUGUUGGAAGCAAAGCGGUGUUCUUACUUACAUUCUAUAAUGGGAUAGCACUCAGAAAUGAAUAUAACCUACUUUAGGAGCACGGGCCUCAACUCAAAUGCUUGAGCAAAAUAAGUCAAGCUUUUGGCUUUGAGCGAGUCAGCAGUCAGGAGUUAAGUAAUACAUGUUUUUCAUCAAUUUAUAGAAUAGUGAACUUCUCUUUAGAGUCAAAUAAGAAGUUGUUUGUUUACUUUAAUAUCUUUUCUAUAUUAGAGAACUACUCUCUAUUAGCAUAACAGGAGUGUCUUUCCUCUCAUAUAUCAUAUGAUAGCUAUAUUCAAUUCCGCCCCAUAUAGUCAGUUUCACAGGUCCUACUUACUUUUUCUUGUUGCAAGAGAAGUGGAAAGUAGCGAUUCCAUUCAACAAGUUUAGAGCGUUAUUCACUCAUAUCAUGAACUUUACAGGUUACUGGUACCUGACUCCUAUUACUAUUGAGAAUAUCGGCUUACUUAAGCUUACUUAAGAGAAUAUCAGCACAGUUCUAUACAAUCAAUAGUCAGCGGCACCCUAACUUUCACCUACUUUUAGCACUUAGCGUUUCAUAACCCCAACAAGCAACGCGCUAAGAUGAGCGUUUCAUAACCCCAACAAGCAACGCGCUAAGAGAGUGGAGUACUUUAGUCUAGGGAUAGCGGUGGCCUAGCUUAGUGAUUCAAAUCUGAAAUGAGCUUUCAAGCAAAAGGUGGAUCAAAAGCCGUUCUUUAAGUGUUGUGAGUCAGGAAGUAGGAACUAAGUAAGCGCUUAACCUAUUGUAUAGAAAUGGGGAAUAUGACUCGACCUUAUCUACUUUAGCUCUUAAGUCUGAAUGGAAUUGAUGAUGUCGGCGUUCCACUUGGGGAAUAAGCCUUAGCACCACGAGAAUAAGCCGGACUACCCGCUCACUCAAGUAAUAGCUAGCUAUAUGCCGUACCCGCUCACUGAGCUGAGAACAGAAAGCAUAUAAUUGAGGUUCCCCUGCGUUCUCAGGGAAUUGCCUGAUCCGAUUUACAGCCUUAAGGAUGGAUUCUUUUCUUCAAUUCCAUUCUUCACUCUACCUCGCACUAGGAUUACACACUUGGACUCAUAUUCUUUACACCGCGCCAUUGAUUAAGGCUUAUUUCUCGGUGUUAGCAGUCCUUCUAUCUAUGAUUAGAAUGUGCCUCAAUUGGAACUUGAAGCUUCUUGAUACUCUGGAUUCACUUAUCUACCCCUCUUUCUAGCUUUGCCCCUUACAUCCACUCUACUUUCCGUUCCGAACUGCCCUUUUAUUCCCGUUCCCGCUUCAUCACCGGAUCAAGCUUCUGCUUCAUCUGUUGCUUUCAUCAUGGAAUCUAUCGUUACUACUCUGGAAGAUGGGUAAGGAAACUCGUAUACAACUAGCAUCUAUGAAUCUCUACCCCGGAAAAAACAGUCAAAGAUCUUAGCUUAGCGCAAAAGCGGAAAUCAAUUGCAAUUUCACAGAUGUUCUAUAUUUAGUAAGGAAUGUCAAAGAAACUCCGUCAGCGCAUCCAACCCCUAAUGCUGAUGAAGACAGGAACUCAACGUAAGCGUAAAUACUAGGGUUGAGCUCAAAUGACUCUGUUAGUGCAGAUCAAUUUGACUGACCCGCUAGCGCGAAAGGCGCUUAAACUGUAUUCAUGGCGUCAGGAGUGAAUACCUUGUAAACAAGUGCAGUUGAGCUCGGAACGGAAAGUGCUUUUCCAGAUUCCAGUAUUGUUCCAGAAGCCGUUGGUUGAAAUUCUCUUCUUUUUUAUUACCUUGGACUUAUGGAAUGGAAUUGAAUGCGCACAUGAUAUACUAGGCCAACUCUAACCUCAAUAUACUAAGGUUACCCCACUCGUUGCUUAUUUGCUUUAAUAAAAGAAUCCAUCUUUCUGGCUGGGCAUGAGAACGGAUUUCUGAUCGCUCAAUCAAUUCCCGGACUCAAUUGCAAGAAAGGUUGUUUUGUAAUUUAGUGCAUAAGAGAAUUGAGGCAAAGAAAAUCAUAUAUAGCGUGACACUCAUAUAAUAUAAUAGAGUAAACAAAUAGCUUCCCUUUUGAUAGAGUAAACAAAUAGAAAUAGCUGCCCUUCUUCCCUUUUGAUAGAGUAAACAAAUGGCUUCCUGCUUCCAGACUCACUAACGCUUGUUUCGUUAGCUGCAAGUGCUGCAAGUGGUGGUUCUGUUAUAGUUUCAUCAUAUAAAGAAGCUGGGCGGUCAUAGAGAUCAGUUCUUGGACUCUCCGUCUUGAUCUUAAGCUUGAUAAAGAUCUAAGUGCGCCCGGUAUCAAGUUCUUGUCCCGCAAGAGAGAUUCCUGUUUGACCUGACCUCGGUCCAAGAUAGAGAAAUUUACGUAUUUGUUGCUGAAGCCCAAGAAAGAGAGAUAGAAUUAUUGACUGCCCCCUAUUGCUAAAGAAGAGGGGAAAGUGGAAGUUGGAAAUUGAAGUGAGUUCUUUGGCCCGGAGUUGCUUGUUUGUUCCCUUGACUAUUGUUCCCUUAACUAUUAACUUCACUAUAAGAAUGGAGGCAUAGGCUAGACACCUACUCAUAUGGGACACACCACAACAUUUGGAAAGCCUAGAGGAAGAGGCAACACACCUGAUUAAAGGAAGGAGGCGGAGUUUCAAAAGUCUUCUAUUGGCAGCCUAACCCUUAUACUACUUAAAGGACGGGGACUACCCUAUUGUAAAGGACAGAGACCAGAGGCACUAUAAUCUAAUCUAAGUUUCUACUUCGAACGAACAAGUAACAGCUUUUGCAACACCACUGACGCUUGCUUAGUUAUACUUGUGUGCUAACUAUACUAUUAGUUUGGGAGCGCUGCGCUAAUGCUUAUUUCAUAAAAGUCAGGGUUAACGGGAAAUAAUCAAUGAAUUACUCUAACUCUCAGGUUACUUUUUCCAUGGCUAAAAUAUGAUUUGAACAGCUUUUCGGGUCCUCAAUGAAGAUAUUACGCCAUAAUCCAAGUUGAAUAUAGGAGUUACGACGUUAAAGAAGCCUUAUCAAGCGCACUAAAGUGGUCGGUUCAGUCAUUGUCCCGCUCGUCGCAAGCAGGUUUAGUUCUGUUCACCCUGUUCGCCCUUUCGACUUUCAGAAAUCCUAUGACUUAAGAAAUCCUAUUAAGAAGUAAGAUAAGAGUGCGUUUAAGGUCAUCUGCAAGCCCCUUCCAGUCUUGUUUCGGGUGUGAAAGAGUCUCUUUUGAGUUAGCAAGAUCAGAUGAUGGAUUAAAAGCAUCAGCAAGAUGAGAGGCGUUAGUUAGCAGUGCAGGUGCAGUUCCUUAAGCCCAAGUCAAAGAUUCCAUUAAUGAUGAAGACAGUACAAGUCCAGGUCCAGACCACAAAUGCAUCAGUGCAAUCUCAUUCUGGACUCAAUGUCAAUGUCAGAUACGGCUUAUGCGCUCGUACCUUAUCUAACUACAUCUUAAGAUCUCGGAGACAAAGCUGCUCUAACGGACUAUUCUUCUCGGCUUAAAGGCAAACAUGCAAUUCAUUUCUUUCUAGUGUACCUACGGAAUAUUCUAUGUUUUCAAUUUCCAUUAUGUAUUUCGAGCACAUGGCAUAGAGUCUUGUAAGGUGCUGAAAGCCUGACCUAUUCUAUGAAAUCCGACUUGAACUUGGCUUCCCUUUUGUCUCUCGUGCUACUUUCCGGGAACUGCAACUUAACCUAGAACUUGAAACUCGUAUUGAAUCUGGAAACAAUACUGGAAUCUUGAACUACACUUGAAAACUCCACUGGACUCGCCCCAACAUUAGCGGAAUCCAGCGCCUCACCUCUUGCAUCGCAUAUAAGUUAUGAAAAUGACCCGCGGAAAGAAAUCUCCACCCACCCUAUAAUACGGAUUACCCUAUAUCUAUCUCGUAUUACUCAGCCUAUAAUAAGUAUUUACCCCCUAAUAGAAUUAUAUACUAAACUAUCUUAACAGCGAACUCCUUGCUGAACUCCUUAACUCCUGACUCGUUGUUCUAACAUUGCUUACUAUCUUGGGGCGCGGAGCUCGAAAGACACUCUUUUUCUUUUGCCUAAAAAUCCAAGAAGUGAGAAUUUCCUCACACUGCUGAUUCUAUUGUCGAUGAAACUCAAACUAGACUUUGCGCUUUAUACUCUUGCUUGAGAAACUGCUUAUCUGCUUACUUUCGCCUUUCUUUCGACUUCUCCUUUCUACUACUCUAGUUCGGAUGCGGGGACAGUGACUAGUGAAUCAGCUUCUUCCCUUCCACUUGAUGCGAAAUAAAGGGCUGCUUCUUUGCACGAAUAAACUCCAAAGAACUCGAUUCGUCCUGUGUUGUGUGGUAGAUAGAAUGGUUUUCCCUAAAUGGAAUCAGAAGCAUGGAAUGUGGCUAGGGCACCUUAUUUGAUGAAUAAAGGUAGGGUAGAGAUUCAUCUUUCGGCCAGUAGAAGAAUUCCCUGUGGGACUUACUUGUUGAGGAAUAGAGUCAGGAGGCUUUCAGCACCUUGCUUGUUUGCUUGUUUGUUCUUGGACCGCCAUCCUUCCUUUUAUAGUGACCAUCUGGAUGGAGCUCGCCUUUCUAUUCCUUUCCUUUUGAAAGAUCUCUUCGUUCUCUAUACUCACCUAUUACAGCUGGCUCUAAAGAAUCUAGCGUUCCACUCAUAUAUAAUAGCGGAACCAGACUCCUUACUCUAAGCGUAAACACCACAUAUGACUCCACUUACUCUACUUACUGCUUACACUGCGGACUCUUCUCCACAAAGGCUUACUAAUGCAUCCCGCCCCCGAACAACAACUCGCUAACAGCCGAUGAAGAGUAGAAAGGGGGUAAAGGUCGCUAACUCACUUAGAAAGGGGAUAAAGGUAGCUAACUAACUUAGUAUAAAGGGGGUCAAGGUAGCACUUAGAAAGGGGGUCAAGGUCGCUAACUCACUUCAUUCACGUUAGCCGUUGCGUUAGCCGUUGCGAGAGCCUUAGUUUUCAAGAAAAUCAUAUAUAUCUAUAUGGGCAGCUGUUUCCAAAAAAUCCUAUUUAUGGGCAUCCUCACACUAUACUCAAGUACUACAUUAUUUUCGUUGCUUGUAUAGUAGUGGGUUAUCUUCCUUAGCUUAUUGGGUGCGUGAGCUUACUCUUGGUCUUGGGAGGGUUUAGUUUGUUAAUCAAUUACACAUUGGGUCAACUACUCAUAAGAUUCUUUCCUUUCCCUCCGCUCUGUACCUUAGUUAUGAAAAGAAUCCGUAAUGCUGUGUUCUUACACUAAAUGGUGAUGAACGCUCUCUUCUCUGUAAUGAUAGUAGGCUGUUUUGUUACUGUGCUUCUAUAAGUAGUAGUGACUCAUAUGAUUUUCUUAAGUAUAGUAUCAGAAAGGGCAAGGGCAAAGUGCGCUAGUGAGCUUUCGGGGAACAAGCUUAGGGCAAUAAGUCAAUCAAGUACUCUAGUAGAUUUGGUACACUGCCUUCCGAUGUGUGUUGUAUAUCUCUCUUCACUCUACUAUGUCUAUGUCCUUUAAUAAGCGCUGGCAGGGUCUAGGGUUACUAACCAACUGAUGGCCUCCGUCCUUUAAUAAGCGAGCGCUGGGUGAAGUCUAGGAUUCCAAACAAACCAAGUACUAAUUUCUUGCCUAGAGCUUUAUUGCGCUAACCAGUAAAUGAAACAGAUUGUCACUAAGGAGCACUCCUCAAUGCAUACAGUAUCUCUUCAACUCUUUCCCCAAAGCCUCCUUCUCUCUUCCGCCAUCUUAUCUUAGUAAGUUCUACUUAGUUCAAUCUUAUGUGCUUUUUCAUCUCUUUCUUUCUUUGCUUCUUUAUUGAGAGUACUCUUUUCUUUCGUAUGCUAAUUCAAUUAAGGAGUGAUAAUUAUUAUUAUUAUUUCUAUGGAAUAUUGUGAUUGCCUGAGCGAAAGCGUCUGCAUGUUCACUACAGGGCAACGGUUUGAUGCUGUAGUUUGGCCGAUCCGCUGCUACUGCUCUAACUGGUGCUUGCCCACUACAAGGUAAGUAAAGUAGCAAGUAGAGUCUAGAUAAUGGUGCCCCCUCCGGAUGUUAAGGGUGAGGGUGCGAGUGUCAUUGUAGCGAGAGGUUCGGUGCUUGUUUCCUUGCUUUACAAAACAAACUAAUCACAAUCAAUAUAUAUUGGAUAUAAGAGCUUAGGGACAUAUUGCUAAAGAUGAUGGUUAUAUGACUGCUUCCCUUUUUGCUUCCAAACUCACUUUGGACUUUUCUCACUUAUAUCAGCAGCCGAACCCAACACUCAAGUACUUGAUUCUUGCCUUAAGCUUCUUUUCUCAACUUUCAGAAAAUCAUAUUAUUUGUGACCUAUGAUAGAAUAGUGGAACCUUCACUUUAUUGACCUAUGAUAGAAUAUAUGCACCUCACUCCUAUUACGAGCCACUGCAAAUAGCAUAGCACUCCUAUUACGAGCCACUGCAAAUAGCAUAGCACUCCUCACUCUACUGUCAUUAAGGAAUCGAACUCUUAACUCGACUUAUGGCCCUACACUCUUAACUCGACUUAUGGCCCUACAGAAUAUAUAGAACACUUCUCUUAUGUGAUAUAAUCGAUGAAAACCACUGCAUCCAUUAUGACUACUGCUGGCUCUAAUCUUUGCUUAGCUUGUUUCUUCUAUUCCUAAUGCGUUUCGAUUCUUCUUUGCUUCAAACUGACGCUGGACUUAGGUACUCUCUUAUGGCCCUUGCUUGUUUGUGACUCACUUCACUUCAUUCACCUUAGUGUUUCUUUGCUUGUUUUUGGGAAAUGGCUUGUUGAAUGGAAGAUGGGCACCUGAGUUACUUGUUUGAAAUGAAUUGAGUGCACCACUUAUGGAUUACAGUAAACAACCUUCAGACUGAAAACUCAUGUAAGCCCUUGCGCUUGUGUUGAAAAGAAUUAGGCUACACCACAAUUUGAAAGAAAGUAAACGUUACGCCUUUGCGCUUGUGUUGAAAAGAAUGAAGCUACACCAACCACACCAACAUGGAGAAUCAGAGUACACGUUAGCCCUUACGCGAAUUAAGCUAACCAACACACAUAUAGAAUACAUAGUCAACUUACUCCUUACUGCUAUCAUCCAAUUAGUGUCACUCCUUACUGCAGAAUCAAGUCAACUUACUCCUGGCUGCUCAUUCUAUGCAUUCCCUAGCAACACUGUUUACUGUGCGAAACCAUCAAAACUCACCAAUUUCUUAAUACUCCAAUAACUUAGGAGCAUCACCGUAAUUGCUUGUUCCUUUGACUCUAAAGACUCUCACUUAGGCAAUAGUCAGUAAGUCUCUUUUCUCUUCUGUAUGAUAUUUUGCUCUUCUGUAUGAUAUAGUAUAGGGUUCAUUCUCUUAUCUGAGUAGUAGGUUAGUGAAAUAGGGUUCAUUCUCUUAUCUGAGUAGUAGGUUAGUUAAGCCCACUUAUCGGUAUCUUCUAGCUUGAGUUUCUUCUAGGUUCGGGGCACAGUGAGUUCUAUAGAAAGAGAACAGUUCCGAGAUGCUUCAGAAAGCACCAACAUCUACUACAUGCGCCACAAUUCGAUUCUUUAGAGUAAGAGGAAGGAGUCAAGAGUAAUGGAGAUCCAUAUAAUGGGAAAUAGGAUCAUGAACCGCUUUCCAAAUAGUGUUUCAUUUGAAUACAUUAUCUUUCUUCUCUAUGUUCAAUAUAUUGGAUUAGUAUAGUCUCCUUGGAGUAAGCUGUUUUGUUACUCCAUUCAUCUUUCUAUCUAUUAGCACACAAUACGCAAGCAAUAGGGACCAUUAUAGAAUCAAUUUCUUUCCCUGAACCCGCAAUGGGUACCAUAAGAUUCCACUACUAACACAGAUUUUCUUCCCUUAACCUUAAAAUGAAAGGUGCUUUGCUUUCCGAACCUAACCUUUCUAUUCCUUUCCGAACCUUCCGAACCUAACCUUUCUAUUCCUUUCCGAACCCUAGCCUAGACAAUAGUCGUUCUGAAUUAUGGCCCUUGCUUUAAUAAUAUCAGCAUCCUUUUUCCUGGUGAAUAGUCGAGUUUGUUGUUCUUUCGCUGUUGCUCGUUUACUUGUUUAAUAUGCGCAUCAUAUAGAAUUUCUAGUUACCCCCCCUUCUGACUCUAAGCUCUAAACCAGAUUACUCCUCUGACUUCCAAACUCACUCGUACCCCGCACCCCAAAACUAGAAAGAAUCGAAUUGAACUGACAACUAACUACAUAUAAGAACUUAACAUUACAGCCUAUAAUCUUAGCUUAUUAGUUUCGUUUUUUGUUCCCUUGCUGACUCAACAUAUAGAAUUAAGGAACCUUAACAGCUGGUUUCUCCAAAGAACUGCUCACUACUCCAAUGCUAACAAACCCCGCUCCGCUAAACUAGCUUUGUAUAAUAAAGGCUAAAGUGCGAAAGAGGAACGCCCGAAAACUUGAACUCAUGAAACGUAAGCACAACGGCGCCGGCAAACUCACUAACGCCAGUGCUCAGUAAACUAAAAGAAUUCCAGAAGUUCAUGCACACCUACAAAAGAAUUCCAGAAGUUCAUGCACACCUCAUAUAUACUCAUAUAUAAUAAGAACGGACAUGCCUAUCAAUACUCAUAUAUAAUAAGAACGGACAUGCCUAUCAAUAUUCACGAACGAGCUUCUUACCUUUCAUUGGGCUUCUAAACUCACUGUUUCUACUUGCCCCGUAGUCAAUACUUCAUUGAAUCUCUCUCGCAUAUGAUCUCCGUGGGUCACCUAUAACUUCUCUGGCGCCCUAGCUUGUUUUCGUGUUGCCAUUAUGGAAUGUUGCGCAGCUUCACCCUUUUCACUUGCAGGACAGAGGACCGUGUUUUAUCUAAGAUCGCUUUGCCCCACUGGCACUUUCGAAAAGAAAGCUCUGUUUACUUGUUGCACUCAGCUAGGCUGCUUCACCCAACACUCAAGUACUUUACUUAUUGCCUAAUUAGCAUUCGAGAGAUACCAGAUACUUUACUUAUUGCUUAAUUAGCAUUCGAGAGAUACCAGAUACUUUACUUAUUGCCUAAUGAACUCCCGUAAGCAAAACUAGCGUAAAAGCAGCAAUAGGGUUCAUUGAAUCUACCCAGCAUAAUAUAUAAGGUGAUUAAAAACACAGUGAAUAUAGUGCACAAGCGGAAUUGAUUCUAUUCUAUUCCAUUAUUGAUUACCUAUUUGAUAUUCUAUUCUAUCUAUUAUUUCUUACUGAAAUCAUUACUCAACUUAUAUUAUUACUGAAAUCAUUACUCAACUAGAACAGGUCGAACUGAAGGAUACUCGUAUUCAGCCCCGAAACUAUAACUAGCACUUGCAUCUGACCCGACCCAAACUCCAUGACUCUUUAAGCAAAAGCAAAGGGAAAGCCAAUCAAAGAAGCUCUGUUAGCGAGCGGAACUCCUUGACCUGGACUUGCACUUGACGAAACCUACUCCACUCUCCCUUUAGCCACUGAGUCUUGACCUGGACUUGUACUGUCUUCAGAGGAAUCCUUCGAGCCCUAGUAUUUCAUUUGGUAAUAUAGCUUGUGGUAAUAUGACCUAUCAUUCAUUCUUGGUAAUCUUACCUAUCAUUCUAUUAUACCUUAUUGCUGCUGACUUGCUUGCGCCCAGCUUCUUUUAUGGUCGACAUGAACUUUGCCCUGACUUGAGAUUUCAUUAGCUAACAUGGAGCUCACUUGAUACUGAACCUUGAGACUGGAAUUGAGCAGUUGACUUGUUUUGUUCAACACCACCGCUUACCACUUACUUUUAUACAGCAUAUUUUCUCUCUUUUCGCCUUGGAGGCGGGACAAUCCAAUCUGUUCCAUUUAUAGCCCAACCCAGAGCAGAGGUUUAUAAGAUUCCCUAACUGCUUCUAUACGAUACAAGCAUUCAUGAAAUAAGUGUGUGGCGUCCGUGAUACUUUCUCUUAGGAGAUUCUCUUCUUUAUACUACUUUCCUAGCAACGAAACAAUCAACUAACUGCGUACCCUUACCCGGUUCUAGUUGAAAAGCACCUUUCCUUCUCGCUUACUCCUUUGCCACUGCUUGUUCUCCACUUGCACUUUCCUUACCGCUUCUAGCUGACUUUUGCACUUAUGCUUCUGUUGCUUUAAGAAUAUCGGCACCCCGAGUUGCUUUCAUCAUUGAGACCCCGAGUUGCUUUCAUCAUUGAGGGACGGGACUCGGUUGAACUAUUUCUUGUUCCCUGAGCUGAACCCUGCUCCGCCUAUAAGCUAUUUAGCCAGCAAACAAAGUGAGCGGUCAACUCGCUUUCAUUUGCACUUUCCCUCUCUCUCUUUAUCUUGCGCAUCGCCUUGGUGAAUGGAAAUUGGACUGAACAACUCCAUUAGCGCCGUCUCAAGCCUCUCAUCUUUAUGGUUCUCUUGCAUCGCAUCCACAUCUAAGUUGUUAUUAUGAUUCCGCCCUUUACCUUGCAUUCCAGUCCAUUCGAGUUGAUUGACUUUAAGGCUUCUAAUCUUUAGACUACUCCAGCUCCAUCUUCGGCUGGAACUCUACCACUAGCUUAAAGAAAAGAAGAGAUAUUUGCAACCACCCAGCCUUUGCUCGUUCUCGUACACUUGCUUAUUCCCUUAUCCGCCAUUAUGUUUUAGGGGGCUACGUAUAGGUGUUAUGACUCUCAAGAUGGUGUUCAAGGCAAUAUCUAAAGAAGGGAACAAAACAAGCAAACGGGCAACUACCACCGUUGCCCUAACUUAUUAAGCGCUAAGGUACUACUUACUGGGCGCAAGAUCAAGGAUGCGCUGGGCACAAACAUGUACUUUAUCCCAUUGUCUCGGGUCGGGUGCUUGUGUGAAGCUAUGAAAGUGGAGUGAGGUGAAGAAGAGGAUUGGAAAGUGGAGUUUCGAACUGAAAGUGGAGAGUUCAGAGUUGCAGCAAAGGGAGUUAGUUGUAUUUACAUCAAUAUAUACUAGGCUAGGUGCUCGAAAUACAUCAUUGCAUUCUUUAACUGAAAGUGGAUGCAGUGUAUUUGAAUCGGUCACUUUGAUCUUCCUCUGUUGAAACAGCUUUAACAGCAUACUUUAGAUCGAACGGAUCUUGCUGAUUCUACAGUCCUAAGCUAAGUCACUCGAUUCUUUCCCGCUUGCAGAUGACACAGAUUCUUAUCCCGUUUACUUUAUUCCUCUAUGACCGACACAAUCAUCUCUCUCAACCGACCCGACCUCAAGCCAAUAACACCUAUUAACUGAACAAGACUUUCUGUGGGCUGCUGACUGACUCUCAUUUGUUUAUUCUUUCGGAGACUACUUUCUAAUUGGAAUAACUCCUUGUGUUCUAGGUCUUGUCUAGUAGUGUAGUGACUUGGCGGAACAGGAAUCCAUUUUCUUCCAGAGGAUUUCCCCACCCCAAUGAAUGCUAAAUCUUUAGAUCGUCGAGUAAAUACUUUCUUUAGAACUCUUUACGUUGAUGCCACUAAGUCUGGGCCUGCUUAUGGUUAUCUACCACUUGUGAUUGCGCCAAAGACAAGAUAAGAUCUCUUUCUUCCCGUUAGCGUAGUGCAACUCAUUCAUUGAAAUAGGACGGAACUGUCUAGGAAUGUAAUCGCUCACCUGUUAGAGUCUUUCGAUCGACAUAAAGUAGAAUUGUUUGUCAUAUUACUAGGUUUCUAUACAAUGCCUUGCUGCAGACUUUCUCCACUUCGAUCGCCCUCCCCUCCCUUGGUAUCAUUGAAGACGCUCCUUCGUGUCCGCCCUCUUUCAGAACCUCCCUUCAAUCACUGGAUGCCCACUAUCAAUGAGUUAUUAAGAACCUUGUUAUAGGAAGGGAUGAACUAGUAACUAGUCUCUAACGGAACGGCUAAGCCCAGCAAAUGAACCUUCUCCUAACUAAUUCCAACUAGCUGCACUUUCCCAACUCGACAUCUUUCAGGCUAAGACCUUACUUGCCUCGGGACAUGCCCUAUCUUGUUCUAACUAAGGCAAAAGUUCUUUUACGGCUCUGUCUCGUCCUUUAUCUGACUUCUUUUAACAUUCGUGUUUUCGUUCGUUAUAUAGCGAUAAUCGCCCAUUCAUCCUUUAGUUCUUUCUUGCUUGCAUUCUCUCUUUCUUUUGACUUCCAAGCUUGGGCUUGUAAUGUCUCAUGCUAUGAUGCUUUGGUUCAUCUCACUGCUUGACGCUCCCGCCCUUCCUUUCUAAACCUUCCUUCCUUCGAUGUAAAAGUUAGAUUAUGCAAUUCCACUAUCCGUAAGGGCAAGUAAAACAGUAAACCCAUGAAUUUGGAUUUCUCUAUCUCUAUUAAUUGAAACUACUUGACUUGCUCAUAACUCCGGUACCAGGGGCAUGGGGCUUGCUCAUAACUCUAUACGUGAGAACUAGCUACCCUUAAGCUUUGAACUCGCUAUCGCCGAACACAGCACUUGGUCUAACUACGUUGCUUGGUCUGUAGUAGGAGCUUGGCAGUUGACUUUCAUUCUACGACUACUAACUAAAAGAAUGGAUCUAUCCACUAGGAACUCUGCUAGUGCUGACAGGACUGCAAUCACAAACUCCUCUUUUAUUACUGACAUGCCGACCAGCCCCAUUCUCUUGUUUCAAACUAACGCUCCUGUCUCACAUUCUUUUAUUGAUGGGAUAGCUUUUAUUCUUCCCAUGUUCACUCCCAAGCUGACAACCUUUGUUUUCAUUCCCAUACUCCUGCUUUGCAUUCUGAAAUUCCUUAUUACGUUAGCUUAGUUUAAUACAAUAAUGAAUUAGCAUAUAUUGGAAUGGGUUUGCUAGUCGUUUGAUUAUCGUAAUUCCAAUAGCAUUUGCUUCUAGUUUAUUGGUCGAAAACAGCAAGUUAUUUCUCUAUUAGAUUAAUACAAGCAGUAGGGUAGCUUCGUUCCAUAUGCUGAUUGAUGGGGUUGGUUUAGUGAAAUCAAUAGGGUUAUGGUUACGUACCAUACACGUGGUUGUUGUUUGCUUGGGCACUGUUGACGUCUCUCCCGUUAGGGCACCUCCUUUCAAAGAAGGAAUCGAAUUGGCAUCUUAUAAACUAUAUUAUAAGAGAAUAGAAUGGAAUUGGCAUCUUAUAAACUAUAUUAUAAGAGAAUAGAAUGGAAUUGGCACUUAGGAAGCUAUCUCCUGUUCUUUUAUUGUAUUGAUACGGAGCUAUCAGACUACUAAUAGUUGGUGUAUAGGAUCUAGUGCAUCUAGCUAUUCACUAAAAGAAUGGAAAUAGUAAUAGAGAAUAUGGGUACGAUCCCAAGCUACUAAGUAGUAUCAAAUUAGCUAGGGAUUUUCACUAGUAAUACACAGAAUAAUAAGGGGAAUAAAGAAUACAGGUAUGAUGUAGCGCCUAAGAAGUAUUUGUAGUAUAAGUAAGGUACGAUCUAUUGCAUCUACUAUAAUAGGAAAAGAGUAGUCCAAGCCUCACUUUUGUAUUUCACUCUUCUAGUGGCCCCUUCCAAUAUGAAAUAGAACUCUUUCACUGGCAGCCUAAGAGCCUGUGCUACUACGCCAAUAGACUUGACUAAGAGCCAAGCAACGAGCCAAGGAACUACUCUACUACAAAUAGGGUAGCUGGCAACCAUCCCUCGAACAAACCAGUUAGUAGAUCCCUUUACUUGUCAACUUCAGACUAAACAAGGGAUUCCACCAGAACAGUAUUGGCAAACAACCAAUAAGGGCCUCUCUACUUCUAUAAAAGAAAGGAAUGCGCUAGCUGAUCACAGGACAAAGAAAGCAGGUAGGGAGUCAGAGUAAUCAAUAAGAAUUAGUUGACUUAUCGAAAUGAAUUAAGGGCACAGGACUCGUUUAGUAUCCGCCUGUCUCUUGCUCUAGUACAGUUGCUUGCCCGGCUUGUCUAACUGACUUGAAACUAGUUGCAUUCUUGGACCACUGGUUCAGGGACGUUGAAGAACAGAACCCUUAUUUUAGCGGAAUCUUUGGAGCACAUAGGUCUUACCGACGACCACUACUGAACCACGAGCGGCAAGCAAGCAAACCAAACCACCAGUUCCGAAGCUCAGAACUAAUACUGACUUCCUUGAGAAAGGGCUUUUUUGCAUUCCAUUAUAAGGGUAAUAGAUCUGUGCUAACCGAGAGCAGAACUCCAAACCAAAUAAUAACAACCUUCGAAAAAACGAUAGCCCACCACAUAUAGGGUCGAGACUCACCACUGAGUAUGGUCUCCAAAGUGUCUUAAGCGACCUCGCGCUUCCAAGACCACCGCAAGCAAAGAACAUGUGCCUCUGACAGCUCUUAUCUUUCUGGAUCAUAAGAAAACUUCGAGCUGAAUACUUUUCCACUCAUGUACAAUUCAAUCGCUAUCGACUAUUUGACUUAAGAUUAAGAAACAGCGUCUACGUCUUCUGGUGUAGCUCGGCCACCAACCUGUGAGGGAAGGCUGGCUCCUCUCAUAUAGAAUAUUCUCUUCUGGGCUGGGUGCGGUUCAACCCUUUGUAUUUCAUAAGCAGGGGAGUACCCACUAGUUCCCCAUUCUAUUCAAAACCUAUGUGAUUAAGACCCUGGAAUGUAGAUUAGCAAAAAAAGAAAGCAAGGAAGAAUUCAUUAUAUGAAUCGAAAACCUCUCGUACUCGUUAUCAACCUCCAAUUUCAGAUACGUUAGUAAACAAACCACUGGCCAAGCGUAUACUUGUAGCGGGGAAUUAAUACCUUAACUACUGAAUCUGCAUUAGUUGACAGAAGAAUCAAGGGAAGUGUAGUGACUUGGCUGACGAAACCCGUGAAACAACACUGCCGCUACACUUACGUAGUUACUUGGCAGGGCAAGUCUGUUUGUCAUUAGCUCUAUUCUUUUGCAUUAGCUCUAUUCUUUUGAUUGGUGUUUACUCUUCAUAGUAGUAGCCCAAUUCCUUAUUCCAGCUUAAAAGAUUACUCGCGUAGGGCAGAGUUUUAGGAGUUGCUGGACUCUUUCUUUAACUAACAGGUCAGGAUGCCAGAAACGCUACAUAGAAUGGAAGACCGGAAAGGAAGCUUAAGUGCCCCAACGGGGAAGAUCUGUUUGCCAGUAGAUCGAUUCUUAUGAGUAUGGGUUUGAUUCCAAUAGCGGAGAGGAGGGGUCAGUUUCUAGUUCCUUUCUUUUAGGGUAGUUACUCAUUUUUAGACUACUUAGUUGAUUUCCCACUUUGGAAGUUGAGUCUAGAUUCCUUUAUUAGUAUCCGGAGAAGUAUGUAUUAGUAUCCUGAUCGACCUAGUGCUCCAUCCAUCAACUCCGACUUUAUAAUGCAAUUCGGAGAAAGCCCACGAGCAAGUCCCUUAUCUGUUAGCUUAUAUCAAGAAAGCUGUUUCCCACGAACAACGUAUAGACCUUCUCAUCUCAUAUAUAACAUAGAGCCAGAUUCUGGAUAAAUGUUAUAUAAAUAAGUCCUCUAUUAGCAAGUCCUCUAUUAGCGCUCAUUUGGUAUUGGGUUUUCUUCGAUUCCGUUUUGCAAAUGGUAACACUAGGAAAAAGAUUCACUCCAUAACCCUGGAUUGUCUUCAUUGACAACCUGUUGAUCAUUAUAACUUCGAUUAGGGCUUACUUAAUAUACAAUGGCUUUCUUUUCUUCUAUAUACAAUGGCUUUCUUUUCUUCUGUUUUUCUUUUUCGAGUUAGUGUUUCAAAAGAGUUUCGUUUUCUCUUACUUCUGUUACAUUUGUCCCGAAAACCGCCUAUUCCAUCUCUAUCCCUGCCAGCUAUAAUGAAAAGCAGAAAACCAUAUAAUUACUUUCAUGGCAUUUAAUGGCAUCGGUCUUAUCCGUGCGUCUAUGAAUCCAAACCUCCCAAACACCGUUCUUUCGUGGAUUGACUAUUGGAUUCUUCCCCCCCUUCCUAAAGUGCCAAAGCAGAUUUCAUAGCAGCUCCUUCUCGGCAUCAAGUCAAGACAAGACCGACCCUGGAAAAGAAAGGUUUGCAUCCACCUCAGGCAUUCAACCACAGGAAACAGCCAUGCGAUUACCUUAUUACUGGCUUAUCUGCGAGGGACCAAGCCUAUAGAUCAUACCUAUUACACUGUAUGAACUCAAGCAGCUUUACCAUUUGACUUCCAUCCUGACAUAUCUUAUCUGAUUGCCCAGCUUUACCAUUUUCCAUUUCAAACACGCUUGGCUUGCUCGGAGAGGAAAGAAAGCGGAAGGAAGCUAAAGCUCGAAUGACAAGAGAGGAAAGCGGAAGGAAGCUAAAGCUCGAAUGAUAAGAGAGGAAAGCGGAAGGAAGCUAAAGCUCGAAUGACAAGAGAGGAAAACGAGGAAAACAACACCAACUUGCUAACUCGCGUACUUGCUAACAAAGAUACUUGCCCUUUUUGAGCCUAUCCAAUACCCAAGAUUCCAAAAGGGCAGGCAGAGGGAAAGGAAAUGGCGAGGAGCUGAAAUGGGACAAAGACUUCCUGAGGCCUUAGCUUACCAAUCCAAAAGAAAGACAGAAGGCGAAAUUCUCUUACUACUGGCAUGGAAUUCGGUUUCUCACAGGAAGCAGGAAAGAGGACCCGGUGGAAUCUGCUCUUGGUGCCAUUUCACUUCUUGUAUCUCCCGCUUGCUUUCAUUCAAAGUCACUGGCCAGGAGAGAAAGCUCAAGCAUAUGCCUAUACUUAUCCCUGUAAUUGUAUUAAAGAGAACGACAUGCCUAUAUUUUCCUUCAAGCUUUACUUAAGAGAACGACAUGCCUAUAUUUUCCUUCAAGCUUUACUUGGGAAAGAAUCCUAUUUUCGAACUUCCUUGCUCUAGCCCGCCGCUCUAUGAUAUUCUAGCUAUAGACCCAAUCGGAGAAUCUCUUAUCCUUUGCCUAGCCCUUGUUCGUGUUGCCCGCUCUAACCCUAUCUCGUUAGCCUUCUUCUUACUUACUCUCUGACUCGUCGCCUCUUCGUUGCAAGCGGAUGUGCGAUAUACAGCGGAUCAGCAAAAACCUAUAUGCUAAGCAGCUUCUUAUGGGACUGCGGAUAUACUCCUGGCUUUAGCUUACAGAGCAGUGGCUUGUCAGAAAAUCCCAGCACUCUCACUAAUUCCGCAGCUUGCCAUUUUCAGAGUGCUUCCUGCAAGCUAUCAUUUGCUUUUGCACGAGAAUCCGCUAUCCCUGAGGAACUGCUUUAUAACAAGUCGAAAACUAGAAAACGAGUAUCAAACUAAAACACCUAAACGGCUUAUGGUUGGUCUUACACUGACUUUCUCACCACCACUAGAUGCCCUUAUUAUUUGGAUUAAGGCUAGUGAGAAGACUGAGAUGAAACAUAAAUAUAGCCUGCUAGAAUAAAGACGGAAGGCUGUAGAAGUAACGGAUGUUUAUGGGAGCAUUGACGCAAAGGAGUUUAGCUUAGUUCCCGAUCUCGUGUUACCCCCGAAGUAUAAAGUCCCCGAGUUUCAAAAGUCUAAUUGGGCUGGAUGCCCCUCAACUCACUUAGCGCUGUACUGUCGCAAAAUGACGGGGUAUACUUAUGAUGAAAAACCACUAAUCCACUGCUUCCAGGACAGCUUAUCGGGAUCAGCAUGGAAAUGGUAUGUUAAGUUAGAUCGUUCGCUCAUCUACUACUGGGCAAGAUUUGGCUCGUUCCUUUAUGGUACAAUACAAGCAUGUGGUCGACAUGGCUCCAGCAUGUCUUGGAUUGAGCUUUCACUCCAGAACAUAGAGAAGAAGUCGACCGAAGAAUUCUAAGAGUAUGCCCAACGAUGGCGAGAUCUAGCUGCUCAAGUUCCGCCGCCUUUGACGGAAAAGGAGAUAACAGUAAUGUUUGUGAAUACCCUUCACCGGUAAAGCUCUUGGGAAGUGCUACCAAAAGCUUAGAGUAUAUGGUAAUAUCGGGAGAAAUUCUAGAGACAGCUAUCCAAAGUGGAAGAAUGGAAGAAUUCUAGAGACAGCUAUCCAAAGUGGAAGAAUGGAAGUAUAAACCACAAGCACCAAACGUGUCGGACCUCCUAAAAGAAAAGAAGGGGAAGCCCGCAAUAUCAGUCUGCAACUAAUCAAUUCCGUUCCUCGAACAUACGCAGAAACUCAUAACCUCUAUCGGCCAUCUCAGUCAGGUUCGUCACCAAGCAAUCCACGACCACCAAAGCCAUAGCUGCUAAGGCGAAAAUGAAACCCCAUCCCGAUGUCAUACACAGAACUCUACCCUCCCGUUGCUGAAAAACCAUUUUGUAGCCCCUGUCUAUGUAGAGCCGUUUCACCCUCCAUACCCAGCAGCAUGGUAUGAUGAGAAUGCCCGAUGCAGCUAUCAUUACAAUGUUGUUGGACACAGCCUCGAUAACUCCACGGCGCUAAAAUCGAAAGUAAAGAAUCCAUCUUCUUAAUGCUGAAAGUAGAAAAUCCAUCUUUCUUAUUAAUGCGGGGCUUCUCUCCUUUGGGGAUGAACAAAAACCGAGCGAGCGUGAAUGCAAAUCCUUUAACGAAUCACUGCGGAGGAUCUUUUCAUGCUGUUGAGGGUAAAUGAGAAGGUAAAGAUCAAGACAAAGGUAGAGGAAGCUCCAUUCGAAAAAGGUAUAUUACUUGUAUAAUAAAGUAAGGAAUACUGGUCUGGUCUCUACCUAGUUCCAAAAGACAGAGGAUGUAAUAACGCCACAAUGAAGAAAGGAUAGUUUCCGUUGAGUCGACAACUUAAGAUGCUAUUUCCAGAGUGUCAUCCGUGUCCUCUACCUCGGGGGUCUAUUGCUAAGGAAUCAGUCAGUAUAUUAAUGGGGCUUUCCUUGUUAAGUAAGUAUAUUAAUGGGGCUUUCCUUGUAGGUUUCGUAAGGUUGAAAGUCAUUUGUAUUGUCGAGAGGAAGAUGACUCCUAUCGCCAUGAAUAAAGGACUUGGGCCCAAGAAACAAGUCGUCCAGUGCUAAGGCGAGAGUUGUGGAAUGAUUUGUUGCUUUUUAUGCGAGUUAUCAGAUAUCUUCAUAGCAAGAAAGAUCCGUAUUUCUUUACUCUGCGCUCGCCUCUAAAGAUUCAAUGGAAUUCAUAAGUUCAAGUAAAGGGGUAUUAUAUAGAACAAGUCAUUCUUGGGGAAGAGGUGGAAGUUGCCAUUAAGUCUGAAGUAACGGUGAAGUAGGCUUUAGCUCCUCAGCUAUGAAGUCAUUGUCCCGACUCCUUGUCGUUGCGUAGAGAGGUUAUUGGCUGUUGCAGUAAGAUCAGAAGACUAGUUAAGAAUUUCGUAAAUAAGAUGGAUCUUCAGCAAACAGUUCUGCAAGUCGAGUUCUUGUCGGGGAAUCAGAAAGGGAAAGGGAAGCUAUGUAUUGACUUUGUUUCUAUACAACCUUCUAGAUAUCUUCAUCCUCAUCUUAUCUUUCUCACGGUGGAAUAAUCUGCGCAAAGGGGAGUUCUAGUAUUGUCUGCAGCAGAAUUGCCAGUAACAGUUCUGGAUCAUAUGCUAUUACUGGCUUUGAAGCGAGGUGUCAAUCAGUUGCAUCCGUUUGUCUUAGAGAAUCGUGUAUCUAGAACGAAGAGGUUAAGCGGUAAGUGAACGAGUGCCAAAGUCAGCCGAAAACAGGUGCAUUAAUUAAGGGCACAGGACUAGCUCAAGAGAAGAUAAAGGAUCCGGAGUAGAGCAACUGAGUAGGGGAGAAAUAGGUAGUAGGGGAACCUAUGCUUUAAGUAAGAAAACGGGGAUUCUAACCAGAGUUACUGCCCCCAGAUUGAAUCUUUCCUGUCGAUAGGUGAGCCUGUCUCCACAGCACGUUAGCCUGUCUCCACAGCACAGCUCUUUUUAGGUAGGAUGGAUUCUUCUCGAUGUCACAUACUAAGAGAACUCGAGUCUUCCUCAGUCGAUCGAACAGAACAGCACUCCGGCCUUGAUCUCACUUCAGGCAUAAAGAAAGACCGACCCUUUCUCUACAAUAUACUCGGGUGUUUUUGAUAUCAUGAAUUGAGCUAGCUGGAAUUCUCUGUCCUUAACGACUUUCAUUCUCUGUCCUUAACGACUUUAUUUGAUUACUCGCUAGUUCGUUUAGUAUGUUUGCUAAUCUAGCCCCGGAUUUAUUCUCCUACUUAGCCGAGUUCUGUGUAUUUCACUCACUUAUUGGUCUGUGUAUACUAAUGAUUGAUUGUAUUGCUUGUUUCAAACCAAACCUAGCCCAGCUGUACCUUAGCCUGCACCCUCGUCCAAGGUCUCUGUUCUAAUGAAACUGUAGCCAUCGCUGCCAGCAGCUGACGCUGACCUUGCUUAUGGCCCUAUUAGCCUGUCUUGACUUUUGAUCGAAUCCUUUCUUACUGGCCUUCCCAGCUUACCUAUUACUUUCAAGUUUCAUUAUUACUUGCCCUAUCCCUUUUCUUAUACCUUAUACUUAUUAUUAUACCUAUACCUAUAGGCGCUAGAUCACAUACCCUUUCUUACUAGUUUUGUUCUCGGCUCCACUGCCCUUGAUCCCUAGGUUCUAUUUUCAUUCUGGAACUUUGAUUGGCCCAAUUGUUAUAUGCCUUUGUUUCGUUUGUUAGCAUCGUAAUAGUAGUUCACUCCGGCACUGAUCUAAAUCUGACAUUCCAGGUAUAGUAUAAGAGCAAUACAGCCCUACAUUUACCAUAGUGAUUAAGAAGAAGUUGCAGAACGAACUACUACCCGCACUAAUUAGAAUCAAAGAAAUAAGUAGGAAUCUAAACCUGGCAACAAGAUAAGAAAAAAGCCUGACUUAUGAAAUAAUUGACCUCGACAAGCAAAUACUAGGCCCUAUGCUCUUAUCAGAUACUAGGCCCUUGCUCUUCCUCACAGUUUACCACGAUAGACCAAUAAAUCUACAUAGCUUUAUUGAAAGGUGGAGCUUCGCGGUCAGCCAAGGCCUUAGGAGCGCUGCAGGUGAUUCUCUCCGCUUCUGUUAGUUCUUUCCCUUCCCUCCUCGGUGCCUCUUCCUGGCUACUCAACUCCAAGUCGGGAUGGUUGCAACAGCUUGUACUGGCUAAACAUCUCCUAUCUUUCUAUAGUCUAUCCCACUCUGACACUACUAUAUCAGAGGAAAAGUAUUGCCCGUCCUGUCCUCACUGAGUUGAUCUGGUGCCCACACUGUUGUUAGUCCUCUUUGCUUUAUUGGCUAAAGCACAUAUCCUGUCCCUUGACCGAUUCGAAAUGCACAAAAGCAUUGCAGAAAGAGAUGAUCGAGUAUCUUAAGCCAUCCUAGGCGGUUCUCCCGUAGCGUCUCUGCCGGAUACUUUCUAAGGUGUUGGUUUUUCUUCCUAUCCGAGGUUAUCAUCUUCUACAACUAGGGUUUUCUCUUUGGGACAGAUUGGAUCUCGUCAACUCCUUAGCUUUACCCUCGGGGAACUCCCUUUUCGCCUUCGACAUAUGAGAGAGAUUUCUACCAAAUACAAAACUCUGGAGUAUACCAUAGAACUCCAUACUCUCGUUUUACAUCGACAAUUUGAACCUCACAGAACUUUGACAAAGUGCAGAUUUCUUUCAUUCAUUUAGUUAGUUAUGUGCUUCCCCAUCAGGGAAGGAACGCACCCUCUUGCAUUAUCUUCCGAUUCCCUUAUAUAGGUUUGGGAAGGAUACAUUGUUGCUUCCCUUAUAUAGGUUUGGGAAGGAUCCAUCAGUUACUUCAUGGCGAAAAAAGUGAACCUUGGGAGGAACGAAAGCCAGACAUAUCAAAUGGAGGUGCCCAGAUUAGAUAUGAGCGAGGAUGGGAGAAUCCAGUUAAGGAAACAAAGAGGGAGGCCUUUUCGCUAAGGUCAUCUUAAGGAUUACAGGGCCUAGCUUACUUGCGUGCUAGCGUUACUGCUUAUGUGCUUGCCCUCCCCUCCGUCUUUAACCAACUCCCAUUUCAUCUAGGCUAGUGCUUUAGUCCUUCUCCCAUUUCAUCUAGGCUAGUGCUUUAUUCCUUCUUUUCCCACCACAGCAACAGGAAACUCUCAAAUAAAUGGUCAAAACCCAAAUACCCCGAUCUCGCUCUUGACUUUCGAAUAGGAGAUAUUUCCUCCCAGGAUUUCCAAGAGGAAAAAUGCAUGGAAAGGAAAGCGAAGACUACCUGAAAAUAACCCAUCGUAACGGAGACUCCUACUUCGAAGGCUCCCACGUUAUAGACUGGAAAAGAAAUAGACUAUUCACAACUAGGGCCCCGGCCCGGGGACUGAGACAAUGGCUUACAGGGCUUCUGACUUCUGGAACCUAUUCGUCCUACACAAGGGUAAGAUUCCAGAUGUUAGUAGAAGCACACCAGCUUGAUAGGCAGAUGAAGAAAAGAAUAGUUCGAAAUAUGCUGAUAGUACCUAGUUAGGCUUUUUCCAAUCCUCUGCUAAAGAAAGAGCCACUUCACUUAUGCUAGCUUUAAAGAAGUAUUUCUAUUUUAUAGGUAUGGAUUCAGACUUCAUCUUAUAGGUACUUCUGGGCCUACUUGCCCUCAGUGGAUACUCUCAUCUCAAUACAGAAUAUACUUCAUAGUCUCAGACUGUGCUAAAGUGCACUUUCUCCUCAGGCAAUUGUGAAGAACCAAAUCCUUAUAGUUCUAUUGAUAGCUUCCUUGCUUUGCCUUGUAGGGAACUCUUAGGAUAAUCUCUUAUAUCAAUCAAGCAAGCUUCUGUCUUCUUGUGUGAGCUUUGCCUUGUAGGGAACUCUUAGGAUAAUCUCUUAUAUCAAUCAAGCAAGCUUCUGUCUUCUUGUGUGAGACAAGAAAUACCUCGAUACUUACAAAGAUGGGUCCGUAACCUUACUUUUGUCUUUUUCUUUUUUAGCGAGAUAGAGUCAAACAAAGUCAAGCCAAAUACUCUUAGAAAGCCUAGCUCUUUGAUUUUAUUACCGCUCCCCUUGGGAUUCCAUCCAUCCUUUCUUAUGAUCUUUCUAUACCACCAGAUCAGGGCUUUCAUAAGGUUCCACUUUUCCUAUUGCCCACUACUAUCUUUGACCACUACUCACUGAUUCACUGGGAAUCUUUUUGCUUCUGUCUAGUUAGCUCUCUAGGCAGUUACUGAUGCAAUUCUUUCGUAGGGCGGGCGAGACGUAGAGUCUCUAUAAUCUAGGUCUCAGUAUACGGCUGGUAAAGCUUGAUAGGUCUCAGUAUACGGCUGGUAAAGCGUGAAUUCAAAUACCCUCUGAUAAUGCUCUCCCACUUGCAGGAAGUAGAACUUUCACAGUUGGAGGGGCUCCCUUUACUUCGCUUGCUGCCCUAUUGAUCCCAAAAGGUAAAUCAACCUCAAAGCAAGCCCUAUUCCGAUAUAUCCACCGGGGGACAUGGUUUGUGAUCUUACGUGAGAGAAGAGGUUGGAUGGUAUAGAGUCGGUGAUGCUUCAAAAUGCAUGCUUCAGCCAUCACCAAGGCCUUAUCUUGCAGAGGGGGAGCUUUGUCCUUUAGUCCAAGUCGAAAGCGCUAGCCUUAUUAGUGGAUGGUUCUUACCGACCCAAAAAGCCUGAUUCACUCCUAACCGACGAAUAAGGAACGAUCUUUGAUCACAAACGGUACUAGAAAUAGAAAGAAAGCGAGAUUGCACGAUAGUCAAAGUAAAGCAAGGCCAAGCAACUAGGCAAGUAGACAAGUCGUUGCGCAGGGAUGCUCUUACCGUAGUGCCCCCUUCUUCCAGCUUUGUCGGCUUUCUUUCGUAUCGGCCUCGAAGCCAACUCACAAGCUUUCGUAUCGGCCUCGAAGCCAACUCACAAGCUACAGCUAAUCUCCUAAUUUCCACUUCGGUAUUUCGCCAAGUGCGAUUAUAUGAAGAAGUAGAGUCAGGAACUACCUUUCAUUCUAUAGGGCCGUUCUUCUCCUCCAACCAGAAAGGGGGUUACAUUCAAUCCAGUGCCAUCACACCCACAGUUCAUUUUCUUUCCUAGGAUAAACCCAAUCUUUCUUUUCUCGAUGCCCUUUUUCGAUUGGUUAUGGUUAGAAAGAAUGGAGGAAAACUAUCCCAUACUUAUAAGUCUAACAUGCUUGCAUCACAAAGUCAGUCUAACAUGCUUGCAUCACAAAGGGAGAAUUCCACUAAGACAUACAAGAGGUACAAAGAAAAGAGAACAAGCUAAAUAGUCCAACAUCAUUUUCCAAAGUUCUAUUCAAAAACUAAGGGUGGAAGAAGAGUGCAAAUGUUUACUUCAACAAGCCAUAUAUAGAAAACAAGCCAUAUAUAGACUUUCUUAUUAUUUCCCAUGUUGCACCUUGCCGGCCACUUCGUUCACUUGGCUUUCUCCAAAGGCAUAAGAAAGCAUAUAAGAUAGGCAGAACCCAUUCACCAGAGGCUUCUAGAAUGUCUUAUUUGGUAAAGCCAAUCAACGGAGAUAAGGUAAGGUACUCUUAACUCUCGACAAAGAAGAAAACGAAAAAGCAAGAAGUACCCUCAGAAUUUGGAAUUGACCUCUCCUCCAUCCUGCCACCCUAGUGCUCUGUGCUCUGAACUAGGAAUUGAAGAAUGGAACUGUAACCAAAAAAGCAAGAAGUCACCUAGAAAUGAAGACUGCAACAUAAGGUAAGAGAUAGCGCAUUGGACGAAAAGGUAGAGCAAAAGCAGAGGAAUCAGAAUGUAAAGUAGUCUACUGCAACAUAAGGUAAGAGAUAGCGCAUUAGAUAAGAAGGAACAGAACGGAAUCCGUCCCCCACUAGGUAUGUUCUUGUUACCCGACUAGAGGUAUAUUAUAGAAGCGGUAGCGAGCGCCAAGUAACGCAAAGACAACUAUCAUAAUCAACUUAUACCACAUAUAUACGAUUUAUGAGUGGUUAUUACAACACCUGUGCCCUUCCGUCAAGGCGACAAGCUACUACUAGACGAGUCACUACAACCUUCGUUUUUUCUCUACCACUUGCUUUGACUUCGACUGAAGAUAAGUAUUCUGAUCCAGCAGAUGCUGAUUCCACUGGCUUAAACUCAUUCUGAAAGAGGAGCUUAUGUCACUAUACUAGCAUGGCUUCACACAAGCAUCCGAACCUACAUCCACGUCUUGUUGGGACUGGCAAUACUUAAGCCUCAGUAAAUUCCAAAAUAAUCAUAUAUCUAAGCUUAAGGAAUAAUCAUCUGUUUGUCUACGAGUUCCAUAAGCCGAAUCUUCUCUUUAUUUUGAUUAAAUGAAAUGAAUAAAUACCCACACCCCGCAUUGCAAGGAUGGUGAGUUUGUCCGGAAGGGCUGCACAGUGUCUUUCUUUACUUGGUUCUAUAUCAAGUGCUUCAAGAAAGGAGAGUUUCAUCCGUUUCUAUGCCCCAUGUGCUCAAUAGAUUCAAAUAAGAGGUAGAGCUCCAUAAGCUAAGAGGUGGAGUUCCAUAAGCUCCUAUUGUGGAAUUAGUUAGGGUAAGGCCUAGACUCUGUUUCCAUAGAAUAGGUAGUUUAAGGAAAAGAAGCAAUAGUUAGAUCAGGUGAAGGUACGCGCAGGAAGUAAAGGAAAUGGAAGUGAUAGUGAAAUCCUAGUCGACUCGAAUGGACUGUCAUGCAGGGUUAAGGUAAUAAUCUAGUACCUUCUUUUCCGCUAAUUCCGUUUCUGUUCUCAAGUAUGGUUCGGAUGUGUGUUUGUGUUGUUGGUGAAGAAAAAGGAGUGCGUAUACGAGUGAAGUCAAGGUAGAAAGCAUAAGGGGCUUAAGGGUGUAGAUCCCCGUUAAUAAGAAUGUGUUCUUCUAUGCGAUGCUCGAGAGUCAAGAGAUGGCAAAUUCCACAAGGCGCUCAAUGGAUUCCGCUAAUACUCCAGUGCCGUUUCCGCGCUUUCCUUUCCGUAUAGUUCCUUCGAGUGAAGUCGACAAGUUGUUGCAAGCUAUGUGGGAAGUUCAGUUGAGUUCGGAACGGAAAGUAUUGUUUGGUGCGACGAGCUUGUGAGAAAGCUUAAGUUAAGUAGGCUGUAGCUCCGCGUUCCUGUUCUAGUUCCAGAAGCAACAGAAGGAGAAAGAUCUGCUGAAGAAGGAUAAGAAGCCUGAAAAGCAACAGUUUCAAGUAAGUCAACAACUGGCUUGGCUCACUAACGCGUCAUAGUGACUUGUUCCAUUAUGCUUCUUUCUCUCCACUCUAGUAAAGUAUAGAACGGAGUAAAGUUUGUAGAACAGAAUUGCCAGAUUGACAGCUCUUUCCCUUUGUGUUAGUGCUUCCUUCAGUAAUUGGCUUUCCCUUUGUGUUAGUGCUUCCUUCAGUAAUUGGCUUUUCCUUUGUUCGUCUGUCUACAUUUCCGUUUGAUUUCGUGUUCUGGUCUGGCCCCUUAGACCUCUGAGAUUGUACCUUGAGAGUAGUUGCUCAUUUGCUCUUGCUCAUUUGCACUAUUGCUUGUAGGAGUUCCUGUGUUCCUAAUCCUGCUCUCAUAUAAUAAAGUCAUCUUACCUGCUUGUUAAAACCUAUUCCCCAGGACAACCAACCCUCUUCUCGACCUUAAUCACUCUGUUAGCGCGCUUAUUAUUCUAAGCUUGUAAAGUACUAGAUUAUUGCUUGCCUUGCAUCUUGGUCUGCUGACUCACUACGGACUCCUCGCUUGAUUGAAGCUUUUAUCACUCUGUUAUGCCUAACGAAACUCUAAGACGGAUAGUACUAUCGAAGCGCCCUACCCAAUAGAAUGAAAUGGAAAAUCAUCUCUUUCGCAUAAAUAAGUAAACUCACUGUAUUGCUUUCCCUAACCAUUGAAUAUCGGCAAAACUCACUCACUACAGCGCAACCCACAGUUUGAUGCUUGUUGGCUUAUGGAAGAUGGUGCACAACUGAUAGAAGAUAGGAACGAACCUAAUCUCAACCUUAGAAUCACAGAGCAGAGGACCGUAAGCGAUUUAAAGGACCUGUUUUCUAAUCAAACACCGUAAUGCGACACUCAAAAGCUCUAUUACUGCUCUGGUCUGGCUAUAAAGAAUAUGCACGCACAUACACUAAUAGAGUAGAGGAACGUAACCUAACGACUGACUAAACCAUUACUACUGAGGCAGGGGCAUCCGAACCUUUAACUAGACUUGAUAAGGACAAAGGCAGAGGAGAGGGUGAAGAAAGACAAGGAGGGUUCAGAAAGAAAGAGGCCCGCCGCACAGAUGGAAUUGAACUACUGAUUCUCUCGUCGACUUUCGGUGAAUAAAGACAGAGGUUCAGGAUGAAGCGAAAGAAGGGAGAUGUAGUAACAAGUACCCAUUUCUUUGAGUAUAGCGAGAGUUUAGGGCGAACUCACGUAAACACAACACUUCUGAUUCGUUGCUUGUUCCAUUGCGCCUCUGUUGCUUUUGCCUUUGACCUUGCGCUUGUGGCUUCUGGAAUUUCAUAUAUUCAUCUAAAUGCACACAUGCUAUAAAUCCAGUAAUUUGACAUAACUCCUAUCUAUGAGAAAGACUCACACUAACACACAACCUCUGGCGCCCUUGCCAAUACUCAAUUGAAUAUCUAGCUACCACUAAAUUGAUUAUGGUAGAAAAAUGGAUUAUGGUAGAGCAACACUGCCCGGACUCUGAAGUAUUAAGGAAGAAGUCACUUCACUGCGAAACAACAAAUAGCGUUAGGGCCAUCGCUAUUGUAAUUGAAUCUGAUACAAGCACCCCGCCUUGAACGAAAUGAUUAUUCCGCUUCUUCUGUGAGUUUACAGUGAUGUUACUGUAUUCUAUUGAGUUGUGUGCACUAGUAUUUCAGAUAUUUAUAGAACUAGCAAAGGGGGUGAGGAAGCAUCUCAUAUAUGGAACUCCUCAUUUGAUCUAGAAGGUUCCACUCUUCAUUUGGAUCGAUAAGGUUUUUCACCCAAAUUACGAUUAAUCCACUUAUAGUUAUGUGUAUUGCUAUUAAUAUACCUGAAAGUUGUUUGUAUUGUAUAUAUGAGUUGUAGGGUUGCUAUUCUAUACCUUUGUAUAGUAUAUGUCCAAGUCGUAACCGCUGUAGCUCCUUGUGUUUUCGUUCGGUUCUUGUGCGAAAGAACUCCUAACUACGUACUUAGUGUUGUGCCGUUGCGGAAGAACAAGCAACAUUGAUUGAGCUCCGUUAGCGAGCUACUUAAACGUUAGUGAGUUGUGCGUAAGUGACCCUUUUCUCUAUACUUAAUACUUUCAUUUGUGCACCGCUAGCCCUAUAUGAACUUAUAAGGUCUAUGAGCUUGCGUGUUGGAACGGGUUAGAACCUUACCAUACCUAUGAGAGCUUGCGUGUUGGAACGGGUUGGAACCUUACCGUAGUAUUCUAGGUUUGACCCUUACCUUGGACCCUUACCAUAGUAUUCCUGGGGUAAAGGAUAUGAAGCAUCAGAAGUGCCAGUGAUAGGGUGAUCCUAGUCUUAGAGCGGGUCUUCAAGGGUAGUUCGGUGCUAUAGGUGCUAUAGUUUCAUCCAAUGGUCAAGGUCGAGUUCAUUGCUACCUAUGCUAUGGAUACAGGCAAUAUAGUAGACUUGUCUGGUGGUUACUUGGCUGAUAGCAAAUCCGCCUGCCUUAGUUUUUCACCUAAUUCUUAUAUGCGUGAUAGGACCUGACUUUGGAGUUUCAUUACGAGUUUCCCUUCCGAUGUACCUUCCCUUCCGAUGUACCUUCCCUUCUUCGCCUCGGCAGCAACUCUUUCAUUUUGGCAAUGGAACAGCUCUACUAUUUCUCAAGAACUGUAUGACUAUUAUCUUUCCACUUGAUAGCUCUUGUACCGGUGUGAAGUCAACAUCAUGCUUAUUAUUUUCCUAGAAACAUAAUUCUUAUGAUGCCAGGUGCCCCUGCCUUCGUCCAAAGAGAGUAAAGCUGUGCCCAAUGACUUUAUGCCUGUGGUCGAUUAACUUAACAACAACUAUUGGGAUGAAACUAUUAAGUAGGAACCCAAACAAGGACAUCAAUAAUUUCACUAAGUAGUAGAGGAGAGUCUAAGUCUAAAUCAAGGAUGAAAUAGACAAUGUGGAAUUCCAAUCAAUAGUCAAAGAAUGACCUGCCCGCUAGGGGAUCCGAAGUCAGCUCAUUAUAGGCGUAGUAUCAUGGGGUGUUGGGUGGGCAGCCAGCGCUCUCUCUCAAGUAGUCAAAUUCUACUUAGCAUUGAAAGAAUGUGUCUCUGGAUGGACUAAUCAAACUCGCGAGUCGGGAUACCUGACAUAGCUCUAACGCAUUGAGACAAGGGGAAAGACUAUCGCUACUACCAUGAAGAAUUGCACUAGUGCUUCCAAGGCUCCACCGGAGAAUCAAACGACUAAAGGACUAUGACAAUAAGAAUGAAACGACAAAGGACAUUAACUAUAAGAAAGAAUCAACCACUACCCUGAAAGCCCAUUCGAAUUCCGCCUGCCAUUCCUGUCUCCUGGUCUUACACUCCUUUAUCUCAUCCUUGCUUCUGAGUUGUAGUCUUUUACUACUUAUAGCUUAGUCGCAUUCCUUAUUUCACUAUCAAAAGGCUUAAACUCCCCCGUCUUAAAGACUUGUUUGUUACCCACUCUGACCUUCAAGUCUGUAGUUCCAAUUAGGGUCUGACUUUCCUCUGGCUUUUGAGUUGCCCUUUGUGUUUGUUCGGGUGGGCAGUAAACCACUUUCCUCUUCUUAGUAUCGGUUUCAAACUCCAACUUGUUAGCAGCGUUCCCACAGCUUGCUUUCAAACUGACAUUACUCGCUUUCGAACUUACACCACUAGGAGCAAGAAUCAAACACUACCUAAUAGCCUCUAACUCGAUAUGCAGAAUCUUAAUAAGGAAGCAAAGACGGGAACUCUGGCAAAAUAAGGAAGCCAAUUACAAAUUCUUGGACGGAAGCCACUACUGUUUGGAUUGAACCCACUGCUUCUAGGACUGUCGCUCAUACCUUUCAUGCAGAGUCAAAUAAAAGAAUAGGGAAUUCCACUGUUACUAACAAGGCUGUAGCUCGAAACAAGUAAUUCAAUAGGGAAAUACAAGCACUAAUGGAAAGAACGGUAUUACUACUACCAAGAAUCGAAUUAGGGCAUACAAGGCCGAAACACUCUCAAAUAAGACACUUGGGCUGGGGACAGGGAUUUCACUAUUAUUAACUAAAGGAAUAGAGCUACCUUUAGUCUAGCACUACAGGACAUUCACCUUUCUCCUUCCCCUCCCUGUUGAUUCUCAUACCACUUUGUUCAGUUCUUAGACCGGGGUCAAACUUUCACUCCUUUCUUGAAUUAUGACUUUGGUUAGUCACUAGCCAAGUGCUCUUACUUGACGACUUCUGAGUCAAUUUCUUUAUUCUUAUAUCAAUGUCACAUACUAAUAUAAGUGGAAUUCUCCAUGCCUCCGGUCGGGCGUUCUUCUACAACUUAGUGGAAUGUAACUAACAAGUCAAAAAAAGCGAAACUACAACUCCGAACGAUAAAACAAACAAGCAAUACAGCAAGGCGGGAGUAUAAGAGUGAAGCUAAGCAGUAAGGCUCGGAAAGCUAACAAUAUGAUAAGACUAAAACAAGAGCAUAAGAAUUGCAAGCAAGGGUGUCCUAUUCGGUAGUUACAUAAUAAGAGUAAAGAGGAGCAGACUACCUGGCUGUAGUGACAUUCCGAGAAGCAGCAGCUACAAUGCGUGUUCUCCAGUAUAGAGAUUAUUAUGAGUAUAGGGAGGGUUCAUUCCGUUAGAGCAGGGAGUGGUUCCUCGUUUCUAGUUUCACCAUCUGCGGAGGGAUUGUGUUUUAUUCCCCCAUACUACUCAGUGCUCUUAGAAUUCCUGUACCCUAGUGGCUCCUAGCUAUGUGUUUCAUUAUUGCUUAUAUGGUUUCUUCCUGUUAUCAGUGGUCGGAUUCCCGCUUUAUGGCAUGGCUUAUUCCUUAUGCGUGUUUUCAUUGUUCUACAGCUUAGUUCCAUUCUGUUAUUUACUACUUCAAAGACAGAGUAAUAUAGGUGUGGAUUUCCUACUUUUAAAACGGGAGAGGUGGGCUAUCAAGCUUCAAAGCCAGAACUCCCCAAGUAACUGGACAAGUAAGCUCAGAUGCCACAUUAAGAAUUCGAAUGGAAGUUGUACACUAGUGUCGCGGCAGAGUCGUUGGUUACGCGGCAGUGGCCAAGUCACGACUAGACAAGUAACUACUAAUGACCAAGCAACUACUAAUGACCAAGCAACUAAGUAAGACGGGCAAGUCACUACUAACCAAGCAACUACUAGACAAGUAACUACUAAUGACCAAGCCACUACUAAUGUGGCGCGGUAGGAGCCUGAGUGAAACGUCAGCGAGCUAAAAGCGCGGCAGUGUUGUUUUUGCUACUAAUGUGUCGCGGUAGCGAGUGAAAAGCGGCAGCAACGAAUAACGACCACUAGGGAGUUAUGAGCAAGUCCUGUGCUCAAGUAAUAAACGAGUUAUUACUAUUUAUUCCGGAGUCCUGUCUUCAUGGCGGUAGCGAGCCUUUACCUACGGAGGGUUUCCAUUCUUCCUUUUAGUUAAGAGCACACAGUUCAGUUGGUUACCAGAUUCUCUAACAAGUGCUCAAUAAUCCAUUACAUGCUUUUCAGCGGGAAGGAGAGUUCUGCUAGCUCUAGCUCUAGGUCAAGUAUAAGGUUCCAGUGCUAGGAAAGUCACGAGGGUUGGUUGUCAGUUAGGAAGAAAUCUAGUCUAGAAACCUCCUUCCUACCUAGUCAAAACAAAGAAUUCCACAAGCCAGGCUUCAAACUAUUAACUGAAUUCGGAUCUCUUUUCUUCUUGCCUCAGCUCCUGUACUCAUUAACUCCCUGACUUUCCUCUUUCCCAAAACAAUUCAAUCCUCUUGCACUCCUCUACUAAUACACUCAUUCCUGUUUGCUACAGCGAGACUAGAAGCAUAAGUAGGGUUUUCAACUUAUAAUAAAGGCCAGUUCUUUUCUUGUUUCAAUAAGUAUUUCAAGGCGAGGAAGCUUUAUCAACUGAAUCCGGGUUUACAGUUCCUUAAAGUAGUGGUUCCGGGCGAGGUGCUUCUUCAGCUAAUGCAGUUCUUGUUUAAUACCGAGUUGCCCCUGUGCGAGUGAUAGUCUUCAUCCCUUUUGUUUCUUCUCUGUAAACUCAUACUUCUUUAUUGAUUGAUUUCCUUCCCUAGCACUCCUUCCUUUUAGAAGAGAGGCCGAGAGCAACUACUACGGAAGAAUAGAAUGGAUACUGCUUCAACAGGCACUGGGGAUCCAAAACUAUAGUACUUACACCAUCAACUAUGGCAGCAAGUGGGUAUCUCGGAAAGCACUCUCAUUCAGUUGUUUCUCAGCAUAUCCACUCUAUAAUAGUAGUUUACCCUUUUCUUCUACUAGAUGCGUUGGCCUAUGUAUUAUGUCCCCCCAUUCAUUCUUAUCUGUAAACUAGAAAUAUGGGUUUCUUAUCAUUGAAUGCGCUAGUAAGCCUUUAACUCCUAGUUCAUUCUUAUAGUAAGUAGAAGAGCCAAGCGUAGAGGCAGAGAAGUCCACUGCUUCCUUUACCUUCCUUUCGAACUGGUAGGCUGGCUGUUCUAUAUAACUAUUAUAAAGAUCAGAAUUGGAGACAAGCAACGGUACCAGUAUUUCAUUCAUCAAUUCCAUUCUUUUCUUUCGAGAACAAGUAUCUUCUCCAGCUUAGCAAUCCAAGUAUCUUCUCUAGCUUAGCAACCUUAGAAACUAGAGCAAAAAGGCAUAACUCAGUAUACUUAGUUACCUUAGAAAAAAGUCUAGGUAUUACUCCUAAGCAACUAGGCAAUCAGUUGAAACGAUACUUAGAUACAGGUACAACUACUUCUACUCCUAUUAAUACAAAGAAUAAGAGAGUAGUCUUCAUCAGUGGAUAGUAAGGUUAAGGCAAGGGCGGAAAGGGUGUUGAAUCUGCUGUGCUUGUUUCCAGAGAUGAAUUAGGAGAAUUGCCAGCCCUAUAUAUAGUUGUCAAAGGUAUUCCGUUGGGUCAGAUUCAUAAGAAAGGUAAGCUAUGUCUUUUCUCUGGAAAGGUAAGCUAUGUCUUUUCUCUUGACUAAAAUAAUCUAUAUCCCAGGCGCAAGAGAGUCAAAUUGAAAUUCAUUCCUUUACGAGAAAUUACCCAUCUUAUUGAAUACUAGAUGGUUGAUCAAGAGAAGAGCACUAGGGUGGCUAUAGAGCAACCAAGCAACGAACCAAGCAGGCGCAAAGUAACUACUAACCAAGAGGGCAGUUUCUCAUUCCAUUCCACUUACACUGAACAGAGAUUUAUUAACCGACGACACUGUAAACUGUAUACUCGAACCCGCUUGCUACAGGUGCUAAGAGGUCUUACCUACCACAUCCAAGAGGUCCUACCUACCAUAACUCGGUGUUGGGAAAGCUUUCAAAUAGGCUAUUCUUGUCGUUUAAGGCAGGGGAAACUCUAUUACGGGAAAUUGACCAUGAAGAUAACUAUCGGCUGUUAUAGUGAAUUUGAGCCUAACAUCUUGAUGGCGAACACCAGAGGAUAGGUAAGGAAACUAGAUUCUUUAAUUCAAUUGAAAAGUGGUAAGGGAGUGAAUUACUAGACUAGGGAGUUCAAGAGUCAAUCAAGUAGUAAAUAGUAAAGUAGUUGUCUGUUGAGUUGAGUUCAGAAACACUAAGCGGAAGGGAGCUAGUUGUCAUAGGUAUUGUAUUGUUGCCAGAAGUAGAGGAGCAAGAGGAAGUCUGCUGAGCUAUAAAGUACGAAGAAAACCGGGGAUAGGAUCCUGAAAGUAGUAGUCCAGUGGAAUCUAAAGUAGGAGUCGCGUAAGGGAAUAAGUUAUCUACAAAACAAUACUACUAGGAGCUACAGCACCUAUUUUUGAUGCAGAUAUAUAAGUGGCACAGGACAGAUUCUACUGCUUUGAGGCGAGGUCUAGGUCUACUUAAGAUGUUGGGUGCGAGUCUAGGUUCGGUUCGUUGUUGACGACUCGAUAGUUUCGGGUGCUCCUGUUGUCGAUUGUUCAAGUGUAGUUCAAUUGUCAUUGAGAUAGAAUAGCGACCCUAUUGCUCUGAUUUCAUUCCAAUACUAGGGAUCGGGCUAGUUUACUUACAUGUUGGGGUGUGGGUAGGCGUGUCUUGUUAGGGGGUAGGCUUGUGUCACUCCUUAACUAGGGUAUGUGAUUCACUUCAAUUGACUAGCGAACCUUCCCUCUUGCCCAGAGGCAUAGAGUGAUGAAGCUAUUAGUUUCUUUCUAAAGAAUAGAGUUGGAGAGUAGACUUAACACCUUAGGAAUCACAACACUCCCAAGAAAAGAAAUUAGGAUUUGUUUGGAUCUGAUCUAUACUAAUUUACUACUCAAUGAAUUCUAUUAUUAUUAAGGAGAAAGUUGAGAAAGAGAGAAGCAACAGGGUCGGGGUGAACACUUAUAAGAGUUAGGGUCGGGCAAGACUAAGUGAGGAAGAACAGUGGGAGUGGAGUCUACAGGCGAGGAAGCGAGGUAUCUUCACCAAAACCCGAGGUGGAGGAGCAAGAGCUGGAUAAGAAAGAAUAUAACUCAAUCGGAUAAGAAAGAAGGUAUAAAACUACUGAUCUAACUGGUAAAGAAGGAAGGAGCUGCGUCUUGUAUCAAAAUAGUCAUUCUUGAAUCAGAGGAAUAAGCUUUGAAGAAAGCAAUAAAGUCUUAGUGCGCGUUAGGAAGUUGUUCAAUGAAUUCUGGAACUCAUAGCUCUCCAUCUGGUGCUCAAGCCUUAACUUACCUUCUCAAACACGCUGAAUACAAACUAGUAGAUUUCUUUUCUUGUUAAGUAAACAAAAGCAGAAGAAUAAUCGUGAAAGCAAUUGAAAUGUGCAAUUACUGUUUGACUUGCGAGUUAGGGUGGGGGUGAACUCAUCGGUAAGAGCCAAGACACCACUAAAGGAAGAAAAAACAAUCAAUGAGAAAUCAAAAAGAAUCCAGAAAAGUCGACAAGGCUGCCGCGCUUUUAGCUCGUUUUAGCUAUUAGCUCGCUACCGCGUAACAUUAGUAGUGUAUUGGUGCAUCCACAUCCAGUAUUUUCACUAAGUAGUCAAAGUAGGGGUCGGCGAGCUAGUCCAGAGUAGAGGUCUGCAAGGUAAGAAAGAGAAUGCCCAGUGCGAGGUCCAGUGAGAAAGUAGAGUUCCUGCUCGAGUGGUUAGUUUCAAGAGCAAGAUCAGAGGUAAAGUACUUGCUUUGAAGCUAGGUGGGAGCUAGGGAAGUUAUUCUUAUUGGGCCAAGCAACUAAGUAAGACUAAGGGCGCUCUUAUUGUAAGUUCAUGAAAUAGUAAGUUCUACCAGUGAGAGCCAAGUCCUGUGUUCGGGUGCUGAAAGCCUUUUCGACGUAUACUUAAUGCUCUCCCAAUCAAGGAAGGGGUUUAUUGAACUUCUUAGUAGCUGGUUCAGCACUCAGAAUCCCGCCUCCAUCCUAUUUCUGAUCGCUCGCUGUCUACUAAAUCAACUACGCCUUCCUUUGAUCAAUAAGCCGCCCGCAUCUUUCUUUCUUUCUUCUUUAUUAAUCUUUCUUUCUUCUUUAUUAAGUAAAGUAGACUCAGAAGUGAGAAAUUCCCAAUCUCUUUGUUUGUUUGAAGCCAGGAAGCGAAGCUUCUACUUGCUUGUUUAAGCUUUGCUUCCCCAAAUUCCAAUCCAACUAGAUCUUUUCAAUUCCAAUACAACUAGAUCUUUUAUUUAUUAGAAACAAUGGGGCUUAUCUUUCUUUGAUAGCGGGGCAUAGGGAGGUUUCAGAAAGGAUCUGAUCUACGAUGAAUACUGAUGAAACCUGUGCGCGGGGGUAGGGGCGGAUGUAGCCAAGUGGAUCAAGGCAGUGGAUUGUGAAUCCACCAUGCGCGGGUUCAAUUCCCGUCGUUCGCCCAUAACUAUAUUGCAAUUCAGAAAAUGGAAUUGGAUAUUGGACUAUAUAUUGCGACGAAGAAGAACACUAAAAAACGAGAUCUUUCGCUUUUCCUACUUCCUCUUGCAAGUGCUGGAUAACCCCAAGGCUAAAGUGGUUGUGGGUUUUUUCCAUCAAUAGGGGCUCCCCCUUCACCGCCACCAUUUGUAUGGUAUACUGGGUGAAUAUAAUAACCACUCUUAUAACUACAGGACACUUACCUAGCCUAGCCAACACUUAGAUCCGGCUCUAACCACACCUUUUUGGCCCAUCAUUACCUACUCGUCCAACUGUUGCUAAGCUGCUUUUGGAUAUCAAACAGACCUCUCCCAAGAUAGUCAGAUUCAUGUGGCCGAUUGACCCUCCCCAUCCAGAUAGUCAGAUUUAUGUAGCCGAUUGACCCUCUCCAUCCAGAUAGUAAGAUUUAUGUAGCCGAUUGACCCUCUUAUUCGAACUUACUAAUGCCGUUACGCUCCAAAUUAUUGACUUGUGCCUUAGCGAGCGAAUCAACUCACUUGUUGAAAAGAGUGAAAGAAUAGAGGAUAGACCCGUUACUUUGAAAAGGAGUGAAAGAAUAGAAGACAAUAAAAUCAGAUAGGUCCGUAGCUUUGAAAGGAGUGAAAGAAUGGCCAAGCAACUCACUACCCUUUCUGACCUGACCUCUACCUUACUCUAAUAAGUGCCCGACCUAUCUACCACUACUAAGAAGAAUCAAACUGUGCACCAACCAGACUGAAACUAAUCAAUUACAGAAUGGGACUAAGCAGUAUCGGAACCUAACCACUGACAACCAGACUGAUACCGGGUAGACUCAGAACCAAAGCAGUGCUAGCAAGAAUGAGAGAAGGCCAAAGGCGCCUGACUGUAAGAAUGCAACACUGCCUUCCGAGCCUGAUAUUAGUGCAUCUCAGACCGACCCGAGUGACAGAACGAAACAAGCUAGUUACAGGCUGAAGCUAGUUAGUAUGGGACUGUGGACUAGGUACUCAGAAUCAAACCAGUGAUACUAACUUUCAGAAUGCAACCGGGGAAUCAGGGUAUGGGCCGCUAAGGGAUAGAACGGAGCCUCUCUUUAGGUAAUCAGAAUUGCACUCAUGAGCCGGGUGCUCGAAGGUAGGGUUACAGAAUGAAACUAAGCAGUAUCAGAGUGAAACUCGGUUGAGCUAGUAGGCAAGUAGGAAAGAGGUGAGGUUUUAAGCCCAUAUAGUAGUUACGCGGCAGUCCGGGCAAGAAACCCGAGUUAAGAGCAAGCAAGUCCUGUGUUUGUCCUAAAUAACUCAUAUAAUAGAGUUAGUUGCUGUUAGGCACAAGUCUUAAAGGUGAACUAAGAUCUUUUCUCUCGACUAAAGUAAGUAAGUAAGUAGUAGUUCUGGGUGGGUGCACCUCCGCCUCUUCUCCUGCCCGUAGUCCACUAAUUCCAUUCCAUUCUUAACGUUAGAUGAGGCUUAUCAAUGGUAGUUCUAAGGAAAACCAUCCUUCUUUAUCUCUUCUUCUGAGGAAGAUUUCAUGUUGUUUGCUGUGAAAGCUAGUGAGCCAUUUAAGUUCAUAGGCAAGGUGCUGUGUAACGAAGACGAAAGUCUGUCGAAUGUGUGAGUGCGAUAACUCCAGAUGCAUCUGCGAGUGCUGAUCCCAUUAUGAGUCACCUUUUGCUUAACCAUGAAAUGGGAAGACGAACUCAUCUUCUUCCGUCUUGGGGCAAGGCAAUCAAAUAGAAGAUUGGUACUUGUGCUUGCGGGACGAGCUUAGGGAGUACUAGUAUAAGGAAUUGGAUGUUUCUAAGCAUCCUCUUAUUGAGUCUCGGUUAACCAUAAAGCUGGUUCAAUCCCUCUUUAUGCCGUUGGUAUAUGGGAAAACAGUCAAUACUAUGAGUACUUAUAUAUAUAUGAAAGCUUAUGACUCAUUGCUAAGUAUAAAGGAGAGUGAUAACAUAGCUAAACGCAGCAAAACAUUUGGAUCGUAUAAAUAUCCUGAUAUAGCUAAGGGAAUGAAGCUUAUUAAUGAAGCUUAUUUAUUGACGGUUGGUUUUGUUCGGAUAAAGAAGUGAUUGAUAGUAUUCCUUGCUAUACCACAGUGCAGUAUUAUAUGCGGAAUGACAGAAAAUGGAUCUUGAUGAUAGAGUUCACAAGACGAAACAUAAGGUUAUUCUCCGAGUUCCUACAUGAAAGAAAAAGGGAUCUUGCAAGAGUGCUGUGUCUACCUGCGCUUUAUACACCAGAAAGAUGCUUUUAUUGCUAUGAAAGGUUAUUGAUUGGAAUAGCUUUUAAGGUUGGUCGGGACUCUACCCUUGCCUAUCACUGGGUAGGUGAUCCUAUCCUAUUCGAAGAGAACAUUUAGACACAAUUCUUUCGAAUCUGUCUACAUCGGAAUUGCUACCAAAAGAUAGAAAGUUAUGGGAUAAGAAGAAAUAGGAAUUUAUUGAGAGUGACCAAUGCUAUGUGGAUACAGUCAAUGGUAAAGGCUUUAAUACACCAACACCAUCGGAAGGUAGUCACCUUCAUGUCGAGAAGUGGAACACAUUUGAGGAAGAGCUCUCUUGGGAGCAUUCUAACUACAGCUUCCAGUAUAUAAAUGCAGAAAUAGAAAGAAACAUGGUAGGUGGUUUGACAACAAGAAUACCAGUAUAUAAAUGCAGAAAUAGAAGGGAUAGGUGGUUUGACAACAAGAAUACCUCCUCUUCUCAGAGUUCAGAAGAGUCAGUUCUAUAGAUAUUGGAAUCGUUCACUGAAGUAAGUCAAUCGAUUGGGAUAAAUGGUGGGAUCUAUAUAAAGGACAGAGAAUAGUAGCAGUUGGAUUCAAAAAAGAUUCCCUGCGCCAGAGGUUAAGACUAUUCUGUGAUAGCAUUGGUAGUAAUGCGACUGUUAAUGAUGUAGUUUACCCUACUGGGGUAUGGUAAGGCAGCCGUUUUUUAUACAAUGAAAACACCAGCAGGAUAUGAUGUUACCUAUGCAAUUGGUAAGGCUAUUUCUGUAAAUGAUUCUAGCGGUCAUGCUGUUCCUUACGCGGGUUUAUAUGAUAUGAUAGUCAAAUACGCAAUGCUACAAGCAGGGAAGUAUGAGGAAGCUUUGCUCGUAGGUUGACUUUGAAAGCUAUUCUUUAUGGUAUUAACGAGGAUGCCUCUUGUCUUGACUUUACCCCGAUUAGAUUCUAUUGGUAGGAAAGAUUGGGGAAUUAAGGUAUUCCGGCAUAGGUGGUUCACCAGCAGAAGCGAAAUCUAUGGUUAGGAGGCAUCGCAUCGUCCUUAUACCGAUCAUGUAACUGCACUCAAACAAACCAACGAGUCAGGAAAGAAAGGCUGCCUUUUAUUGUUUGUUGUCGAUAUAGAUACUUUUCUCGUAAAUGGAGUUAAUGUACCUUACUGUGCGGGUUUCUUAGUGGUUAAGCUUGGUAUCAAAGGAUGGCGGUACAAGAGCGGGUAACGGUGCACAUAAUUCAUAAUCAAAAGAAGUGAGUUUCUGGGCGGAAUCAGGAUCAUAAUAUGGAUAUGAAGCCGAAGCCAAAUCCACUCUUAAAGAAUACCCAUGUAUCGAAGAUCUGGAUCUACCUGUUGCGCAAGGGCGGUUACAGCACCUGAGAUGUCGGGUUCAAAUGCAUUUAUACAGCCGAUACGUAGCAACAUAGGGAAUUUCUCAUAAGAGUUCGCGGUCUUGCUUAGUUGCUUGGCCCCUCGCAGCAGCACUUAUAAGAAAUACUUCCUUCGCAUUCAUUCAUUCUUUCUUUCCCGCUCUACCCCUUACUUUUGAACCGACCCGCUUCUGAAUUCUCUCGUGGACAACAAGGGUAAAGCUCUUAGCCAUCUGACUUAUAAUACGGCUGGCUAAGCCCUCGGCAACUACCUUAAUUAAUCCCGGCUGCGCUAAACUUAACGACCGAACCUAUGUCUUUAAGUCUGAUCUCUGAAUUUGCCGGGCCUCUUAUCAAUUCAAAGAAGUGCUUAGUUAUUACUCAUAACCUGGAUUUGUCAACGUAAGCUAUAUUUCAAGGUCGAAGGGUUUCUAGGCAUUGAAAAGCAAUCUACCCUGGAAAGCUGUCGUAAAGCUAUAUGCUCAAUUCUAACUGCAGCGCUUACGCCCCUUAUGAUUAGACAAUUUCUAGAGUGGAGCCAAGCUAACAUACUAGGAUUCAUUCGUGAAAACAGAAAGAAGACGGGGACGACUCUAAUGAAUAGAAUCAGACUAGCCAAAAUCCAUACUCCUUUCCUAAUAAAGGUGAAUUUCUUCUGAAAUCGAUGAAUCUCGGCUACGGCUUGCCCCGCACCUGGACUGGCUAUCUCGAUAGAAAUGUAUUCAUCACCACCCAUCUAGAAAGAGUUUCAAGAGGUCGUACUUCCUCCCAGAGCGGAAAUAGCAUGGCGUACCUUCAACAUGGGCUCUUUCCUAUUUUGGAAUAAGGCAAGUUACCUGUCACAAGCACUUUCCGUAUAGGAAUGAAUUCUUCUCAAAAGAGGAUCUGGCUUCGCACCUUCGCCCGGAAUCUAACAUCUCGAUCUCUCUUUCCGCUACUAGAACGGAGAAGAUACCGCUUGCCUCCUUGCCUACUUGCUAUGUGCUCGGUUGCCAGCAGCUUGUUUCAAUUGGAUUUCCCAGAACUAGACUAUCUGAUUGCCCCCGAAAACAGGUGUCAUCCCAACAACCGGUUAUUCCCCACCCGAUCUGGCGUUGCUUGCCCCAACUCAGCGGUUAAAGCCUUAUUGUUUCCCGCGCCUACCUCGACACUCAGUUCAUCAUGUCAUUGCCUCUGAUCUUGUAUUGCAACACCCGAACUACUAGACUUUAGAACGUAAACAGCUCUGGAAUCCUAUAGUCUUGAUUGAUUGUAUCUCUCUAAGCCAACUACUCCGAUAACGAAUACCCAUGUUUUAUAGGCAAAUAUAGGCUUCAAGUUAACUCUAACACAACUUAUGUAGUUUUCUGGGAAAUACUUCAGUGAAUCCGACUAAGAGAGCAACGAAUGCAUUUAUUGUGUAUACCUUAACCUAUCCUUUACUGGUCCUAUACUCUGAAAAGAAGAAUACUAAUGAUACAACUCACACCAAUUGCACUAAAGGGAAGGACUACCCGGACAAAUACUAUCUAUAAUCAUAAGGAGCGGGGGAGCUACACUAACAGUACUACCAGUGCCUACUCAGAAUGUCCCUAAGCAGUAUCACGAUGAAACCGGUGCUAUAGACAAGGCGAUCAGAAUGCAACCACUGCCUUCCAGUCUUAGCAGUAAGUGAUAGGCCAGUUCCAUCCAUUCAAGACUUAUAAGCUAUUAAGUGGAAUUCAUACUAUCGAGAAGGAGCAACCAUGCCUAGUGCUAGUAAAGUUUCUCUCGACCCCGAGUUUUGUCUAUCUAUAGUUUUCGUAUGAAAGGAGAGGAAAUGCAAAAGGGGAAGAACUAACAGAAGCAGAAGAGAAGCACAGAGAAUAAACUGCCGUUAAGUCGUCAGCAGAAGAAUUGAUAGUUUCAGUUCGCUAAGUCAAUACAGAAUGACACUAGAAAGAGGGAUUCCCUCGCCGGUGGUGCAUACUAUGACUAAACUAAGAUCUGUACGAGUAGGUAUAGGAAUAAUAGGCGCUAUAUGCGCUUCAACAGAAUAAGUAAGCAUUGCAGAAUUUCAUCUGUAUUUGUUGACUACGGUAUAUGAGGCAGAGAGGCGCCAAUAAGUUCUCUCGAAUACUUUCCCAAUUACUUUAGGGCUGCUGACCUUCAACUUAAUGCUCUUUUCUUUUCCCGCAGGUGCCCGCACUGUUAUUGUAAGGAGUGAGGCCAAGCAACCUUUCUUUCUUUCCCUGAACUGCUAGCCAGUACUUUCUUCUUACCCGAGAACUACACUUGAAACAAGGAAUGAAACUAAAGCAGAGGGCCAAUCAACAACUACUUCAGAAUGGAAUUGACUUCUUUCAACAAGCCCUGCAGCUGGCUACUCAAACUAUUCACUCAAUUCUUUACCGCGCCUUAGCAACAAGUAAUCUCAAUAGGCUUUCCUCGCACCGUUUGUUUCCUGUUUUUGUAACCUAAUUAAUAGCUAAAGUGAAGCUUUCCACUACGCCGCUCAACUCCCCAAUAUUUAAGUAGAGGCCGAACAAGACUCUGUCCUUCCCGCUUCUGAGAAAACCUCUAUUCCCCCGCUUCUUAAGCACUAACUUCGAAUUCAACAAGUCAGUAUAAUCAUUCCACUAAUAACUAUAAGAAAGAAACUCAUAAGUCAGAAUGAAACUCCGCAUUACUCUAGCUCCCGAACACAGGACUUGCUACCGAAACUAGAACUGUAAACUCUCCCUUACUCUUUAGCAGAUACGAAAACAAACAGGAACUGCUCCUUUAGCCUUAGCGGAUACGAAAACAGUAAUGGAACUUGCAGCUUACAAUCGAACCCUCUCUCGCGGAUUCUUGAUUGGCUUUGAUCUUAGUUGUCCACGAGAAUGUUCUUAUAAAGCAGAAGUCAGAGAAUCAUAAGGAACAGGUAAAGGUAAAGGCUUGAACUGAAUCUUUCUUUUAUCGCGCCCAUACCAGAAUAAAG
rnacentral:lncRNA from 1 species